rnacentral:lncRNA from 1 species
UUAAGCUAAUAAAUAUUUGUUUCUGUCAUGACAGGAUAAAGCAAGAAUGGGAUCUUGCCCUAAUAAAUGUGCUCACAGUAACAGCAUGUAAUGCUUUUGUUGUUUGGUCGCUUGCUCCUUGUCGUUCUUAUGGAAACACCUUCCGGUUUGACUUGCAAAAUACAUUACAAAAGCUCCCAAACAAUAUAUUUGAACGGAGUUACCCAUUUCGAGAAUUUGACUUGCAAAAGAGAAUUCACUCCCUUUUUUACAAGGCUGCAGAGUUGUGUAUGGUGGGAUUAAGUGCUGGAGCAGUGCAAGGUUCUUUGUCAAACUAUCUUGCUGGUAAAAAGGACAGGUAAACAUGGUUGCAAAACUUCCUGUUCAUUCCUCGUUCACUUAUUCGUUAUAAAUAAAGAAAACUUAGAAGAUUGUUCUGUUUACUGUCUAAACCAGUUUAACAUUUGUUAAAUUUGGGCCACCUUUAAUGUCUGACAGGUUAUCUGUGACAAUCCCAUCUGUGAGUACUAGUGCGCUUGGUUAUGGUGCUUUCCUUGGACUAUAUGCAAACAUGAGAUAUCAGCUAUUGUGUGGAUUUGAUAGAGCGGUCAUCAACCAUUUUGAUGUUAUUGGAGUAGCACUGUUCUUAAGCACUGCUUUGAGGUAUCUCCCUCUCUCUCUUUUACGUAUUUGUUUAUUGAUCUUCAUCUCUAUAUACAUUGAUAGACUAUUCUGGUCGUACCAAAUUACCCUUGUUUUAAUGUUUUGUUUGUUAAACUUUGACUGGGGAAUCUGUUUAUUGGUCUGAUAUGAUGUUAGUGUGGUUUCUAUUGGAGUGUGUAGAUCUAUCACCGAGUAUUAUUUCAAUUUUUCUUUACUUAAUCAACUUGCAUCCUUCCCAAGUCCAGAUCCUUAACAAUAGUGAGACUUCGCUACGGAAGUACAAUUUCUCUAGUUUUACAGUUAAAUACGUAAGAAUGGUUUUAAAUUAACUGAACUCUGAGGUAGUUCUCUAAGGAAAUACAAGUGGUGAAUACGGUUCCAACUUUUAAGUGCCUUAAUUUACCCAUUUGUUCAGCCCUGUGCGUAAACAAUCAGUAAUUGUUGUCCAAAUUAUUCUUUACUGCCUAUAUGUGUUGGGACUUUGUCUAUUGUUCAACUUCUCAAAUGGAUUCUAUGCAGGGUUCUUAAUGUCCAAUUAGGAGAAAGAUCAAGGCUUGCUUGGCUAGGAGUGGAAGCGGAUCCGCUACUUCAGUCAGAUGACCUUUUGAAGAAGGCUUACAACAGGCCGUCUCAGGAUGUCAAUGGCUCAACUCAAAAGUCCCCAAGGUGGUUGAUAUCAAAGAAUGCCAUUGUCUCUGGGCUUGGGCUCCUUGGCAUCAAACAAGGGAAUGUCGACUCUGUUGAAGAGGAAGCAAGGGCUCCUAAAGUGCGAAGAAAGAGGAUAGUCCGGAAGAAGGUGACCGCAUAAAUUUCUUGGGAGUUAAUCCUAGUCAAUAGCCCAAUUUUGCUGCCUGUCGAAGAGAUACAACUCGGAAGUCCUCAUCAAACUCUUUGAGACAUCUAAGAACUAGUAGGGAGGUGUUUCCUGACAAGUAUAGUUCACUGCUGGAGGGAUUCUUUUCUUGAUGUCUAAAUACUAUAUGUGAUACAACGACGUAUAUUCCAAUUUUUCUCUAGUUAAAUUCUAGUAAGUUAGAAAAGUUAAUUUUGUUCUAGCGAUGAAUUGUUUUCUUAAUAAAAAUAAUGGCCUGUUGCUUUGGAAUCUUAUUUACUCUUUGUAACUCAGUUAAAUUGUGCAAAUUCUACUGCAGAUUUAUCAAACAGAGUGUCUUUGUGAUUGUUUUGAUACACUUUUGAUGGCAAGUUCAAGUUUGAAUCAUCUUGUAACGCCAAAAAACCAGAGCUUUUAAUUACGAGAUCAGCUUUUAGUAUUAGCGGUAAUUAUAGUAUAAACGUUGAUAUUAUAUAAUAAACAUGAUUGUCAAAACAAUAAUUUCGAUAAAAUUAUUAAAAAUAUUUUAGAUUUUUUAUAUUAGAAUAUGAGAUUAGAUCAAUUCAAGUAAUAUUGUAAGUGUUUACUAAAUACUCUUUAACGUUGUAUCUUAAAAAUUAUGCCCUACGAAACUCUUACCAAAUUUUAGUUAUACUUUCUAGUCCGAUUGUAGAAAUCCUUACUCGAUGUACUUCACCAUACAAGAUGUUAACUCAAUUUUACUUAAAUCUUACUCGUUAAUUUUAUGCCUAAAUUUUUGUCAACAAAUUGGUCCCAGUUCUAUGCUUCUUCGGCUUGGGUGAUCCCACCAAAACCAUUACGUCCAUUCAAAAGGGUUCCACGUUGAGUGCACGAAAUCCACAAGUUUGAUUGACCAGAAAUAGCCAAAAAAGCUGAUGAAACCCACGUCCAAAGAUGCCUUUUGUCGCGGAGGCCUAGACACUACCCCCAUCCCCUCUUACCAUAUUUUUUAAUUGAAGAGGCUAUUAUUGAAUUGAAAAAUUAUGAUUCAAAAUCCCAAAAUAGAAAAAGAAAAGCAAUUGUUGGAAACACAAUCGGAGUUUUAAAUUGACAUGAGAAAAGAAUUUAUUAUUAUUAUUAUUAUUAUUAUUAUUAUUUCUUUUUAACAAAAAUUUAAGCUCGGACAACAUUCUAUGCCCAAAAUACCCCUCAGGUUAUCCCAAACUGUCUAAACUCCCCCACUCCUCUCAACAUCAUCUCUUUCUAAUCUUUCCUCCCCCUAAAAACCAGCCAUGGCUUCAAAUUCAAUCACCUCAACACUCCAAUAUUGGCUUGUAAACCAGCCCCAAAUCCUCAACUUCACAUGGACUCAAAACCAAACCCCAGCUUCCUCCCCACACUUCCUUAUUCUCUCCAUCCUCACUUACCUCUCCCUCACAUUCAUCCUCUACCACACAUCAACAUCAACAUCACCACCAUCAUCACCUCUCAUUGAACCCCACAUCCUCAAGCCCAUCACAGCCGUCCAUAACCUCACCCUCCUCCUCGUCUCCCUCGUCAUGGCCGUUGGUUGCACUCUCUCCAUCGUCCUCCAUUCACCCGACCUCCGUCACACCCUCUGUUUCCCCCCCACCAUUUCUCCCUCCGGUCCCCUCUUCUUCUACGCUUACAUCUUCUACCUCUCCAAAAUACUCGAAUUUCUAGACACCCUUUUGAUCAUUUUGUCAAACUCCAUCCAACGGCUCACGUUCCUCCACGUCUACCACCAUGCAACCGUCGUCGUAAUGUGCUACCUUUGGUUACAGACGAAGCAGUCUUUGUUUCCUAUCGCACUUGUCACCAAUGCAAGUGUGCACGUGAUCAUGUACGGGUACUAUCUAUUGUGUGUGAUGGGGUUGCGGCCAAAGUGGAAGAGAUUGGUCACUGAUUGUCAGAUUGUUCAGUUUGUGUUUAGUUUUGUUGUUUCGGUUUUGAUGCUGUAUUAUCAUUUUGCGGGAUUUGGUUGCUCUGGGAUUUUGGGUUGGUGCUUCAAUGCUGUGUUUAAUGCUUCUCUUUUGACACUUUUUGUUAAUUUUCAUUCCAAGAGCUACGCUAAAAAAAAGCAGGGAUGAUCAGAACAAAUAGUUUUUGUGAUUGUUUUUGUGUGUGUGAUUUGUUUUUUUAAGUUUGAUUUUGUUUAAUUAAGAAGGGUUGUGAUCUGUUCAUUGCAAUUGACAGAGAUGUUUUCGAAGGAAUUGCGUGGGAUAUACACGGUUUCUCUCGUAAUACCCAAAAUAUACCUCUAUCUAUUAAAAUUUGUAACUUUACAUAUACAUACUUAAAAAAAUCAAUAAAAGUACAAAAAUAACCUCAAUAAAAUGCCAACAAAAAAUUAAUACUCGACUCAUUAAAUCUACUUACUCGACUAGAUACUCGACUUAUUCAAUUAUUUUCACUUCUUACUUGACUGAAUGCUUAACUUAUCAGACUUCAGACCCGACUUCGUACUCGACUAAAUAUUCGACUUAUUCAAUUACCUUCAUUUCUUACUCGACUGAAUGCUCAACUUACCAGACUUCAUACCCGACUUCGUACUCGACUAGACACUCGACUUAUUCAAUUGACUUCACUUCUUACUUGACUGAAUACUCAACUUACCAGACUUCAUACCCGACUUCGUACUCGACUAGAUACUUGACUUAUUCAAUUGUCUUAAUUUCUUACUCGACUGAAUGUUCAACUUACCAGACUUCACUUCUUUAAAAAUAUUAAUACUCGACCCAAUGUACUUACCCGACUUAAUACUCGAUCUCUUUAAAAAUUACAUAAAUUUUACUCGACUUGUUCAAAAAAUUUACUUGACUUUUACUUAAUACUCGACUGAUUUAAUAUGCUUACUCAACUUCUUACUGGACCAUAUACUCGACUUAUUUAUCUCCAAUUCUUGCUCGACUAAAUUCUCAACUUACCCGACUUCGUACUCGACAUCUUCCUGUACUGAGAGGAAGAAAUGUGUGGAAUCUUGAUUUUUUUAAGGUUAUUUUUUACUUUCCCUAUCUUCGUGAGGUAUAUGUAUAUAAUAGGCUAUAAAUUUGAUAUUUAAAGAAAAAUUGAGGAUAUUUAAAUAAAAAACCUGAUGUUUUCAAUUGCCUAGACUUCGUAUUUUUAGUUUUAGUAAUACAUGUCGUUUUUCACCACAUUUGUUUAGUCUCUCCCUUUUAAAUCCCCUCUCACACAAAAAAUUUGGAUUUGCAUUUUGUAAACUAAUAUUUUUCAUUUUGUUAAUGUAUUAAUUAUUGUUAUCUACAUUUAUGUGAUAGGGCACAGCCCCUAAGCACUCAAUGUUUGUAAGCACAAGUUCAAGUCCCACCAUUUGUUAGGAUUUAAAUAAAGAACAUUAUAACCAUGUGUCCAAAAACUUAAAGUUAGCUUAAGUGCAUGGAUUUGAGUCCUAGUUAUUGUUGGAAUUCGAUUUCUUUUCCAAUUAAAUUGGGUAAGGGUACAAUUAUCUCUCAAUUAAUAAGGACAGAGUGGACAUCUCUCUCAAUUUUUCUCCCAAUUAAAUUAGUUAGAGAUAAAAUUAUCUCUUGAUUAAUAAGAGUAGAAUAAGCUUCGGUUGCAGAUUUUGGCCAUGGACAUCAACAGAGAAAAUUAUGAAUUGGGGCUGCCAAUUAUCCAAAAAGCUGGUGUUGCUCACAAGAUUGACUUCAGAGAAGGCCCUGCCCUGCCUGUUCUUGACCUACUGAUCCAAGAUGUAAAAAUCUCACCAGACCCAUCAUUUCAAAAAAAAUUUAUAUAAUAAGUACACGUAAUCAAAUGUAAUUAGAUAGUCAAAACUAGAUAAUAAGUACACGUAAUCAAAUGUAACUUGAACAUUAAAAAAUAAAAAUUUAUAUAAGAAGAGGAUCCCCCUUCAUUCAUUACGUCUGAGUUAAAGUUUGAAAUAUAUUGUUACAAAUAUUUAAAGAGCGUAGGGAUUACAAAAUGAAACUAAAGUGUCAAACUCAAAAUUUAUGAUUUGUAAGUAGUACAUUUAUGAGUAUCAAUAAUCUUUAUAACAAAAAUGAACUGGCAAGUGUCAACACACAUACAUGACACAUAACUCUGCAGCAUGAGAUGGUCCAAACUCCUAAAUCGAUCGAUCCAUGCAUGGACCUUAUUCAUAGCCAAGUGCACGUGAGAUGGAACCAUUGAAAUGUUGAUGGAGGAAUAAGCUAUAAAGCUUUAUGUCACAUGCAAGACCAUUCAUGGUUUCUGCAAAACCUGGCUAGCCAUUUGCAUCGAUCUGUUUCUCUCCGUAACAUUAAUUAAAACAAGGAAAACAAAACAACAUCAUUAACUCGACAGAGAAAAAGUGGGCACUUGGCAGUGGGCCGGAUUACUUAGGAGGUAAAAUUCCCACACGUUAGGAAUUUGGCACAUAAUCUCGGAGUUUUAAAUUGACAUGAGAAAAUAAUAUAUUCAUCAACCUCAUACGUUAAAGAUGCGACGAGUUUGAGAUUAUGUGCCAAAUUCCUAACGUGUGGGAAUUUAAAGAUGUUAGUACAAAAAAUGUGUUCGUCCGUGGAGUAGAAUCAUGGAAAUUACAGAUGCUACUACAAUUACUAACGUGUGGGUGGGGAUAAGCAUAACUUUUUUCACCCAAUGCCAUAUUUCUGCACGAAAUAACAUGCAGAUAUAGUAUUUUAGAAGAUUAUGAAAAAAUACAUCAAAAUCAUUACUAGAUCCAAAUUUGUGCUAUUUUCAUACAUAACUUGAGAAUAUUUAUAAUUACGCAUCAGAACUAGUGGAGUAGAAUCAGGGAAAUUAAACAUUCUACAAUCAUUGACGUGUGGGGUGGGGAUAAGCAUAAGCUUUUUCUAUGCAGUAUAAAAGAAUGCAAUAACUCCUUUCUUUCAUAUCUUCGCAACAAAAGCACAUCUAAUAACUCAUCAAAAUUCUCGUUUUCUUUGUCAGAAUGGUUGAUGCGAUCGUUUCCUCUCUCCUGGAGCAGCUGAUCUCCGUUGCGGCUGAUGAAGUGAAACAACACGUGAGGCUUGUGACUGGUGUCGGAGAAGUGAAAAAGCUUACCAGCAAUCUUCGAGCCAUUCGAGCUGUGCUGGAAGAUGCAGAGAAAAGGCAAAUGCAGCGCGACAAUGCUGUUACUUUUUGGCUGGAUCAGCUCAGAGACGCAUCCUACGACAUGGAAGAUGUGUUGGAUGAGUGGACCACUGCAAGGCUCAAAUUGCAGAUUGAGGGCGUUGAUGAUGACAAUGCUCUUGCUCUUGCUCCUCAUAAGAAGAAGGUACGCUCCUUCUUUUGUGCUGUAUCAAACUGCUUUGGUAGUUUCAAACAACUUAGUCUUCGUCAUGACAUUGCCGUCAAGAUUAGGGAAAUCAAUGGAAAGCUAGAUGAUAUUGCCUCCCAAAAAGAUACGUUUAAAUUUGUUGAGAAUGUGAGCAACAAUGUUAAGAAACCAGAGCGAGUGCGAACCACCUCCUUGAUUGAUGAGGGAGAGGUUUGCGGUAGAGUUGAUGAGAAAAAUGAGCUCUUAAGCAAGUUGUUGUGUGAAAGUAGUGAACAACAAAAAGGCCUUCAUGUCAUCUCACUAGUUGGGUUAGGGGGUAUAGGUAAAACCACUCUUGCACAACUAGCCUAUAAUAAUGAUGAGGUGAAAAGAAAUUUUGAAAAAGUUAUAUGGGUGUGUGUAUCAGACACUUUUGAGGAGAUUAGGGUUGCCAAAGCAAUCAUUGAAGGUCUAGGUGAGUCAGCUCCUAGUUUAAGCGAAUUCCAAUCUCUUACGAGCCAUAUCCAUAGAUCAAUUGAAGGAAAAAAGUUUUUUCUUGUCUUAGAUGAUGUAUGGGAUGGGAGUUACAAUAAAUGGGAACCAUUCUUCCUUUGUCUAAAGAAUGGUCUCCAAGGAAGUAAAAUUUUAGUUACCACACGUAAUGAGUCAGUUGCACGUAUGAUGGGAUCAACAAAUAUUAUCUUCAUUAAGCAAUUGGCUGAAGAGGAAUGUUGGUCGUUGUUCAAGCGGUUGGCAUUUUCCAGUCGCUCUUUCGAAGAUUGUGAAAAAUUAGAACCAAUUGGGCGAAAAAUUGCUUGUAAGUGCAAAGGCCUGCCUCUUGCUGCAAAGGUAAUAGGGAAUCUCUUGCGCUCUAAAAUUACAGUAAAAGAGUGGCAAAGAAUUUUAGAUAGUGAAAUGUGGAAAGUACAAGAGAUUGGGCAAGAUCUUUUGGCCCCUUUGUUGUUGAGUUAUAACGAUUUGCCCUCCAAUUCUAUGGUAAAACGGUGUUUCUCAUAUUGUGCUGUCUUUCCAAAAGACUACAAUAUGGAUAAAGAGGAGUUGAUUAAUCUGUGGAUGGCUCAAGGUUACCUUAAUGCAGAAGAAGACGAAGAGAUGGAGAUGAUUGGGGAAGAGUGUUUCAACAUUUUAGCAGCACGCUCUUUCUUUCAAGAGUUUGAGAAAAAUGACGAUGAUGAUAUUAUGAGUUGCAAGAUGCAUGACAUAGUACAUGAUUUUGCUCAAUUUGUAAGUAGCAAAGAAUGUUUGUGGCUAGAAAUUAAUGGUACCAAAGAAUCAGUCAUAAACUCUUUUGGUGACAAAGUCCGUCACUUAGGGUUAAAUUUUGAAGGAGGCGCUUCAUUUCCUAUGUCCAUUCGUGGACUUGAUAGAUUGCGUACCCUUUUAAUUUAUGAGAGAAGUGAUUUCUAUCUGUCUCUUAGUAGUAGCAUCCUUUCGGAGUUAUUUAGUAAAUUGGUGUGUUUAAGGACAUUAGUUAUAAGGCAAUCGUCCCUAUAUUUUCAUCCUUUUCAUCUUGACCCAAAUUCGAUUAGAGAAAUUCCAGAAAAUAUCAGAAAAUUGAUACAUUUAAAAUAUCUUAAUUUAUCUGAAUUAGGCAUAGAGAUACUACCUGAGACUUUGUGUGAAUUAUAUAAUUUACAAAAGCUAGAUAUUAGGCGGUGCCGAAAUCUUAGAGAAUUGCCAGCGGGGAUUGGGAAGUUAAUGAACAUGAGGAGUUUACUGAAUGCUAAAACUUAUUUGUUGGAGUACCUGCCAAUAGGGAUUUCCAGAUUGACCAGCCUUCGAACAUUAGAAAGGUUUGUUGUGGGUGGAGGUGUUGAUGGCGGCAGCACGUGUAGGCUUGAAUCUCUGAAAAAUCUUCAACUCCUUCGUGAAUGUAGAGUAGAAGAACUGAGUAAUGUAUCGCAUGUAGAUGAGGCUAAGAGGUUACAACUUUACAAUAAGAAAAACCUCCUUCGUUUGCAUCUUCUGUUUGGAGUCGUAGAUAUGGAAGGUGAAGAAUGGAGGAGGAAGAAUGAGAAAGAUAAACAACUUCUUGAAGCCUUACAACCGCCUGUGAAUGUAGAGGAGUUAAGGAUUAAAUGCUACGGAGGCAACAUUUUUCCCAAAUGGUUGACUUCGCUAACCAAUCUAAGGGAACUAAAACUUUCGUUGUGUUUUAACUGUGAGCAUUUGCCUCCUUUGGGAAAAUUACCUCUGGAAAAACUCGAACUAAAGUACUUGACAAGUGUAAAAAGAGUGGGUAAUGAGUUUUUGGGAAUAGAAGAAAGCAGUUAUUGGGACGACCCAUCUUCAUCUUCAUCAUCAUCAUCAGUUACUGCCUUCACCAAAUUGAAAUCUCUCAAAAUUUGGGACAUGCAAGAAUUGGAAGAGUGGAAUUACAGGAUUACGAGGAAGGAAAACAUCUCCAUCAUGCCACGUCUUUCUUCCUUGAUGAUUUGGUCUUGCAACAAAUUAAAGGUAAUGCCAGAUUACCUUCUUCAAACGACGGCACUGCAGGAACUGAGUAUUUAUUCUUGUGAAAAUUUGGAAGAACUGCCCAUUCUAGAAGAUCGCAGGACAACAGACAUACCGCGUCUUUCUUCCUUGUUUAUUCAGAAUUGCCCCAAAUUGAAGGCGCUGCCGGAUUACCUCCUUCGAACGUCGACGCUGCAGGAAUUGACUAUUGACAAAUGUCCCAUUCUGGAAAACCGUUAUAGAGAGGGGAAAGGAGAAGACUGGCAUAAGAUAUCUCACAUUCCCCACAUCAAGAUAUCACCACAUACGAUUAUCGCUGGUAAUUUCUCCUCCUCCUCUGAUUUACUUCGUUGUUGCUUGCAAUGAAAUUAAUAAAAAUAAUUAUAUUUUGAAUUAAAAUUCUAUAUAGAAUCAAUCUUGGUAUAAAUAUGUAAAACUUCCUAGUUAUCAAAUCUGUUAAACUUGUUUUCUAAAGAUUAAAUAAUAAAAAAAUACAAGUUUAGUCUGUUGAAAUUUCUAUAUUUAUUUACUUUUAAAAAAUUUGUGCUCUUUUGUAAAAUUUCAUACAACAUCAUAGAAAAUCCUAAUGUAUUUUAUUUUUUAAUGCACGAAAAUUUGUUAUGUGCAACUUCCUGAGAGACAAAAUCUCUGUGAUACAUUUGCAGAAAUGUUGAAAACUAAAUCAUCAAUUUUAUCUUGUAUAAUGAUAAUCGUAUUUUUUAUAUAUAAUUUACGUGACAUUAAUUGUUUAAAGUAAUUGUGUAAUUGUUUUUAGUAGUACAUUAGCCCACUUUGUUUUAUUUCAUACGAGUUUAAUUAUGUUCACCAGGGAUUCGAGGAAAUGUCAGAACCACACUAGCAAUUCACAGGUCCAACCUAAUUUGGUUUUAAUGAUGCAGGCAGGAGAGCAUGCUAAGAAAAUGAAAAGUUUAGCCAAAGGAUUGCUAAAAUGUUCUGCUGGUAAUUCACUUGCUUUAUUUUAUAGAAUUUCAUUUCCAUCUUCUUCUAUUGAUAUCUUGUUGUGAAUAAACAAGAACAGAAAAGUAAAGAUGUAUCAAAAUUCGCUAUUAUGAUGAUGUUAAAGCAAGCUCAAGCUCAAGCAUUGCAUUUUAUUUUAUUUAGUUUAUAGAAUUUUCAUUUCCACCUGCAUUUCAUUUUUAGGUUGACUUUGAAGACUCUAUGGAGAAAAUUGGGGUAACCAAGGAUUAUCACUGCGGUUAUUGUGCAACGUUUGGUUGCUGGACUUUAAAGAAGGAAGUGAUGGCUGGGUCUGCUCUGUUUCAAUUGACAGCUGCCCGAAAGACAUGAUGAUUAUUGUUGCAUGAUGUUAAGGUGCUAAGAUCAUCAUUUCUAUCUUGUUUCAUUCUCGGAAUCAAUGGAGGCAGGAGUUUGGUGUUGACACUAUUAUGCAGGUAACCACACUUGAUAGUUUGCACAAAUUUGCGUUGUCAGAAUAUCCUUUAAUAUUCAUUGUGUUUCUUUGUAUUAUCAGGUUAUCAUGGUAUGUAGAGUAUCAUCUCCAAGGGUUUGAAAGAGCCUUUGCAGUAAAGUCAGUUGUCACCAGCUCGUGCAAUUGCACAUUCAUUCAGAGUACUUCAAUGUUAGGUUUUCAAGUUUUGUAUGUUUAUUCAAUUAAAAUGUUUAGUCACUCAUUCUUAAUCAUUUCUGAUUUUCAAGUUCUUUAGGGCCAUAAACUGUUUUUGCAACUCAUUCUUAUUUUUAAGGUUGAUUUCCUACUCGUGCAGAACAUUGGUGAGACCAAGGAUUAGGCUGGCGAUGGAACCACUGCCUCUGUUGUUAUUGUGCAAGGUUUGAUCGCUGGACCUUGAACAAGAAAGCCUUACACGCAUUUUGUAAUUGAAGCGUUCUCUAAAGCAAAAGAGCAGUAGAAGGAAUAGUGAUGGCCGGAUCUGCGCUAUUUUAAUUGAAGAUGUCUGUGAUGUUGAGGGACUUAAAGCAGUUAAUGCUCUUUGAAAAUUGUUACUACAGAUGAAUUGAUUCCUGAAGGCAUUUAUCUAAUGAAUGUUAAGCGUAUUUUCAUAAACUUCCUUUCUUAACAAAUGUUUCAAUGCCUGCUGUAGUAACAAUUUCAUAUCUUGCAUCUCUCGGGUGCAUCAUGUUCAUGGGUUUGAAAAAGCAUUUGUGCCAAAGCUUCAAAGCUUGUACAAUGGUUGUGAAAAGGCACAUUCAAUACGGUACGUUUUGGUGCGGUCUCCUAAUGCUAAUAUCAUAUUUUGUAUCGCAAUUAAAAUUUAGAUAUGCAGUCUUAUUACGCCAUAAAUCAUUGUGUACAAAGUUUUCUAUUAACUAUAUGGUGACUGAAAUUUUAAUUAUCAUAUCAAUCUUAAAAUUUUUUUAACUCUCUUUUACUAUGCUUGUAUAGAGUACUUGUUUUGGCUGAUAUGUCUAAUUCGUAGAAAUUCAUUUCCUUCGGUUUCCAUUGGCUUUAGCACAAACAGAAACAGAGCUCUGGGGAAAAGUUUGACUUCUUGUGGUAUUAUGCCUUUGUUUCUUCAUUCAUCAUAUUUUUCAAAUUCAUGCUCUCACUCAGAGAGUAAAGCCUUUUCCAGGCUGCUUUGUAGCCAAACUUUGACGCCAUUGAUGCAUGACUGUCAUUUAGAUUUUCCAAAUAACUGUUAGAUUGGAGAAGAAUAAGAAGAUGUUGUUAAAAGGGUAUUUAAUUAGCGCCCGCUGAAUUUAGUUGCCAAUAAUGCAUUAAAAUAGUUGGGGAAAGUUACUGUCUUAAUUAAAUUACAGGUGAUAAGAUGCUGCUUCAAUUUUGCAAGCAUCUCGUAUUGUGAAGAUUUUACCCACAUGAGAUGCCGUGAUGCUUGACAUCAGGGUAAUACAGGUCAAAUUUUAGUAUCAAUAUAUAUCUUCUUCUUUAUUGUUCUGCCUCUAAAUAUUAAACUUUAGGCAAGUUGUUUUUGUUUAUGUAAGUUUAUCAGGUUAAGGAUACUAAGCAGCUUAAUUGUUCACAAGCCAAUUUGAUCAGUGCUAGAUAUCAUCAUCAAAUUUGAGUAGAGAAUCUUUGAAGAGAAUUUUGUUGUGAGAGUUUCACUGUAAUGAAUUUUGGGAGCUUGAACUCACGUGAGUGAGAAAUUAGAAGGUAUUGGGGAUUUGGGUUAUGAGUAAUCGUUAUCCUUCCAAUAUUUGCAAGCUCUCACUUGUUAGUAAAAUCAUCUUCGUAUAUUGACUCUGUUUCUUUGUUGCCAGGAAGAGUGUGAGCUUCACAGGUUUGAGGAAGUCUUUGCAGUAAACUUUGCACCACGAGCAAUUGCUGCCAAGAGGCAUAUACAUUCAGAGUAAUUUAGUUUCAGAUUUACAAGGUGUGUAUAUUAAAUUAGUUUCGAUUAUCAUAUUUAGUCACUCAUACUGAAACUUUUCUAAUUUUCAAGUUCCUUAGGGACACCACGGUGUUUCAAGUCUGCAUAUGGCUGCAAAAGAUUGAGGCAUCGCGAUUGAGCACACACAGAAACAGAGCAAAAGGAAAAGAAGACAGUAGAAGAUGCUAUAAAUAUAACAAAAGUAUACUUCUACUUGUGGUUAUUUCAAUUUUGUUUCUCCUGUCAUCAUAUUUGAUUAAUUCGUUUGAACUCACAAUCUCACACAUUAUUUAAAACCAUUUGCAGGUGGUUUGCAAGCUAGUUAAGUUAACGCAAAAACAAUACUCUAGACAAAGACGAGCAAAUUAAAGGUGAUAAAUGCAAAUUGAAUUUCCAUGAUUAAUUGUUAGGCUGGUGCAGAUAUUCUUAAAAAGGCAUUAAGCUACCUUAUGGAAUUGGAAAAUUAUUAUUGCUUGAAAGCAAGCAGCAUCUUUGUUGCGAAGGCUUUCCCCACUUGAUAAGAUGCAAGAUUCUUCGCCAAACAUCCUUUUCAUUCCUUUGUUCACUUAUUCGUUAUAAAUAGAGUAAACUUAGAAGAUUGUUCUGUUUGCUGUCUAAGCCAGUGUAACAUUUGUUAAAUUUGGGCCAUCUGCCUGACAGGUUGUCUGUGACAAUCCCAUCUGUAAGUACUAAUGCGCUUGGUUAUGGUGCUUUCAUUGGACUAUAUGCAAACAUGAGAUUUCAGCUAUUGUGUGGAUUUGAUAGAGCGGUCACCAACCAUUUUGAAGUUAUUGGAGUAGCACUGAUCGUAGGCACGGCUUUGAGGUCAUUCCCUCUUCUUUUAUGAAUUUGUCUAUUGAUUGACAUCUCUAUAUAUACAUUGAUAGACCAAAUUACUCUUGUUUUAAUGUUUUGUUUGUUGAACUUUGACUGGGGAAUUUGUUUGUUUGUCUCAUAGUUGUUAAUGUGGUUCCUAUUGAAGUGUAUAUAUCUAUCACAUCAAUGUCUGAUGUCAAUUUUCCUUUACUUAAUCAACUAGCAUCCUUUCCAAGUCCAGAUACUUACCCAUUUGUUCAGCCACAGUGAUUGCAGUCUGAAUUCUUCUUUACUGUCUAUAUGUGUUGGAGUUUGUCUAUUGUCAACUUCUCAAAUGGAUUCCAUGCAGGGUUUUGAAUGUCUAAUUAGGAGAAAGAUCAACGGAUGACCUUUUGAAGAAGCCUUGCACAACAGGCUUGAUACCAAAGUCUCCAGGUGGUUGAUACCAAAGAAUGCCAUUGUUUCUGGGCUUGGGCUCCUUGGCGUCAAACAAGAUAAUGGGAAAUAGGGGCAACUAAAGCGCGAAGAAAGAGGAUGGUCCGGAGGAAGGUGUCUGCAUAAAUUUGUUGGAGUUGAUGUAGUCAAUUGCCCAAUUUUGCUGCCUGUCGAAGAGACACGGCAUGGAAGUCCUCAUCAAACUCUGAGACACCUAAGAAAUAGUAUGAGGUGGUGGUAUUUCCCUGGUGUUAAUUUCCUGGCAAGUGUGAUUCACAGAUAGAGGGAUUCUUUUCUUGAUGUCUAAAUGCCAUAUGUGAUGCAACGUCGUAUAUUCUAAGAUAUUAAAUUCUAUUUCAGAUUUCUCAUAUAGUGUCGUUGUCACUUCUGUGGUACACUUUUGAUCGCAAAUUUCCAUUUGAAGUAGCUGAUAUUCUUUACAGACUAAUUAUCUAAUGAUUAUUUUGUACAAUAAAAAUCAAAACUUAAAUUAUUUGAUCAUACUCAACUUAGGUCUUAUUCGAUACUACUAGUUGUUGUGAAGAAAAAAAAAAUGACAAUGUGUAAUAAAUGUAUGACUUUUAAAUAAUAAUUUUAAUAAAAAUAAUAAAGAUAUUAUAAGUUUUUUUUUAUAAUAAAAUAUGAGAUCAAAUCAAAUUAAUUUUUAAGUCACAAUAGCAAAUGUUUAUCAAAACUAUUUAAUUAUAUGACUUAAAAGAUAUAGUUGUCUAACCGCAACAAUAUAUAUAAAGAUUUACCAAACUUUACCCGACUUUAAUUGUACCCACUCAAUUAUGUAAGUCCAUACUCCACGCGCUUGACCAUAUGAAAUGUUACUCAACUUUAACAAAUCUUACUUAAACUUUGCACGUUUGACCUGCUGGAUGAAAUAUGAUAGCAUAUGAUGCGAUAGAAUAUAAUAGGAAUGGUUGUAACAAGAUUAUAAUUAGUACUAGUUUAUAUUUUAUGUGAUGUAGUAUAUGAACACAUUAUAUUACAAAUUUUAGUGUUAUACUAAUUAAAAAUUGGAAUUAUUUUAUUAUUGUAAAAAUUUAAUAUCUUAAAUAACAGUUAUUUUUAUUAAGUAUUUUUGUUGCAAUGAAUUAUACUUUUUAAAAUAUAAUUGAAAAUUCUUAUUACUAAACUAAUAAAAAAUUAAUUAUUUGAGUUAUCUCCUAAACUACUUAGCUCACGAGAUAAAUUCACUUAGUUUAAAACGAAACGGAUUACAUUUAGUACUAUUUUGUAUUUUAUGUGACGUAGUGGAUGAUUCAAUUAUAUUAUAAAUUUUAUUGUAAUAAAAAAAUUUUGAAUUAUUUUAUUAUUGUAAAAAUGUAAUAUCUUAAAUAACAAUUAUUUUUAUUAAGUAUUUUUUAAUGAUUUAAAAUAUAAUUGUAAAUUCUUAUUAUUAAACUAAUAAAAAAUUAAUUAUUUGAGUCAUCUCCUAAACUACUUAUUUCACGAGAUAAAUUCAAAUAGUUUUGAGAGAAAGAAAGAGAGAGAGGGAAAAAAAUCUUGCUUCCUCUACUUUCUACUCUAGAAGAAAAGGAAAAAAUCUAAUAGUUUUCUCUAUUUUCUAUGACUAUUGAUCGUUAUUCAAAUUUUCAAACAAUAGCCUUAAUAUAAACAUAAGUUAAUUUAUGAUUUCAUCUCAAAUUUCUGAUUUUAUCUUUUUAUUAUUCUCUUAAUUAGUUGUGUUGUUAUUUGUUCUUAUUUCUUUUUAAUAUAUUCUUUUAUUCAUCUACUUUUUUUGUGCUUAUUUUAUCUAUUUUGAAAUAAAACUAUAUCAAAAAACUUUAGACAAUAGAAGAAUAAAAAAAGAGUAAUGAUACAGCCACAAACUCUUGUACAAACUUAUUUUGUACAAACUGAUGUGGCAUGAUAAGAUUGGUUGAAUUAAAUAUCACUUGGCCCACAUGAUUUGUUUUUAUUAAUUUAUAUUUUCAUUCAAUCAAUGAAUUAAUGCCACAUCAGUUUGUAUAAAAUAAGUUUGUACAAAAUAAGUUUGUACAAGAGUUUGUGGUUGUACCAUUACUCAUAAAAAAAUUAGUUUAAUUUAAAAAAAUAAAAAAGAUAUCGUUAAACUUAAAAAAAUAAGUAGAAAUGUUAUAAUUGAAUUAAAAUUUUAUGAAUUAACAACAAUAGAAUAAAUUUGUAUUUAAUAAUUUUAUAUUUUAAAGUAUUUAAAGAAUUAAUUUUUAAUAAAUAAUAUUAAUAUAUAUAUAUAUAUAUAUAUAUAUAAGUUACUUAUCUCUCCAUCCGCACUUAUCUCUCCCUCACAUUCAUCCUCAACCACACAUCAACAUCAACAUCAACAUCACCUCUCAUUGGACCCCACAUCCUCAAGCCCAUCACAGCCGUCCAUAACCUCACCCUCCUCCUCCUCUCCCUCAUCAUGGCCGUUGUUUGCCCUCUCUCCAUCAUCCUCCAUUUACCGCACCUCCGUUACACCCUCUGUUUCCUCCUUACCAUUUCUCCGUCUGGCACGGCCUAAUUCCGACGGAAUCAACGACGGUCGUGAUGGGUUUUGGCUGCGACUAUUCGCGCUUCAAACGGCGGCGUUUCGGUUGGUUUUUGGCGACAGUGACGGUGGGAAAGUGAUGGCUGGCUCAGGAGCUUUCGUUGCUACCAUCCAUGGCCGGUGAGGUGGCCGAAAAUCGGAUAUAUGUCUGCGUCGGGUUCGCAGUUUUGGGUCGGGUUUUCCGGGUCAGUUUGACAGCUUCCUCUAUCCCUCUCCCCCAUAAAACAUUACCCAGCUUCCUCUUAUUAUUAUUUUUUUUUUCACAUACGUUACAGAACAUUAAUGAGAGAUGUUUAGUAGUAAGGACUAUUUUGAUAUUUCGAUGAGUAGUAAAAACUAAUGUUAAAAUUUUAUAGACGAAUGUAUAGUAAGAUGCUCAAAGUACUAGAACAUAUAUAAAUAAUCCCAGCUCUUAUAAAAUUUUGCCACAUAAUGAGUUUUAUCCCUUAAGCAAAACAUAUCGAUAAAGUAUACAAAAGCACAAUGCAUGAAUGAUGGUCUUACAAAGUUCGAAUAUAAAGUUUAUAAUCUAAAAUUAAUGAUGUGACAAUUAACCUAAUGGAGUAAGAAGGCCCAAAUAGAUUAUAUUUUGCUAAAGAAGUAAAUUCUACCAAGAAUACCUCUUUCUAUUGAAUUUAAAUGAUGAUUAUUUGUUUAUAUCAUAAAAACUAAAAUAACUGUGUGAGUAAUUUGAUUCUUUUACAGUAUAAAAAUAAAUUCAGAAAAUGUUAGGGCAUGUUCUGUGUUUUAUUUUUAAAUUUAUAUUAUGAGAAUGAAAAUGGUGUUUUCAAGUUGAUAAAUUUUCAAUUGAAAUAUGUGUUUGUUAUUAUUUCAUUUAUCCUAUAUUUUCAAAAUGAAAAUAACCGAUAGAUAAAGUUAAAAAUGAUAAAAUAAUGGAUAUAUUAAGCAAUUUUACUACAUGCAAAUUAUUUUCUGUGUUUAAAGUUCAUAUAAAGCUUGUUUAUUUUUCAACAUACCAACUUACAAUAAUAAUAAUAAAAUUUUUGUGAUAUCCAAUAUUAACUUUUUAAAGUAAUUAUUUUUUGUUAAUGUGUCCGCUGUUCAAUCGAUCUUUCUACUUUCUAUGCUUGAGAUUAGAUCAUUUGCUUCAAAGAUUCGAACUGGACUUAUAGUAGGAAAAAUAAUUUUCUUCAAUAUGAACUCUAACUCUCUUUUUUAUAUAUAAAAAAAAAUCUAAUUCUCCUUUCAACAUUUCAACAUUUUGAUGAAAUAAAAAAUUAUUGGCGAAAGAUUACAUGCUUCCUUACAUUAGAGAACCAAAUACUCAGAUAGGUAGUGUAAAUCUCUACUGAUCGUUGGUGAUUUUAUCAAAAUAAAAUUCAAUAAAAUGUAUAAGAACACUUAAAUCCGUCCAAAAAAAAAAAUGACCCAGCAAAUAAAGAAAAGUACUGUGAAGUAAAAAUUGAACAAACCUAGAAAGAAGAGAAGAAGAAGAAUGGAAGAAGGAGAUUCGGUUCAUAAAUCAUGGAGGGAGAUGAGACUUAAGAGAUAGGGUUAGUGAGACAGACGAGGUCCUAGAGUCUUAAAGAUGAAGACUAUCUAUUAUUAGUUACUUAUUAUAAUGAUGUUUAUUAUUAUAAUUUAUUUUACAAUUUUUUUAAUGAAACAAGUAAAACAUGUUUAAGUUGUUUUGUAAUUUAUAACUGUUAGAGGCAAGUCAGAUUCUGUGUUUUACAAUUAAAUUUUAUGAGGACUACUGAACGCUUAUUUUACUUAGAUUUAUAAAACGAAAAUGAGAAUGGCAACUUACUUCAUCUCAUACUUUUAGGUCACAAAAAUAGCAAUAAGUCUAACAAAUUUAUUAUUGAAUGUGAAUGGUUAUAUAUCGAUCAUUUGACACGUAUUUUUCUUGACAGAACCUCAAUUCAAUAGACAAAAGCUCCUCUUAAUUUUUCUUUUCUAUUUAAAUAAAAGAACAAAAGAAAUUGAUUACAGAGCCAUUACUUCUCCAAGAAUUAAUAAACGAAAAGGCCCAUAAUUUUUGUAAACCCACCCCACUUUCAAGAAAUAAUUACAAUAAGUUCAAAUUAUUUUUAAAAAAUUGAAAUAAAGAAGAUGUAAUUACAAUAAGUUUGGAGAUUGAAUCAAAUAAAAUAAAAUACCUAAACUAUUAUAUACACGAACUCUUGAUUCUUGGGGUAUUUUAGUCAUUUUAUAUUAUCAUGGUAAGUUAGUCAAAUAAAACUUAUCUUAAAGCAACCUAAAUGGUCAAAGACACCUAAGUUAAAAAAAAAAAAUUAUAUGAAUGAUUUAAUUUAUUGAUUGUCUAUACGUUUUAUUGAUUUAUAUAUUUUAAAAAUAGUAUGAACGUAUUACAAUUAUUUUCUGACAGCAAGGUAGAUUUGUAAAAUAAGUGGGUAGAAAAUAUCCCCGUCCUCAAACAAAUAAAUGAAUUAUCGGUGAUGCAUGCUUUUUUCCAACUUCUUUUUUUCUUUUGGUUUUUUUUUUGGUUUUAAAUGGCAUUGGCCCGACCACUACAAAUUAAUUAGAGAAUAUUUACAAUUAUGUAUCACAGCUGUGGAGUAGAAUCAGGGAAAUUAAAAAUGCUAAAAUUAUUGACGAGUGGGUUAGGCGACAAUAACCAUAAACAUUUUUCGUGUAGUGUAAGAAGAAUGCAACAACUCGUUUCUUUCAGUAUUUUUGCAACAAAAGUACGUUGAACAACUUAUGAAAUUAUUUCUCCUUUUCUUUGCCAGAAUGGAUGUGAUCGCUUCCCCUCUCCCGGAGCAGCUGAACUCCUUUGCUGCUUGUGACUUACCAUAAAUCUUCAAGCCAUUCAAGCUGUGCUUGAAGAUGCAGAGAAGGCAAGUUGAUAUAAGAUUGUUGUAUGGAAUAAGCAGGGUAUCUUCCGAGGCUAGAAAUUGGGCUACGAGUAUUCGUUUUGGACAUAUAAUAUAGUUUCCAAGCUUACGAUGAGUCGAACCAAAUGCAGAACAACCUAGGCUGUUAUGUCCUGCGAUUGAGCUAAAAAUUUCACUUCUUUUAUAGUCGUUUUUCAGUUUUAAGAUAUUUUUCUAUUUUUCUUGAUUCUUCUAAGAUUUUUUAUCAUUUUUUCUAGAUGUUGGAUUUAAGUGCCAUCUGUUUUCUUUCUCUUAUUUAGAUUCGAAAAAUUUUAUUAACAUAUAAUAUUUUGAAUUUGCUUAGUUUGUUAAAUUUGCUAUAUUUAGGCUCCUAUAAAUGGGUUUCAAAACCCUAAUUUUGUUCAUUCAAAUUAUUCUCAAUAAAACUUAUUAUUCAAAUACUAGUUUAUAUUAUGUAAUACCCCACCCCUGGUUUUUGACCCUGUUGACCACCCAUAUAUAUUGAGAGAGAGAGAGAGAACGAAAGAGAGAAGAGACAGAGAGAGAGAGAAAGGAGUUGACCCGGUUUGACCCGCAACCCGACCCGGACCCGCCACUUGACCCGGCCGGUUCUCCCAUUUCCGGCCACCGUUCAGGGCAAGGUUGGUACCGAUUUGAAGCUUGAGAGAUGAGCUACGUAUCCAUGUCGUCCUUGCCGCCGAAAAACGAUCGGAAAGCCACCGAACGAAGCGUUGAAGUACCGCGGAAUCGCCGGCUCGAUUCGCCGUGAUUUCGCCGAGUUCCGGUGUAGCCAUCACUUGGGUUUUGUUCCUUACCUUUCCCUCUGCCAUUUCCGACUAACCACUGACGCCGGGGACGUCGUUUUGCCGUUGAUCGGCCGUUGGAGGACUCACGGCUUUGGGACCUCGAUCCGGAGCCAUCGCCGCGCGUGGGAGGUCACCACCGCCACCAUUGGACUCAGCGUGGCUUGAACUUUCAGUUCUGAGCUUCCCGUCGCCGUCGAUUGGAUUCCGGUGACCGUUGACCGGCAAGGGUAUUUCGGUAAUUUCACAGUCUAAGGGCAAUUUUGUAAUUUUAGAUUUUAUGGGUAUUUUAGUAAUUGUUGUAAUUGAGGAUAAAGUUGGUAAUUUAUGAUUUUGAGGUUAAUUUGGUAAUUUUGAUAUGAGAGUAUUUUGGUAAUAUUGAAUUCAAGGGUAAUUCGGUAAAUUCAUAAAUUUGAGGGUAAAUAUGUAAUUUGUGGAAUCAGUGGAUAAAUUGGUAAUUUUAAGUUGGGGUAAUGAGGUAAUUUGAUAUUUCGAGAGUAAUUCGGUAAUUUAAGUUGUUAAGAACAUUUUGGUAAUUUACGCUCCGAGGGUAAUUUUGUAAUUUCUGACAUUGUGGUUAUUUAUGUGAUCUGAAUUGAGGACAAUUUAGUAAUUGAAGAUUUUGAGGAUAAUUUGGUAAAAUAAUGAUGAUGGGGGCAUUUUGGUAAUUUUGGCAUGUAGGGGUUUUUCGGUAAUUUUGUACAUGCGGGAAUAGUUUAUUGUUGAUAGAUUUUCGUUUCGAGAAUUAUUAUGUAAGAUUCGUUGUAUUUCAAGUUAACGGAGAAUGAUUAUGUCGUUUGCUUGAUUAGGAGGAUCUGCGAAACGAGAAUCAACCCGCGGACGUUGUUGACACCGAGUCUGGACAUUGUCACUGUGAGUGGAAUAUACGAAACCUAUUUUUAGAGUUAAUUAUGAUAGUAAAGCAUGUUUGCGGAAUAAGUAUUUUAAAUGUUCUGAUUUAAUGAUUUCUUGAAAUGGAUUUAAUGGGAUUUUCUCGAAAUGGAUUUUAUUCACGUGUUGAUAUUAUAUUAAAAUGUUUGGUUAAUGAUUUUGCGUAUCGAUUUUGAAUAAAGAGUGAUAUGAUUUGAAAGCUAAGAAAAGUGGAUUCAAAUGUGGUAUGAUUUAAAAUAUGGUAAAGAGGUAUGUGAAUAUGAGUACAGUGAUUGUUUUUGAAAUCAUUAGACAGUACCCUUCCCCUCCAGAUACAGUGAUAUAAAUGAUAUGAGAUGAGAGGUCUUUGGGGCCCGUCUGAACACACAUAGAGGCUUUGGGCCGUGUGUUUGGGCGCUUUUGCCUUUGGGGCAUAUGCAUGCGGUAUGAUUAUUACAGUGAUACAGAUAUUGAGAUACAGUGAUACAGAUAUGGGCUACAGACAGUUAUUGAGAUACAGUGAUACAGAGAUGGGAUACAGAUCAGUUAUUGAGAUACAGUGAUACAGAGAUGGGAUACAGAUCAGUUAUUGAGAUACAGAGAUACAGUGAUAUAGAUAUGAGAUACAGACAGUUGAGAUACAGAUGAGAUACAGGCCUUUGGGGCCCGUCUGAGUACACACAGAGGCUUUGGGCCGUGUGCUUGGGCGCUUUUGUCCUUUGGGGACUAGAUUAUGUAUGCACAGAUAUGAUGAGAUAUGAGAUAGUAUUUCCCUGUCUAUCCGUGUAGCUCCGGGGCGUGACGUUACCCAGAUAGUAGCCCGUCCGUUGAGGUCCGAAUAUGACGAGAUUAUUUCCCUGGGUACUUGUUUGAUGAUAGUUUUGGUAUUCAGUAUUUGAUAUGAUAAGUAUUAUGUUUCCAUCGAUUUUAUGCAGAUUUAUGUAAUAUAGUAUUUCAGUGACUGAUUUGAAUUAACUACUUAUGAUAUUCUGAUGAAAUUGAUUUGAGAAAUUGAUGAUUUGAGAAAAUUGAUUUGAGAAAGAUUAAAUCAUUUGAAAAGAAUUGGUUUUUCAAAGUUACUAUCCACUCACUGAGUUCACUGAGUUUUAUACUCAUUCCGCUUUUAUUAUAUUUCCCCCCCCUCACAGGAGAUUUGCAGGUACAUCAGUCGACUCAGUAACGAUAGUUAGAUUUGAAAUUGUGGCCACGUGCUGGUGCUAGGAGUCGUGGAUUUAAUACUGUGAUUUUUGGGAUAUUGCGAGUUGUAUUUAUUUAUUCUAUUUCGUAAUUAAGGAAAACUAUUGUAUUUUAAUAUCAGAAUGAUUUGGGAGUAUUUGGUAUGUCGACUUGAGAAGUUGGUUAUGGAGGAUGGAUGGAUAUUGAAUUAUUUUGGGAGUAUUGUUUUGUAAAUUGCAGGUUGGGAAUGUUUUAUUUAUAAGGGAGAUUCUGCCGAAAUUUUUAUAGAAUUCUUAGAUAUCGUAAUUAAUAUCGUUUUGAUUUUACGAGUUCAGAUGGACUCGCCCUGGGGGUGCGGGGCGGGUCGUUUCAUAUUAUCUAAUAGCUUUUCAAUGUUUCUGCAUCAUCAGCUGGUAUCAGAGCAAGUUCACUUGUCAUCAUGGUGCGAACACACAAUCAAAGGAGCAACCAUCCCGGAGACGAUGUUCAAGGGAUGUAGGCAACGACUGUGGAGGUUAUCAGAUAGAUGGUCAAAGGAGCAGUCUUGCAAGUCAUGAAGGACGCAUAUAACCUGAGAAUGGUAGCAGACAAAUAUUAGGUUAUCUCUUGUAAGCCAUAUUCAUAAAUGUAUUGAGGGAAAGAUACUUUUUUCUUGUCUUAAAUGAUGUGUGGGAUGGACGUUACAAUUAAUGGGAACCAUUCUUCUGUUGUUUAAAGAAUGGUCUCUACGAUAGUCAAAUUUUGAUUACUACACGUAAUCAGUUAGUAGCAAGCAUGAUGAGAUCAACAAAUCUUGCCUUUCUUAAGGAAUUAAUUGAAGAAGAAUGUUGGUCAUUGUUUAAGGAGGUAGCAUUUUUGGGUCAAUUCUUCAAGGAUCGUGAUCAAUCGAUCAAAAAAUUGCAUGUAAGUGCAAAGGCUUGCCUUUUGUUGCAAAGAUAAUAGGGAAAUUCUUACACUAUAAAUGACCAAUAGAAGAAUAGAAAAUAAUUUUAGAUAGUGGAAUGUGGAAGGUAGAAGAGUUUGGGAAAGCUCUUUUGGCUCCUUUGUCGUUAAGUUAUAAUGAUUUGUCGUCCAUAGUAAAACAAUAUUUCUCACAUUGUGCUAUCUUUUCCAAAGGUUACAAUAUGUGUAAAGAGGAACUAAUUACACUAUGGAUGGCUCAAAAUUACCUUAAAUGUAGAAGAAGGAAGAGAUGGAGAUCCGAUCCAAUCUGAUAGUAGUAGUUUAUUUUAAUUUUUAUUAAUUUGAUUUCAUAGGAGUAGUUUUCAUUUUUUGUUGAAAUUUGGUAAAACAAAAAACUGAAAUGAGAUAAUUACUUUAAAACAAUCUUCAAGAACUAAAAUAAUUAAAAAAAAACUCAAAAUAAACAAAAAAGGCUUUAAAAUAACCCUAAUCCGAACAUUAUUUGAAUCAAUCCUAACUAGCCCGAAUAUGAUUUUAACCCAAACCCAACCUAACUCGCUUAUAAUUAUAACCCAAUGCGAUCCAAAUUCAACUUGAAUAUUUGAUCCGAUCUAAUCCAAUUUGUAUAUUCUAACCCUAUCAACCAGAAACGCAAUUAGGUUGAUCUGAACCCACAUUUGUCCACUCCCAAAGGGGAUCAUGACCCUACAAGCUUUGAAAGUUUUUUGAGAUUUCUAAGUGAAUAUUAAAAAUUAUGUAUAAAAAGACUGAUUUGACCCCUAAACACUUGAUAUAGAAACUUUAUACAUACAAUAGAAAUUUAAUUUUAUAUUUUGUGAAAUAAAGUCAAAGUAACUGAAUUUUUUUUUAUUUUGUUAAUUAUUUUUCUACUAUGACAAAAUGACAAAUAGCCUUGUGCCUAGCCCUUUGACUUUUAUUUUGCUAAUUAUUUUUUUCAUUUCUCUUGCAACAGUAACUUCAAUUAUCAAUCAAAGUCGCCAAAUCAAAAUCUCUGCAGCCUGCAGCUACAAGCAAACUUCUCAAAUUUCGAAAUUCCUUAUGACUACAUAAUAGCUAUAAAUAGAAAAAGCGUCUAAAAUAACUAUGUUUUUCGUUUGAGCUUGAGCUCCCUGAAGAUUUACUCCAUACGUAACAAAAUAUUAGUUUUGCUAGUAAAAUUGCUAACUAUGUUUUUCUUUGUAUUUCCACUCAAGGAUGAAGAAAUUUCCCUAGACUUUUGUGGUGAAUAUCUUACGAACAUAUGAAAAUUUAAUCUUUGGCUGAGACUUGCUUAACAUAAGAGAUGACACUUUGAAGCAAUAGGAGAGAGAGAUAAUAAGCUUUGUUCCCCCAAAAAAAUCUAUCAGAUAUAUUAUGCCCCCGGUUGCUAUUGCUAAAAAUAGUCAUAAUUACUAAAAAAAUAAGUAAUUCUUUUUUUAUAUAUUAAAAUGGUAAACGGGUGGAUAAAAUUUAAAAUAAUUAUUUAACUUUUUAUCUAUUUUGACAUUCGAAUUUUAAGCUCGAGAAGUAAAGCAAUAAAUAAACCUUUUUGAGAGGCUAACUAAAUUCUUAGUAAUUUCAUAUAAUUGCAUUUCAUCAGAACAGUUUUAUCAAAAGCAAUUUUAUAAAUCUUUGUGGAAAGCUUUAAUCCUUAAUUAUCUUUCACAUAUUUUCUUUGUAAUAUGAGGUAAGUCAUGGACCAUAGUAUGGUAUUUAUUGUAAAUAAAAUCAUUAUGAAACUGAUUUUAUUCUUUUUUUUUUUCACAAACAAAGUAUCUAGCUAACUGCAGAUAUAAUGAAUUACUAAUUACCAUUAUUUGAGUCGCUCUCUAAAUUAGAUCUUGGAGUCUGUCAUGGCAUAAUAAAAUUAACGACAUAAUGGCUUUUGAUUUUGCCUACCUGAUAAUAAAAGUUGUCUGCCAUAUAGACAAGAAAUGGAUCCAUACGUUAAAGCAAAAUUGAAAAAUAUAAAAAAAAUAAAUUGCUAGGAGAUGAUUUUAUCUGAAAUUUCACUUGCACGGUAUUGGCUACAAAUAAAUUUGUGAUGAAAUUCAUAACGGAUUAAUAUAAUUGAACGGAAUUACUCUAUACAAUUUCAUAAGUAUGUAUUAUACAAUUAAAAAUCUAUUGAUAUUUAUAAUAAAAUAAUAUAUCUACUAAGUGCUGGGAUAUAUAUUUGUGGGGAAUGAUAAAUGUAGAGAAUUACAGUAAUAAAGGUGGAAGUGGAACUUUAUUAUAAUUAAUUAAUGUGUUUACAAUUCUAUAAGUAUAAUAAAAUAAUAGUAAUAGGUAAAUUGUAGAAAAUUAAUGUGUACUUCAAGGCACAUUACAAAUGUCGCCUUCCUAAAGAUAUUAUUUGUCCCACCAAUUAAGUGAUGCAUAUAGGCUAAACAAAUACACCUCCAGGAUACAAUGAAUCACUUAUUUGUUUGCUUGCGUUGUUCAUCGAUGGAAGCAAACUUGAAUACUCUUGAAUGUUGCAAGCUUGCCAAGAAUCAAUAUAUUAUUCAUGUAGUAAACAAUAUAUUAGAUAUUUGAUGCAUAUAGUAUUGAUGUUAUACAAUAAAAUUUGUUUCAGGAAAGAGGGCUGAAAAGAGAGUGAUGCAAUAUCAUUGUUUCCUUGUUUAAAAAUUAAUUCUAAAUUAGCCAUGACAUGCAAUCUUUUAAUAUUCACAUGUUCUAAAUGAAUAUGCUACAAAGAUAAUGAGUCAAUCAUGUAAGCAGAAGAAACAUUAAUUUUAUUAAUAUUGAGCUUGAGCAUUCCCUAAUACAUGUAUUCUUUCCCAAUAAAGGUACCACCCUUAGACAAUGCAAAUUUGCUUUGACUCAAAUAAGGUACCACCCUAAUUUAGAUACAAGAUUUUUCCUACCUUUAGAUACAUGAUAAACAUCAAUAUGAGUUAAAGGUUUUCCACAAGUGAACUCUAGUUGCACAUUCCCUCUAAUUGAUGCACUGGAGGAAUUUCCCAUCUAAAGAACACUUCAAUCAUCCAUUGCUUUGUAAGAUAUGAAAAAGCUACGAUUCUUGUACACAUACUUGAUUGCACCGGAAUCUAUUCACCAUGCAUUAUCAUGUUCGAGAAUAUUAAUCUUAGAUAUCACGGCCAUAAAUUUUGUCCACAAAAUUUGUGUUCGAACACUUCUUUUAUUUCUUAAGAAGUUGACAGUCUUUUCUAAAGUGGCUAGGCUUUUCACAUUGGUCACAUGUACACUUCUUUUUUUAUUCUGUUGGUUUGAUUCUAUUUGAAAUCAAACUUUUGCUUUUGGUUAUUAAUGCGGUCAUUAGACUGCUUAAGCUCCUUCUCCUCCUCCACAACAUUAAUUUCAGAGGACAUAGCAGUUUGUUCCUCAAGACUAUUAAGUCUAAGUUUCUAUUCAAUAUGAAGACUUUGCUAUGCCUUCCAGGCUAAUUUCCUCUUUGCUAUAUUUAAGACUAUUUUCAUAGUUUUUUCAAGUGGGGGGAAGUUUAUCAAUAAUUGAAGAAAUAAUAAUAAACUUGUUACUUUUCAUGUUGUGUUGGUUGAAUUGAUUAAGAAUGCAAAAAAUCUCAUUAUAUUGUUCAUGCAAACACAGCCUGGUUUACAGAUUUUAGUCGUUGCUUCAUGCAAACACAGCCCAUCCAGGAUGCUCAGGUAUCAAAGAUCCGGCGUUGUUUGAGCUAAGAAGCAAAAGCAAACUAUGUAAUUGUUCAAAUAGAAGGAUUUGCAAGCAUGGUGCUCCAUGCCAGCUGAAAUAUGUAAAGAUAUGCAAGAAUCAAAUUCCACAUAUAGCUUUCGAAGAGGUUCGCGCAUUAGGCUUUUCUAGUUUGUCUGAAUAUUUGGAAAGAUUUGCAAGCAUCAUGUUCCAGUCACAGAACAUCCACGUGAGGAUGCUCAUAAACAUGGCUCCCAUGAACUUGCUGAACGUCUUAAUUAUGAACCGCAAGCUGCCAAUAAGCAGAAUAAUUAUAUCUUUUCCAGUUUUUCUGUCAUGGCUCUUUAUUCCUGUUGUUUGUAAGACCAUGAAAACAAAAAAUUUGAUAUUACAAAUGCUGAUCACUAUUUAUGGUAACGUAUGACGUAUCUAGUAGUACAAAUGCAUAUAGGGUGAAUUUCAGCAUUUUAAUUGACAAGUCAUUUGCUGAUGCUCACCUUUCAAAUGCACUACUGGGUUCUGAUAAUUGAGAGGCUAACUAAAUUCUUAGUAAUUGCAUAUAAUUUCAUUUCAUCAGAACAGUUUUAUCCAAAGCAAUUUUAUAAAUCUUUGUGGAAAGCUUUAAUCCUUAAUUAUCUUUCACAUAUUUUCUUUGUAAUAUGAGGUAAGUCAUGGACCAUAGUAUGGUAUUUAUUGUAAAUAAAAUCAUUAUGAAACUGAUUUUAUUCUUUUUUUUUUUCACAAACAAAUUAUCUAGCUAGCUGCAGAUAUAAUGAAUUACUAAUUACCAUUAUUUGAGUCGCUCUCUAAAUUAGAUCUUGGAGUCUGUCAUGGCAUAAUAAAAUUAACGACAUAAAGGCUUUUGAUUUUGCCUACCUGAUAAUAAAAGUUGUCUGCCAUAUAGACAAGAAAUGGAUCCAUACGUUAAAGCAAAAUUGAAAAAUAUAAAAAAAUAAAUUGCUAGGAGAUGAUUUUAUCUGAAAUUUCACUUGCACGGUAUUGGCCACCUAUAAAUUUGUGAUGAAAUUCAUAACGGAUUAAUAUAAUUGAACGAAAUUACUCCAUACAAUUUCAUAAGUAUGUAUUAUACAAUUAAAAAUCUAUUGAUAUUUAUAAUAAAAUAAUAUAUCUACUAAGUGCUGGGAUAUAUAUUUGUGGGGAAAGACAAAUGUAGAGAAUUGCAGUAAUAAAGGUGGAAGUGAAACUUUAUAAUAAUUAAUUAAUGUGUUCACAAUUCUGUAAGUAUAAUAAAAUCAUAUUAAUAGGUAAAUUGUAGAAAAUUAAUGUGUACUUAAGGGCACAUUACAAAUGUCGCUUUCCUAAAGAUAUCAUUUGUCCCACCAAUUAAGUGAUGCAUAUAGGCUAAACAAAUAUACCUCCAGGAUACAAUGAAUCACUUAUUUGUUUGCAUGUGUUUUUCAUCGAUGAAAGCAAACUUGAAUACUUUUGAAUGUUGCAAGCUUUUCGAGAAUCAAUAUAUUAUUCCUAUAGUAAACAAUAUAUUAGAUAUUUGAUGCAUAUAGUAUAGAUGUUAUACAAUAAAAUUUGUUUCAGGAAAGAGGGUUGAGAAGAGAGUGAUGUAGUAUCAUUAUUUCCAUGUUUAAAAAUUAAUUCUAAAUUAGCUAUAACAUGCAAUCUUUUAAUAUUCACAUGUCCUAAAUGAAUAUGCUACAAAAAUAAUGAGUCAAUCAUGUAAGAAGAAGAAACAUUAAUUUUAUUAAUAUUGAGCUUGAACAUUCCCAAAUACAUGUAUCCUUUCCCAAUAAAGGUACCUGAAACGACCCGCCCCGAAAACCCCUAGGCGAGUCUAUCUAGUCUCAUCAAAACGGACUAGAAAAUCUAUUCAUAAAGAGUCUGCCGAAAAUUCGGCAGAGUCUCCUUUAUAUAUAUAACACUCCCAAUCUACAAAUAUGAAAAUAACACUCCCAAUACAAAUCUCAUAUACAACAAACUCCAGUACUCAACAUACUCAACCAAAAUGCUGAGUCUUAUAUUAUACAAUCCCAAAAGAACAAGAUGACCAAAAUGUCCCAACAAAAACAUUUACACAAUCUAGCACCAUCACGUGGCCAAGACUCAAAAUAUAUAUACAGUCGCUGGGUCAGUCUGGUGUACCUGCAACCUCCUGGUGAGGGGGGAAAAAUAUAAUAAAAGCAGGGUGAGUUUAAAACUCAGUGAGAUCAGUGAGUGGAUAGUAGGUUUGAAAAUUAAAUCUUACUUUAAAAGAAAUAAUCAUAUCAUUUCCAAAUACGGUUUCAUUAAACCAUAAGCGAGAAAUCAGAAAUAAAUCAUUAAACAUUUAAAUCAGAUUACCAACCAUAGAAAUCAUAUCACCAAAUCAUAUAGGAUUCACAAAUCUGAAAAUCAUCAUAAAACAAGUACCCAGGGAAAUAAUCUCGUCAUAUCCGGACCUCAACGGACGGGCAAUGACGUACUAUCUGGGUAACGUCACGCCCCGGAGCUACACAGAUAGACAGGGAAAUACCAUCUCAUAUCUCAUCAUAUCUCUGCAUGCAUAAUCUAGUCCCCAAAGGACAAAAGCGCCCAAGCACACGGCCCAAAGCCUCUGUGUGUACUCAGACGGGCCCCAAAGGCCUGUAUCUCAUCUAUAUCAUCUGUAUCACAAUAUCGGUCUGUAUCUCAUGUCUGUAUCAUCUGUAUUUCAAUGUCUGUCUAUAUCUCAUAUCUGUAUCACUGUAAUCAUACCGCAUGCAUAUGCCCCCAAAAGGCAAAAGCGCCCAAACACACGGCCCAAAGCCUCUAUGUGUGUUUAGACGGGCCCCAAAGGCCUCUCAUCUCAUAUCAUUUAUAUCACUAUAUCUGGAGGGAAGGGUACUGUUUAAUGAUUUUAAAAACAAUCAUAAUACUCAUAUUCUCAUACCUCUUAACCAUAUUUUAAAUCAUACCACACAUUUUAAUAUAAUCUCAACACGUGAAUAAAAUCCAUUUCGAGGGAAUCACAUUAAAUCCAAUUCGAGAAAAAUCGCAUUAAACCCAUUUCGAGAAAUCAUUAAAUCAAAACAUUUAAAAUGCUUAUUCCGCAAACAUGCUUACUAUCAUCGCUAACUAUAAAAAUAAGUUUUAUAUAUUCCACUCACAGUGAUGGUGUUCAGGGUCGGUUAUCGUCCAUGUCCGCAGUCCGGUUCUCGCUCGCGGAUCCUCCUAAAUCAAGGAAACGACAUAAUUAUUUUCCAUAAAUCGGAAUUCCGACUCAAUAUAUGCCAUAAACUCGAAACGAACAUUUAUCCAUAAUUUACAACUCCCGUGUCGAUAAAAUUACUAAAAUGCCCUUGCCGGUGAACGGUCGCCGGAAAUUGGUCAACGACGAUGGGAAGCUUAGGUCUGCUAGUUCAGACCUCGGUGAGUCCAAUGGUGGUGGCUGUGAGUCCCCACGCGCGGUACCGACGGCGGAUCGAGCUUCCCAAGCCGUGAGCUUCCAAGUGGCUAUUCGUCGGCAAUCCGGCCGUUUCAGAUGACGAGGUUGGUCGGAAAAUGAUUCUGGUGACGUGAGGAGUAGAAACCAGCUAGAGGUGUGCCCAAACUCUGGCAAAAUCGACGGCGGCGAAAACGGGUCUUGGCCGCGACUUUUCAAGCUCAAACGCCGGCGUUCCAGUCGGUUUCCGGCGACGAGGAUGGCAGGGUUAUGAUGGCCGGCUUCCAAGCUUCAGAUUGGUACCAAGCUCGGCUGGUGAGGUGGCCGGAAUCGUGAAAUCCGUCCGGGUCAAAGUCGCGGGUCGGGUCGGGUUUCCGGGUAAAAAAUCGGGUCAACUCUCUUUCUCUGUGUUACACGUGCAUGUGUUUUCCUUUGUUUCCAACUUAUUCCUUUGCUUAUAAACUCCUUAACCGCCUCAUGCCAUCUUAAGUGCAAACACCACUGCUGCUAGCUCUAAAUCAUGUGUUGGAUAGUUUUGUUCAUGCUUCUUAAGUUGUCUAGAGGCAUAAGCCACCACUUUCCCAUGCUGCAUCAAUACACAACCCAAUCCAUGCCUAGAGGCAUCGCUGUAAACCACAAAUCCUUCAUUACUAUAUGGAAGUGUAAGAACUGGUGCUGAGGUCAAACAUGUCUUAAGUUCUUGAAAACUUUUCUCACAGUCAUCAUCCCACUGGAACUUAGCAUUCUUUCUGGUUAACCGUGUCAGAGGAGUAGCAAUCUUGGAGAAGCCUUCCACAAAUCUACGAUAAUAACCAGCUAACCCAAGAAAACUCCGAACCUCUGUGACAUUUGUAGGUCGUUCCCAUUUCACAACUGCUUCAAUCUUUUGAGGAUCAACAUAAAUGCCUUUAGCUGAUAUCACAUGGCCCAAAAAAUACUACUCUAUCUAACCAGAACUCGCAUUUGCUGAACUUGGCAUACAACUGUUUUUGUCUCAAAAUCUUCAAAACAGUCCACAAAUGCUGUGCAUGCUCCUCCUCGCUUCGGGAAUACACUAAAAUAUCAUCAAUGAAUACAACCACAAACCGAUCCAGGUACAGGCGAAAUACCCUAUUCAUCAGGUCCAUAAAAGCAGCUGGGGCAUUUGUCAACCCAAAUGGCAUCACUAAGAACUCAUAGUGCCCAUAACGGGUUCUGAAUGCUGUUGUAGGAACGUCAACAUCUUUAAUUCUAAGCUGAUGGUAACCCGAGUGCAAAUCGAUCUUAGAAAAUACUUUUGCCCCUUGGAGUUGAUCAAAUAAGUCAUCAAUACGCGGAAGUGGAUACUUAUUGCGCACCGUAACUUUAUUCAACUGUCUGUAGUCGAUGCAGAGUCUAAAAGUCCCAUCGUUUUUCUUAACAAACAAGAUUGGAGCUCCCCACGGGGACACACUGGGUCUAAUAAACCCUUUCUCCACCAACUCUUGCAAUUGAAUCUUCAGUUCCUUCAAUUCUGCUGGAGCCAUUCUGUACGGUGCCAUAGAUAUCGGAGAUGUUCUAGGGACUAAGUCAAUAGAAAACUCAACUUCUCUGUUAGGUGGCAUCCCAGGAAGUUCAUUUGGAAAUACAUCUGGAAAUUCUUUAACUACUGUAAUAUCCUCCAAUCUCAAUUUUCGGACUUCUGUAUCUAUCACAUGAGCUAAAUAAGCUGAGCAUCCUUUUCUUAGCAACCUUCUUGCACUAAUAGCAGAUAUAACACAUGAGGGUAGAACUCUGCGCUCCCCACAAAAUUUCACCUCAGCUUUCCCUGGCUUUUUAAACACAACGUCCUUUUUGAAACAAUCCACCGUAGCAUAAUGAGAUUCAAGCCAAUCCAUACCCAAAAUAGCAUCAAAGUCAUAAAUCUUUAAGGAAAUCAAAUUCGCCUCAAAUUCAUAAUCACCCAUUCCAAUCAUACAAUCUCGAUACACACUCUGAGCAAGUAAUGACUCUCCGGUAGGUGUACGAACAACUAAUUCGCAAUCUAAUAGUUCGGGCUCUCGCCCUAUAUGCAUAGCAAAAGCACGAGAAACAAAAGAGUGUGUAGAUCCAGGAUCAAUAAGAAUAUGAGCCUCGCGGCCAAGGAUAGAUAAUAUACCCAUAAUAACUCUGGUGCAGCACGUGCCUCCUGCUGCGUCAAAGCAAAAACUCAAGCCUGAGUAUGAGGUCGACCAAGCUGACCUCUCUGACCUGGAGCAGUCGUCUGACCCCUAAAGGUAGAUGUAGAACCUCCUGUCUGCACUCCUCUCUGACCCUGAGUCUGGCCAGAGUAAGGCUGAUACCGUGAGGCUGUCCCUCCUGUAGAGCUAUCACCCUGAGAUAAAGUAGGGCAAAAUCUCCUGAUGUGUCCAGGCUGACCACAUAAAUAACAAACUUUGUCUCCAACACGACAUGGGCCCUGAUGAUUCCUGCCACAUGAAGGGCAAGAAAUCUGCUGAAAACGCCUAGAACGAUCAUCACGAUAUCCCCCACCACUGCGGUCGUACUGUCCCUGAUUCUUGGUAUUACUCCCCACCGAUGGUUGCACAGAGCUAUGACUAACAGCUUGUCUCGAGUCCCCCCUGAAGCCUGUACCCUGAUUCCUUUGCGUACUAUCAGAAUAACUCGUAGGAAUACCCCCUCUCUUGGGCGGCCUACUACUAGAGCCACCCUCUGCCCAGCUCUGGCUACGCUUUUGCUUCAGUGCAUGAAAUCUACGUCCUUCUGCAAUACUGUGCUCUACUCUCCUGGCUGCCUCAACUACCUCUCCAAACUUAGUAUAUCGUGAUGCAGUCACAGUGGUACGAAUCUCAAAUCGGAGGCCAUCCUCGAACCGUCUGCAUCUCUCUCUCUCAUCACCGACUACAGAUGUAGCAAAUCUAGAGAGGUCUAAAAAUUUCUUCUCAUACUCCUCAACUGUCAGAGAUCCCUGAACCAACCGAAAGAAUUCACUUCGUUUAAUAUCCUGAUAUACAGCAGGAAAAUAAUGAUCGUAGAAUUCCUUGCGAAAAAUGGCCCAAGUAAUCGCAGCAUGUCCCUGAUAUCGUCUCUCCACUGUCUGCCACCAAUGAUAAGCUCUAUCCUCGAGCAGGAAAGUGGCGAAGGAUAAUCUAUCAUCCUCUGAACACUUCAUCACAUCAUAAAUACGCUCUAACUUAACAAACCAUGACUCAGCCUCAGGUGGUUCUCCGGAACCAUUAAAACUCUUCGCCCCUAAACUCCUCACUCGCUCAAUAGUAUUUGCAUUACCGACAUGCGCUUGCGUCUGAUUUUGCACAACUGUAGUCAUGAUUUGAGCCAGCCUAUCAAAUGACUGCUCAAUAUUCGGGGCAUCCCCCGGUGUCUGUUGUGCAAUUCCAUGCGUAGAGGAUUCAACUAUCCCCUCAUUCGCGGGUUCACGUUCCCCCGCAGGUACACUACCAGAAGUCAACCCAGCUAUUGGCCUAGUACGGCCACGGCCACGUCUACUACUACGACGAAGCAUGAUGGUGCCUACAAGAGAUAAACUCUAACUUUAAUAAAGAUAAAACUUAUUCUGAUUAAGACAGUGAAGUCUACAGAAUCUAAAACCAUGCUCUGAUACCAACUGAAACGACCCGCCCCGAGAACCCCUAGGCGAGUCUAUCUAGUCUCAUCAAAACGGACUAGAAAAUCUAUUCAUAAAGAGUCUGCCGAAAAUUCGGCAGAGUCUCCUUUAUAUAUAUAACACUCCCAAUCUACAAAUAUGAAAAUAACACUCCCAAUACAAAUCUCAUAUACAACAAACUCCAGUACUCAACAUACUCAACCAAAAUGCUGAGUCUUAUAUUAUACAAUCCCAAAAGAACAAGAUGACCAAAAUGUCCCAACAAAAACAUUUACACAAUCUAGCACCAUCACGUGGCCAAGACUCAAAAUAUAUAUACAGUCGCUGGGUCAGUCUGGUGUACCUGCAACCUCCUGGUGAGGGGGGAAAAAUAUAAUAAAAGCAGGGUGAGUUUAAAACUCAGUGAGAUCAGUGAGUGGAUAGUAGGUUUGAAAAUUAAAUCUUACUUUAAAAGAAAUAAUCAUAUCAUUUCCAAAUACGGUUUCAUUAAACCAUAAGCGAGAAAUCAGAAAUAAAUCAUUAAACAUUUAAAUCAGAUUACCAACCAUAGAAAUCAUAUCACCAAAUCAUAUAGGAUUCACAAAUCUGAAAAUCAUCAUAAAACAAGUACCCAGGGAAAUAAUCUCGUCAUAUCCGGACCUCAACGGACGGGCAAUGACGUACUAUCUGGGUAACGUCACGCCCCGGAGCUACACAGAUAGACAGGGAAAUACCAUCUCAUAUCUCAUCAUAUCUCUGCAUGCAUAAUCUAGUCCCCAAAGGACAAAAGCGCCCAAGCACACGGCCCAAAGCCUCUGUGUGUACUCAGACGGGCCCCAAAGGCCUGUAUCUCAUCUAUAUCAUCUGUAUCACAAUAUCGGUCUGUAUCUCAUGUCUGUAUCAUCUGUAUUUCAAUGUCUGUCUAUAUCUCAUAUCUGUAUCACUGUAAUCAUACCGCAUGCAUAUGCCCCCAAAAGGCAAAAGCGCCCAAACACACGGCCCAAAGCCUCUAUGUGUGUUUAGACGGGCCCCAAAGGCCUCUCAUCUCAUAUCAUUUAUAUCACUAUAUCUGGAGGGAAGGGUACUGUUUAAUGAUUUUAAAAACAAUCAUAAUACUCAUAUUCUCAUACCUCGUAACCAUAUUUUAAAUCAUACCACACAUUUUAAUAUAAUCUCAACACGUGAAUAAAAUCCAUUUCGAGGGAAUCACAUUAAAUCCAAUUCGAGAAAAAUCGCAUUAAACCCAUUUCGAGAAAUCAUUAAAUCAGAACAUUUAAAAUGCUUAUUCCGCAAACAUGCUUACUAUCAUCGCUAACUAUAAAAAUAAGUUUUAUAUAUUCCACUCACAGUGACGGUGUUCAGGGUCGGUUAUCGUCCAUGUCCGCAGUCCGGUUCUCGCUCGCGGAUCCUCCUAAAUCAAGGAAACAACAUAAUUAUUUUCCAUAAAUCGGAAUUCCGACUCAAUAUAUGCCAUAAACUCGAAACGAACAUUUAUCCAUAAUUUACAACUCCCGUGUCGAUAAAAUUACUAAAAUGCCCUUGCCGGUGAACGGUCGCCGGAAAUUGGUCAACGACGAUGGGAAGCUUAGGUCUGCUAGUUCAGACCUCGGUGAGUCCAAUGGUGGUGGCUGUGAGUCCCCACGCGCGGUACCGGCGGCGGAUCGAGCUUCCCAAGCCGUGAGCUUCCAAGUGGUUAUUCGUCGGCAAUCCGGCCGUUUCAGAUGACGAGGUUGGUCGGAAAAUGAUGCUGGUGACGUGAGGAGUAGAAACCAGCUAGAGGUGUGCCCAAACUAUGGCAAAAUCGACGGCGGUGAAAACGGGUCUUGGCUGCGACUUUUCAAGCUCAAACGCCGGCGUUCCAGUCGGUUUCCGGCGACGAGGAUGGCAGGGUUAUGAUGGCCGGCUUCCAAGCUUCAGAUUGGUACCAAGCUCGGCUGGUGAGGUGGCCGGAAUCGUGAAAUCCGUCCGGGUCAAAGUCGCGGGUCGGGUCGGGUUUCCGGGUAAAAAAUCGGGUCAACUCUCUUUCUCUGUGUUACACGUGCAUGUGUUUUCCUUUGUUUCCAACUUAUUCCUUUGCUUAUAAACUCCUUAACCGCCUCAUGCCAUUUUACAACCACAGGUGUUACAGUACCACCCUUAAACAAUGCAAAUUUGCUUUGACUCAAAUAAGGUACCACCCUAAUAUAGAUACAAGAUUUUUCCUACCUUUAGAUACAUGAUAAACAUCAAUAUGAGUUAAAGUUUUUCCACAAGUGAACUCUAGUUGCACAUUCCCUCUAAUUGUUGCAAUGGAGGAAUUUCCCAUCUAAAGAACACUUCAAUCAUCCAUUGCUUUGUAAGAUGUGAAAAGCCUACGAUUCUUGUACACAUACUUGAUUGCACCGGAAUCUAUUCACCAUGCAUUAUCAUGUUCGAGAAUAUUAAUCUAAGAUAUUACGGCCAUAAAUUUUGUCCACAAAAUUUGUGUUCGAGCACUUCUUUUCUUUCUUAAGAAGCUGACAGUCAUUUUUAAAGUGGCUAGGCUUUUCACAUUGGUCACAUGUACACCUUUCUUUUUUAUUUUGUUGGUUUGAUUCUAUUUGGAAUCAAAUUUUUGCUUUUGGUUAUUAAUGCGGGUAUUAGACUGCUUAAGCUCCUUCUCCUCCUCCACAACAUUAAUUUCAGAGGACAUAGCAGUCUGUUCCUCAAGACUAUUAAGUUUAAGUUUCUAUUCAAUAUGAAGACUUUGCCAAGCCUUCCAGGCUAACUUCCUCUUUGUUAUAUUUAAGACUUUUUUCAUAGUCUUUUCAAGAGGGGGGAAGUUUAUCAAUAAUUGAAGAAAUAAUAAUAAACUUAUUACUUUUCAUGUUGUGUUGGUUGAAUUGAUCAAGAAUGCAAAAAAUCUCAUUAUAUUGUUCAAUCACAAGUCUAUUGUCAAUCUUUUUAAAACUAAAAAAAAUUAGAAGUCAAGAAUUUCUUACUUGUGGUGUCUUCUAUCAUGUACUUAGACUCCAAUAAGUCUUAUAUUUCUUUUGCAGUGGAUUUUGUUGUGGUACUUAUGAAAACAAAGUACUAGACACAGCAUUGUAAAUGUGUCUUAUGCACACGUAGACAUCUUGCUUCCACUUUUGCCACACUCGAGUUUCUCAUUCUCAUGUUCUUCAGGCUUUGAUAUUGUAAGAACAUUAACAACAUUGAGGCUUGUCAAUAAGAAAUGUAAUAUUUUUUGCCAACGUAUAGAAGUUGUGACCAUAAAUAUUUCUUUACUAUUGAUUUUGAUGAUAACAAACUUGAUUAAGAUUGAUUAAUCCUUUAAAAGCUCAAAAUAAUUUUCAUAUACUUUUAAAUCAUCACUCUCACUUUAUAAAGACUUUAUAUUCUAUGGAAAUAUUUUUGGUUAUUCUCAUGUUAAUGGUUUCAAUUGAAAAAGCUUUGAGAAUUUUGAUAAUAACAAAUAUUGUUUCAAAUCCUGUAAAUGGAUCUAUUUGACAAGUUUUAUAAAGUGUUGGGUCAUAGUAUAAUUUUAUGAAGUUUUGGGGUCAAACUAUUAUUUUGUAAAAUAGUUCAUUGUAGCAGUUACUGUAGAAAACGAUGAUCCGACAUCUUGAUAAUGGCUCGCCGACAUCAAACAGAACUGAAGAUUAGCCUCCGGACACUAACGACAAUCCGACAACUUGAUAACGGCUAACCGACAUUGCACUGAAUUGAAGAUUAGUCUCUGGACACUAACGGCGAUCAACAUCUAGAUAACGGCAAUCCGAAAAUUUAAAAAUUCUGCCCAAUGGUCAUAUUGACAAUUUAAAACAGCGAUUCGACAUCUAGAUAACGGCAAUUCGACAAUGUGUAGAAAGUCAAUAACGGCUAGUUUUCAGCUCCAGUAAUAAAUAAGCUCAAUCAAAUUCAAACUAAAACGAUUGCAACAAUUAUUAUUGACUAAAGUCUUGAGCAUACAACAUUCAUUGAGCCUUAAAUUCUUGUAUUCAUCUCAUUUACUCACACUUUGAAUCUUCAUUUGUAAUCAAACACAGUGUGAGAGAAAUUUAUUUUGUAACAUUCUUUAAAAUCAAAUUGAGUGAUUGUAAGUGUUGGGAUGCACUUGGGUUAAGAGAUUUGGGAUAAUCUCUUUUUGUAAAGGUUUAUUGACACCUUAGGAGUCAAGUGUAAGCAUUUGAAGCCUUGGUGGCUUACUUAGCGGAAUCAUCAAGCCCGGAAAGUUUAGAGGUGUGGACGUGGGCGAGGUUGGCCAAACCACGUAAAAAUCCUCAUGUUUGAAUCUCUCUUACCUUAUCUUUUUAUAUUGUGAUAAAUUUAUUUGUUAUUGCUUUAAAUUUGUUUUAUAUUUGCAUUGAGUUUUGCUUUAAAAAUUGUAUAAUUUUUAGAAUCCUAAUUCACCCCCCUUGGGUUGCAUUACUAGAAUUUCAUUUGGUAUUAGAGCCUUGUUCUCUUGUUAAGACAUAAUCAUCUAGAGUAAAAGAUCAAUGGCAACCCUAAAUGACUCAACCUUUAGAGAAGGACAAUCCACAACUGGACCACCGUUCUUUGAUGGUAAUGACUAUGCAUAUUGGAAAACUAGGAUGAGAAUCUAUUUACAAGUUUUAGAUUAAGAAAUUUGGGAAGUUGUUUAUGAUGGUCCAUUCAUGCCUAUGUUUAAAAAUGAAGGAGAUGAUAUUCCUAAACCAUCAAGUCAAUGAGUGAGUUAGAAAAGAGAAAGAUGUCCUUAAACUCCAAGGCAAUGAAUGCCUUGUUUUGUGCUCUUGAUAAGAAAGAAUUCCAUAGAGUAUCUAGUUGUGAAAGUGCACAAGAAAUAUGGAAUAAACUUGAAGUUGUUUAUGAAGGGACAAAUCAAGUUAAAGAGAUUAAAAUUAGUAGAUACACUCGUCAAUAUGAAUUAUUCCAAAUGGAACAAAAUAAAAAUAUGUAUUCUAUGUAUACUAGAUUUACGAAAAUAGUGAACACCCUAGGAGCUUUGGGAAAAACUUUCUCAAAUAGUGAGAAAGUAAAGAAAAUCAUUAGCUCACUUCUUAAGGAAUGGAGACCUAAGAGGACUGCUAUUUAAGAGGCCAAAAAUUUAAAUACUUUACCUCUUGAUGAUUUAAUUGGCUCUUUUAUUUAAUAUGAAGAAGACUUAGCAGCCGAAAAAAGGGAAAAGUAUUGUUCUCAAAGCUUCAAAAUUUAAGAGCGAUGAGCAAAGUGAACCGGAUGAUGAGGAGUUGGCCAUGAUAGAAAUGAGGUUUAGAAAAUUCUUCAAGAAAACCGGUGAGCGAAGAAGAUUUAGAAACUUCAAGAAUCAAAAGGAGAAGAAAGAGGCAAUCAUAUGCUAUGAAUGCUAAAAGCCCGGCCAUAUAAGAUCGGAAUGCCCACUUCUCAACAAAUUCAAGAAGAAAGCCAUGGUUGCUACUUAGGAUGAUAGCGAUGAAGAUUCAAGUGAUGAAGAUGAAUUGCAUGAAGCAUCAAACCUAACACUUAUGGCAAUAGGAGAUGAUGAUGAUCUCAAUGAGGUAAGUGAUCCUACCUAUGAUGAGUUGUAUGAUGCUUUUAAAUAAUUACAUGAUGAGUUGAUGAAAAUUAGUAAAAAGAAUGCAUGCCUUAAAAAGAAAAUGCUAGAACUUACAAAUGAAAAGGAUGCCCUGGAAAAAUGCAAUAAUGAGAAGAUAAAAGAAUUAGAAUUAGAGAAUAAAAUGUUACAUGAUAAAACUUUAGCUCUUAAAGGUAAACAAAGCACUUAUGAACAUGAAAAAUCACAUGUGGAUGAGUUAAUGAAAGAGAAUGAAGUGCUUAAGAAGAAAAAUAAUGAACUAAAUGAAAUUGUGCUAAAGUUUACAAAUGGACAAAAGAUGUUGGAAAACAUGUCAAUUCACAAAAAAUGUGUGUUUGAUAAAGGAGGUACUGGAUAUAAGCCAAACUUAAAACAAAAAUAUUAUAAAACUACUUUGUGAAAAGUACUUCUAUUAACAAUCAAAUUGUAUGUCAUCAUUGUAAUCAAGAUGGACACAUGAAAAAUAGAUGUCCAGUAAAAAGAAAUGCAUAUUAUGGUGUGAAAUGUAUUUGGGUUCCAAAAGGAACCAUUGCUAACAUACAAGGACCCAAGAAGUUUUGGGUACCUAAAACUUAGAAACUUUUUCUGCAGGGAUUAAAGAAAAAGAAAAAUAAGUGGUUCUUGGAUAGUGGUUGCUCAAGGCACAUGACCAGAAACUAUGCAUGGUUUUCAAGUUUCACCACAAUCGAAAAUGGUGGAGAUAUUUCUUUUGGAGAUAACUCAAAAUGAAGGUACUUCUCAAUCACUCCCCAAAGAGUGGAGGUAUGUUUCUUCUCACCUUAAGGAUGUAAUUUUAGGAGAUCCCUCACGAGGUAUUACAACUAGAUCAUCACUUAGGAAUACUUGUGAGCAUAAUGCAUUUAUUUCUCAAAUUGAACCCAAAUCCUUUGAGGAUGCGGAAAAUGAUGAAUCUUGGAUUAUGACAAUACAAGAGGAGUUAAAUCAAUUUAAAAGAAACAAUGUGUGGGAAUUAGUUCCUAAACCGGAACAUCAAUCUUUCAUAGGUACUGUUGGUGUAUAAAUACUAAUGCUAUUGGUGUCAAUGUGCAAGUGCACACAACAAGUAAUAAAGUGAUGAGUAUUCAAGAUCGUCUCCACAAGGAUUGAUGUUAUCAGAUUUGCUACAGCAAUCUUAACAGUGCAGAUUUUGUGCUAAAAUAAAAUAAACAAUUAAUGAAACUAAUGUACUAAUUAAAAUAAAAACGCAAUAAAUAAAUGCAACAAAGUAAACUAUCACGUCAAGCUCAAGGAUAAAACUAAUGGAAAUAUAUAGUAGUUGAGUGACUAAACUCUUCUAAUGGUCUUGACUAUUUUCUAAUGGUUGGCUCGGUUGCUGCAGUAUUUGCUACAGCACUGGCCAGAAUCCUUAUGUAUCCUCAACUGUCGCAUGUUGGAUAUCUUAUAUCUAUAUGCAACCUAACAGUGAUCAGUUGUUAUGCCAACAUAAGAUAUAGCAUUACAUGCUUAGAUUCCAUUCACCCUACAAGGUGAAUCCAUAUGUCUAGUUCAUCACUAAUUUUAAAUGAAGCAUGGCCCUUUUCGAAUAAGUUAAACUCAAUCCAGGAAACUCAAUCUAAACCAAGUAUUGCUCUGAUAUGUUCCGCUAAGAUAGGCCCUUUUGCGGCUCUCUCCUAACUUGUAUUAUUAAAUGGGUGAUCAACCAAAAUAAUGAAUAAAAAUAAAUACUAUCAAAACAAACUGCUACAGUAAACAUGCAACAACACAUGUAUUUAGUCAAUAAACCAUCAAGAUUGUUUAUCACUCAACCACAAAUAAAUUUAGUUCAUGGUUUGCAAAAAAAAAAAAUAAAGAACAAAGUUUUAGCCAUGAAAUGCAUCCCCAUGUAUAAACAGAAAACACGAAAACAAGAGAAGAAUAAGAAUGAUUGAGCUCCCAAUUGAUUUCUGCAAAUUCUCCUCUUGUGCAGCCCUUAAUCUCUCUCUUGAAUCUUGUUUUUCUUUUGUUUCUUUGUGUUUUUCUCCUUGGGUGACGGCUCCCUCUUUUCCUUAUGAUGUGUGCUUCUUUUAUAGUUGAAAAUUAGGGUAAACGGAAGCCUAGGGCGCGCAUAAGUCAAAUUAGGAAACUGUAGAUCGCAAUUCUGCAAGUAUCCCGCGUGAAAUUUUCUCUGUCAUUGUUCCAGGAUUGCUACAGCAAUGGUUGCUACAGCAAUAUCUACAACAACUGCAUUGUUCCAGAUUUGUUUCAACUCUUUUUUAGCCAUGUUCUUUCCUUAUUUUUGCAACCCUAUUGCAUAGCAUUCCUUCCAUGAAUUAUAAACUUCUGGAAACCUACAAUUUUGCACACAAUUUGAGCACAAAUUACUUUAAAUCGAGCAAAACUUAUUAAGACUAAACUAAAAUGAAUAUUUAUGCAAAAUGUAACAAAAUACAAUAGAAACACAUCAUUUACUCUUUAAACAAUAUUGAUUUAAGUCUGAAAGUGCCAUAAUAACUCUCAUUUUAUAGAGUUAUCACACUCCCAAACUUAAACCAUCACUUGUCCUCAAGUAAUGACAAUAACACUAACACUUCAAUCACACAAUCAUUCAACAAAUAACUUAGCUCUGUCAUCAAAUUUGUAAGGAUUCUUCAACCCUCAUAUCACAUUCUUAAUCACACAAAAUAACCAUAAUAGUUUAGUUCUAGAACUAGGCUUCAUUCUGUCCAGAGUGUGUGUGUGCCACUUUGAUCAAGUUUCAGAGGUGCUACAACAUUACACAGGCAUAUAAUUCAGAGAUAGAACACAAAUAUAUUCACAUAUGAGGGAGUAGAAUUCACCAAUAAACUCAAACUGUGCUACAAUAAUAAUACUUUUUUUUUUCAGUUAAACCCUUCAAUGCAACAUUGAGCUUUCAUGUGAGUGCCCAUCACUUGUAAUGACGACACCCAAUUACUCACUCAAAAUAUUUGUUAGAGUUGCUGCAGCAACACAUUUAGGAUGUUAUAUCUAGGUCUUGCCUUUGGACGCCUUUGACUCAAGGCUGAACAUUGGGCUCAUGAACAGACCAAAUUACUCAGUAUCCUAGGGAGUGGACCUCUUUAUUUUUCAUUCCUUCAUCACCAUUUUUUUCUUUUUUUUCAAUAUAUAAUUGCUGCAGCAUUGCUCAUAACUCUUGCUGCCUUUGGACUCAAGUUUGUAUAUGGGGUACACACUCAACCUUGGUUACUCAGCAACUUAAGCCAUUGGAGCAAAAUUUAUUUCAUAACAAGCACAGUUCAACAAAAAUUUUCCCCCAAACUUGAGAUAUUUUCUACUCUUUUUUGGUUUUCCUGGCUCUGCUACUGCAUUUUCAUAAAACUCAACCAAAGUCUAAGUGUCGGGACAGAAGUUCAACCCCUAUCUAUAACUAUCUCUACUUGGCUUUCUCAUAAAUACUGAAUAGCACUCAAUUUAUCUUCAUGAGGUUUUCAAAUUCAUACACAAAUAUUAGAUAACAAAGCUUCAUACAACACAAGCAUAAAUACAUGCACUCAGAAACAUAACCCCCCCAAACUUGAGUGAUGUUGUGUCCUCACAAGCACACAAAACAAAACCACAUAAACCAGACAUGUAUACACUAAAUAAAAGGACAUGCAUAAUGAAUUAGAAAAUUAAAACUAAAUGAAAGAAAAUUUUUGCAGCAAGAAGUAAAAUAAACUAGCGGUUAGGGGUACUGCCCUGUUACUGGAAGCACUGCUGCAUCAUAGGCUGUAAAAGGUCACUUUUUCUUUGAUAUACUUCUCAAACGCUCCUUAUCAUAAAAUCUGAUCAAUCCAUUUACUGCUGCAAAAGCAAGAAAUGCCUCUAUUGUUUGAGAAUCUUCUGUUAUAUGUCAUGCUGUAAGUGAUGCUGCAACAAUUCUUUCCUGCUCUUUUUUUCGUAUUUUUUUGUUUUUUUUUACCUGUUGCAAUUUAACACAAAGACAUAAAAAACUAGAUGCACACUUAAAAUAACAACAAGACAAAUUCAAUAAUUUAAAAACUAAAUUUAAUGCUUUAAAAAGUUAAAAUAACUUUCCUUAUUGGGUUGCCUCCCAAUUAGCGCUUGAUUUUAGGUCUUUAAGCAUGACCUUUCUUGUUUCCUCAACCUCGAUCCUUUAAGAACCGAUCCUUCAUUAGGCUGUUCACCUCAUCUCCCAUAUAGUGCUUCACUCUUGGCCCAUUAACCACUAAGCCUGUUUAUCUCGAGACCCGAAAGCUCGGUCGAGAGAUUAUGUCUGCGAUCGGAUUUUUUAAGAAGCAUGGGAAGUGGGAAAAGACAACAUCCUCUAAGAAUGAAGACACUUUUAUUGCUCCAGAGGAUGAUCGCAUGCUAAAUGAUGUCUAUUUCAUGGGUGAGUUACCUGACUUCCGCCUUAGGGCUAGACCGUGUGCCCCUCGCCGAGCAACAGCAGCAGCAUCCGCAGCAGCUUCCUCUUCGGAUGACGAGCUAGCUGAGCCAGCUGUCCCUCCUGCAGCAUCUUCUGCCUCUGAGGACCGCUUUUAGCAGCUCUUCGACAAGAUGGAUACACUCUCCUAGUAGCAGCAGCAGCUUCAAUCUGAUUUUGUGACUUUUCGGCAGCAGAUAUUAAAUCAGCAGAUGGAGUUACUUGCUGGACAGUGUCGCAUUCUUGGUCACCUUGGCUAUGAUCCUGGAAGUUCCUCUUCACCACCCCCAUCUUAAUUUUCUGCCCCUAUGAUUUUUGCACAAACAUUACUCAUUUCAUGUAGUUUGUUGUGGUACUUUUCGUUUUUUUGAUUGUUCUUGUGAUGCUUUUAUGAUGUUUUUAUUGGAUAUGUGAAUUUUAUUUAUGCAACGACCUGCCCCGACCUCCACAGGGCGAAUCUUACUGAUAGAUGCUUAAAAAUAUAAUAAUAAUAAAUAAUAAUAAUCCUUUUACAAUCCAUAAAAAUUAUAUCCUUGAAAAUACAAAUAUAAAACGCAAACUGCAGCGGAAGAAUUUAAAAUUCAUGCCAAACCAUCUAAUUCCUCCAUUCAAGUCCUUCUCGACGAUCAUCACGAAUCAAUCCUAAUUUACGAAAACUGAAUUACAAUAAACUAUAAUGAGUACGAAACUCAAUAAGUAAACUAGUUUUGCAUAUACCAAAAUACAUACAUACAUAUAGAUAGUGCAAAUGAAUGGCGUGCCAUGAUAUUCGAAAACAUCGUAAAAAAAAUAAUUGAAAUCUCAUUAUGUCUUUCUCAAACUUUCACAUUCUCUUUCAAACCACUUACUUGAGCUACCUUUAUUCGAUUACCGCUUAGUAGGACACUCCCUUAACUUUCAUAAUUUUCAUAACUUUCAUACUCUUUGUGCUUCUCGCCAAUGCGUCCUUCGCCCACUUAUCUCAUAACUAUAUAAACAUCUAGAGUGUCUUCCACUAAGCCAAUAACGAAUUCAAGCAUCCAAGCUAAAACUGUAAAACAAUCUUUCUUUCUACAAAUUCCAUUUGGCUAAAAUUCACUUUCUCAUUUUAUAGAAAACAUAAUGCAUUUCGUGCUCAUGCCAAUGAAAUAUUCACACAUACGUAUGCCCAUGUCCAUAAACACACAUAACAACACAUCAUAUCAAAAUAUCGUAUAAACACAUGGGCAGAGCAUAUAAAUCAAUAUCCGUACUUAUAUAAAAAUAGGCUUUCCAAACAUGUCAAACAUAUAUAUUGUUUAUUGUGAUUCGUUUGGAAAUCUAGUUUACUUACCUCCCGGUAUCCUUGAGUAACAAAUGCACAUCGAUAUCAUCGGCCUAAAAAUAAAUAAAAAUACUCUCAUAAGAAUAAAAUUAAACCAUAAUCAUAUACUCCAAUAUUCUCAAAUUCCUCAAUAUAAUCACAUUCCAUACUUCACCUCAAAUAAUCUUAAUUUAAAUCAUAAAUCAUCAAAAUACUGAUAAUUCUUAAAAUUUCAAAAUUACCUGCAAAUAUCAAAAUUACCAAAAUGCCCUUGAAUUCAAUAUUACCAAAAUACACUCAAAUAUCAAAAUUACCAAAUUAACCUCAAAAUCAUAAAUUACCAAGUUUAUCCUCAAUUUCAAAUAUUACUAAAAAACCCACAAAAUUUGAAAUUACAAAAUUGCCCUUAGAUUGUGAAAUUACCGAAAUACCCUUGCUGGUCAACGGUCACCAGAAUUCAACCGACGGCAACGGGAAGCUUAGAACUGAAAGUUCAAGCGACGCUGAGUCCAAUGGUGGCGGUGGUGACCUCCCACGCGCGGUGAUGGCUCCAGAUCGAGCUCCCGAAGUCGUGAAUCCUUCAACGGCUAAUCAAUGACAAAAUGACGUCCCCAACGUGAGUGGUUAGUCGGAAAUGGUCAAAGGAACAAAACCCAAGUGAUGCCUUCACUAGAAACCAGCGAAAUCAUGGUGAAUCGAGGCGGCGAUUCCGCGGAACUUCAAAGCUUCGAUCGGUGGCUUUUCGAUUGAUUUCUGGUGGCAAGGACUGCAUGGAUACAUUGCUCGUCUCUCAAGCUUCAAAUCGGUACCAACCUUGACCGGAAUGGUGGCCAGAAAUGGGAGAACCGGCUGAGUCGCACUCACGGGUCGGGUUGGAUCCGGUUCGGUUUCUCCUCUCUCUCUCAAUUUAUAAGGGUAGUCAACAGGGUCAAAAUCGGGUGUGGGGUAUUACAAUUUAUGAUUUCGUUGAUUUUGAUGACAUGUUUGGUUAUUGUUCAUGAUUAUAUUGAAUUUGUUGGAAUGGAGGUUGGUUGAUAAGUUGGAAAGUAUAUAUGGGAGUGUUUUAACUAUUUGUAUUGUUGAGGAUAUGUUCAUUUUUAUAGGGAGAUUCUGCCAAAAUGUUUCCAACAUGGGUACUCUCUGAACUUCUCAUUUUCACUCUUUUCGUGCUCAUUUCUUUUUUAUGAUUAAGGGGGGAGAUAAUUGAUCAAUUCAAUCUGUUCUGUUUAAAUUUUUUUUAUGAGAUUAAAAAUUGAUGAUAUAAUUUAUCAAUUCAAUCUGUUCUAUUUAAUUUCUUUUUAUGAGAUUAAAAAUUGAUGGGCACAUAUUUAGGGGAAGUUAAAUUCCUUAAAUAUUUUACUUAGGGGGAGCACAUAUUUAGGGGGAGCAGGAGCAAAAUUGCACAAAUAUUUUCUUGAAUAGUUUGUCAUGAUCAAAAAGGGGAAGAUUGCUAACAUAAAUAUUUCUUUAUUAUUGAUUUUGUUGAUAACAAAUUUAAUUAAGAUUGAUUAAUCUUUUGAAAGCUCAAAAUAAUUUUCAUGUACUUUUAAAUCAUCACUCUCACUUUAUAAAGACUUUAUAUUCUAUGGAAAUAUUUUUGGUUAUUCUCAUGUUAAUGGUUUCAAUUGAAAAAGAUUUGAGAAUUUUGAAAAUAAAAAAUAUUGUUUCAAAUCCUAUAAAUGGAUCUAUUUAACAAGUUUUAUAAAGUGUUGGGUCAUAGUAUAAUUUUCUAAAGUUUUGGGGUCAAACUAUUAUUUUACAAAAUAGUUCCCUGUAGCAAUUACUGUAGAAAAUGGCUAUCCGACAUCUUGAUAACUGCUCGCCGACAUCGAAUAGAACUAAAGAUUAGCCUCUGGACUAACGGCGAUCCGACAACUUGAUAACGGCUAACCGACGUUGCACAGAAUUGAAGAUUAGUCUCUGGACACUAACGACGAUCCGACAUCUAGAUAACGGCGAUCCAACAAUUUAAGAAUUCAGCCCAACGGUCAUGUUGACUAUUUAAAACGGUGAUUCGACUGUGUGCAGAAAGUCAAUAAUGGCUAGUUUUCAGCUCCAACAAUAAAUAUACUCAAUCAAAUUCAAACUAAAACGAUUCCAACAAUUAUUAUUGAGCAAAGUCUUGAGCAUACAACAUUCAUUGAGCCUUAAAUUCCUGUAUUCAUCUCAUUUACUCACACUUUGAGUCUUCAUUUGUAAUCAAACACAUAGUGUGAGAGAAAUUUAUUUUGUAACAUUCUUUAAAAUCAAAUUGGGUGAUUAUAAGUGUUAGGAUACACUUGGGUUAAGAGAUUGGGGAUAAUCUCUUGUUGUAAAGGUUUAUUGACACCUUAGAAGUCAAGUGUGAGCAUUUGAAGCCUUGGAGGCUUGCUUAGUGGAAUCCUCAAGCCCAGAAAGCUUGGAGGCGUGGACAUAGGCGAGGUUGGCCGAACCACAUAAAAAUCCUCAUGUUUGAAUCUCUCUUACCUUUAUCUUUUUAUAUUGUGAUAAAUUUAUUUGUUAUUGCUUUAAAUUCGUUUUAUAUUUGCAUGCUUUAAAAAUUGAAUAAUUUUUAGAAUUCCAAUUCACCCCCCUCUUGGGUUGCAUAACUAGAAUUUCACUAAACAUGGCCUCUAUUUAUAAAUAAACAUGUGCCCUCCAUUUGGAUUGUCAUUUUUCAUGAUACCCAUUCAUUUAUGGUCAUUGGAUCAAGAUUUGAUUUUAAUCAAUUGUCUAUAUUGGUCCAUCACCAUUUCAAAUGAAAUGACAAUAUGAAAUGAUACAUUCUUAAGUGGAAAGAUACCUUUUAUAUGGGACAAUUACUUGGACAUGUUUUUAUAAUAAAACAUCAUUUAUUUUAAAUUGUUACAGCACUAAGAUUAUUCUAGGUUAAGUUAAUCUAUUAUAUAUAACUUCAGAAGGUUCAUCGGUAGAUUGUUUUAAGUUUUUGUCGUAGUUUACAAAUAUUUUGUUACUUAUAAUGUAAGAAAUUUACAAAUGUUGGUGCUGAGUAAUCUGCAUAAUUAUUAUGAAUUAGAGAAACAGGGCAGAUGUUGUACAAUUAUUGUUGUGGUGGAGCGGAAAGUUAGCCCGAGACGGUGACGGCUAUUGGGAUUUCUUUAAUUUGCAGCAUAAAAGCAUUUACAUUGACAUCGACUCAAGGGUAAAAAUUAAAUAUCUCAUGUAGCAUAAGAAGAAUGCAAAAAUGCUUGAAUGAGCAUUCUGACUGAAUACACAAAAGCUACUUUCCCUUGAGCACUUUCGCAACAAAAGCAAAUGUAAAAUUUAGCAUUUAAAUCUAACAUCAAAUGGCUGAUGCCAUCGUUUCCAUCCCUUGGGGGAACUGAAUUCCUCUACCUGACAUUACAGUUUGGAGCGGCUCUUACCUCAGGCAACUUAGGAUAAUUUAGGUGGUUGUUCAGGACCCCACAUUUAACCUAGGACCCCAUUAUAAAUGAAGGUUUCUAAUUUAAUUCCUAAAUUAUAGUUAUUAAUUAUUGAUUUAUAUUUAUUAUUUAUAACUAUAUUUUCCAUAAACAAACUACUAGAUUCUUACAAAAUCCCCUUUUAACAAUAUAAUUAACAAUUAUAAUCCAUUUAUUUCCUCCAUUUAUUUCAUUUAAAACUCUAUAAAGGCCACACCUUUUUUAAAUUAUUAUCCAUUAAUAUCUUUUUCCAAUAAAAAAAAACACAAAACCUUCAUUGCUUUGGUGAAAAAACUACUUUCUCUACCUUACUUUUUGCAUAAGAAAGAAAAGAAAAUUAAUUGUUUUACUUUCUUUUGAUCAUUGUUGCUCAAAGCCUCAAUCCAUCAAAGUUAAAUUUCUUAAAUUUUCAGGUUUUAUCUUCCAAUUCUCUUAUUAUUUUUACAAAGAAACAAAAACACCUAAAUAACACAAUUAAUUAAAUUUCUUAAAUUUUCAGGUUUUAUCUUCCAAUUCUCUUAUUAAUUAAUUGUGUUAUUUAGGUGUUUUUGUUUCUUUGUAAAAAUAUUAUUCUGCUCAUAGGUUGUUCGCUUUUAAUUAUCUAGCAUAAUUGUUUGCAUGAUUACUCUUGUUUCCUUAGAAAAAAAAAAAAUGUCUACUAAAAACUAUGCAUCAUGAUACAAAAAACUUCAUAAAAGGAGAAGAAUAGAAAAGUUAGCUUAAUCUAAAAACGUGCUAUUGAUAAAAAAUUAUUUAAGAUCAACCAUGUCAUAGGAAAGAUUAAAUAGGUUAACUAUAUUAUCUAUUGAGAAAGAUAUAUUAGCAAAAUUAGAAUAUAAAAAGUUGAUUAAUAAUUUUGCAUCUCAGAAAGGUAGAGAAAUUUAUUUUAAAUAAAUAAAGCUUUAAUAAAAUUAAUACACAUAUUUCAUCUCAAAUUUUUUAGAAGGUCUAAUUAAAUCAAUUUAUUUAAGACCUAAAAUAUGAUUGAGCCGCCUUGAAAUUGCAGUAAGAUAGAAAAGUGAAAUAGACAGAACACUCGCUCAUACGUAAAGAUGCGACGAAUUUGAGAAUAUUUAUUAUUAUGUGCCAAAUUCCUAAUGUGUAGGAAUUUAAAAAUGUUAGUGCAGAACAUGUGUUUAUCGGUGGAGUAGAAUCAGGGAAAUUAAAGAUAAGCAUAAUUUUUGCAUCCAAUGCCAAAUUCCCCCAGGUAGAGAGUGGGGACUCCUUUGCAUAAAAGUUGUUAAAAGUUUAUUGUUAACAAUAAAAAUAACAUGCAGAUAUAGUAUUUUAGGUUAUUGUUAAUAGUUUUACAAUAAUAAAAAUCAUUUUGUUAGAUCGUAAAAUGUAGUACUCACACUCUAUUUUGUGCAAAAGUCUGCGAGAAAGGAUUUUAGAUUUACCUAACGGUGAAGUUGGGAACUUGCUUUUUUACCUAGGCUAAAGUUAUUUCAAUAAAUUCUGAUCGUGGAGACUACCAAGAGUUUUCUUUAGUCAUAUAUAUUUAUUUUUUAGGGACUAAUAUGAAUAUUCCUAAUUUUAUCCAUUAUUAAAAAAACAAUGUGCUAAUUUACCAAUAUGAUUUCUCCAAUCUUUUUUCUUUUCGUCAUUUAUUCCUUUGUGAAUUUGAGUUAAUGCUUGAUAUUAUUUUUGUGCUCACUUUUUAAAGUAGAAGAUUAUGAAAAAGUGAACACACAAAAAGCAUAAAAAUCAUUAUUAGAUCCAAAUUUGUGCUAUUUCAUACAUAACUUGAGAAUAUUUAUAAUUACGCAUGAAAACUAGUGGAGUAGAAUCAGGGAAAUUAAACGUUCUACAAUCAUUGACGUGUGGGGUGGGGAUAAGCAUAAGCUUUUUCUAUGCAGUAUAAAAGAAUGCAAUAACUCCUUUUCUUUCAGUAUCAUCGCAACAAAAGCACAUCUAAUAACUCUUCAGAAUUCUCGUCUUCUUUGUCAGAAUGGUUGAUGCGAUCGUUUCCUCCCUCCUGGAGCAGCUGAUCUCUGUUGCGGCUGAUGAAGUGAAACAACAGGUGAGGCUUGUGACUGGUGUCCGAGAAGAAGUGAAAAAGCUUACCAGCAAUCUUCAAGCCAUUCGAGCUGUGCUGGACGAUGCCGAGCAAAGGCAAAUGCAGCAAGACAAAGCUGUUACUUUUUGGCUGGAUCAGCUCAAAGACGCGUCCUACGACAUGGAAGAUGUGUUGGACGAGUGGGUCUUUGCAAGGCUCAAAUUGCAAAUUAAGGGCGUUGAUGAUGACAAUGCUUUUUCCCUUGCUCCUCACAAGAAGAAGGUACGUUCCUUCUUUCCUGCUGUAUCAAACUGCUUUGGUAGUUUCAAACAACUCAGUCUUCGUCAUGACAUUGCUGUCAAGAUUAGGGAAAUCAAUGAAAAGCUAGAUGAUAUUGCCUCCCAAAAAGAUAGGUUUAAAUUUGUUGAGAAUGUGAGUAACCGUGUUAAAAAACCGAAACAAGCGCCAACCACCUCCUUGAUUGAUGAGGGAGAGGUCUGUGGUAGAGUUGACGAGAAAAACGAGCUCUUAAGCAAGUUGUUGUUUGAAAGUAGUGAACAACAAAAAGGCCUUCAUGUCAUCUCACUAGUUGGGUUAGGGGGCGUAGGUAAAACCACUCUUGCACCACUGGCCUAUAAUAAUGAUGAGGUGAAAAGAAAUUUUGAAAAAGUUAUAUGGGUGUGUGUAUCACACACUUUUGAGGAGAUUAGGGUUGCCAAUGUAAUCAUUGAAGGUCUAGGUGAGUCAGCUUCUAGUUUAAGCGAAUUCCAAUCUCUUCUAAGCCAUAUCCAUGGAUCAAUUGUAGGAAAAAUUUUUUUUCUUGUCUUAGAUGAUGUAUGGGAUGGGGAUUAUAAUAAAUGGGAACCAUUCUUCCAUUGUCUAAAGCAUGGUCUCCACAGAAGUAAAAUUUUGGUUACCACACGUAAUGAGUCAGUUGCACGUAUGAUGGGAUCAACAAAUAUUAUCUUCAUUGAGCAAUUGAUUGAAGAGGAAUGUUGGUUGUUGUUCAAGCAGUUAGCAUUUUCCGGUCGCUCUUUCGAGGAUUGUGAAAAAUUAGAACCAAUCGGGCGAAAAAUUGCACGCAAGUGCAAAGGCUUGCCUCUUGCUGCAAAGGUAACAGGGAAUCUCUUAUGCUCUAAAGUACAAUAAAAGAGUGGCAAAAAAUUUUAGAUAGUGAAAUGUGGAAAGUAGAAGAGAUUGGGCAAGGCCUUUUUGCUCCAUUGUUGUUGAGUUAUAAUGAUUUGCCCUCCAAGUCUAUGGUAAAACGAUGUUUUUCAUAUUGUUCUGUCUUUCCGAAAGACUACAAUAUAAAAAAAAGAACUAAUUUCACUAUGGAUGGUUCAAGGUUACCUUAAUGCAGAAGAAGACGAAGAGAUGGAGAUGACUGGGGAAGAGUAUUUCAACAUUUUAGCAGCAUGCUCUUUCUUUCAAGAGUUUAAAAAAGAUGAUGAUGAUGAUGAUGAUGAUAUUAUGAGCUGCAAGAUGCAUGACAUAGUACAUGAUUUUGCCCAAUUUGUAAGUAGAAAAGAAUGUUUGUGGGUAGAAAUUAAUGGUACCAAGGAAUCAGUCAUAAACUCUUUUGGUGAUAAAGUCCAUCACUUAGGGUUAAAUUUUGAAGGAGGAGCUUCAUUUCCUAUGUCCAUUCAUGGACUUAAUAGAUUGCGGACCCUCCUAAUUUAUUUCCAAAGUCGUUCCAAUCCGUCUCUUAAUAGUAGCAUCCUUUCGGAGUUAUUUAGUAAAUUGGCAUGUUUAAGGGCAUUAGUUAUAGGGCAACAGAACUUUAUAUUUGAUCCUUACCCAAAUUUGAUUAGAGAAAUUCCAGAAAAUGUCGGAAAAUUGAUACAUUUAAAAUAUCUUAAUUUUUCUGAAUUAUGUAUAGAGAAACUGCCUGAGACUUUGUGUGAAUUAUAUAAUUUACAAAAGCUAGAUAUUAGGUGGUGCGAAGAUCUUAGAGAAUUGCCGGCGGGGAUUGGGAAGUUAAAGAACAUGAGGAGUUUACUAAAUGGUGGCACUCCUUCGCUGAAGUACAUGCCAAUAGGGAUUUCCAAAUUAACCAGUCUUCGAACGUUAGAAAAGUUUGCUGUGGGCGGAGGUGUUAAUGAUAUCAGUACGUGUAGGCUUGAAUCUCUAAAAAAUCUUCAACUCCUUCGAGAAUGUGGAAUAGAAGGACUGAGUAAUGUGUCACAUUUAGAUGAGGCUGAGAGAUUAGGACAUCACAAUAUGAAAAACCUCCUUCGUUUAUCUUUUGAGUUUGACGAGGAAGGUGAAGAAGGGAGGAGGAAGAAUCAACAACUUCUGGAAGCCUUACAACCGCCUUUGAAUGCAAAAGAAUUAGGGAUUGUGUCCUACGGAGGCAACAUAUUUCCCAAAUGGUUGACUUCACUAACCAAUCUAAGGGAUUUAAGACUUAAAUCGUGCGUUAUCUGUGAGCAUUUUCCUCCCUUGGGAAAAUUGCCGCUGGAAAAACUCACCCUUUACGGCCUGUAUGGUGUGAAAAGAGUGGGUAAUGAGUUUUUGGGAAUCGAAGGAACCAGUGAGGAUGACCCAUCUUCAUCUUCAUCAUCAUCAUCAGUCAUUGCCUUCCCCAAAUUGAAAUCACUCCACGUUGGGGCAAUGGAAGAAUUGGAAGAGUGGAAUUAUAGGAUUACAAGAAAGGAAAACAUCUCCAUCAUGCCGCGUCUUUCUUCCUUGACGAUUUGGCAUUGCCCCAGAUUAAGGGUGCUGCCGGAUUACCUUUUUCAAUCGACGACACUGCAGAAAUUGAGUAUUUCUUAUUGUCCAAUUAUGGAAGAACUGCCCAUUCUAGAAAGACAUACCACGUCUUUCUUCCUUGGAAAUUGAGUAUUGCCCCAAAUUAAAGGUGCUGCCGGAUUACCUUCUUCGGACGACGACGCUGCAGCAAUUGAGUAUUCAGGGAUGUCCUCUUCUGGAAAACCGUUAUAGAGAGGGGAAAGGAGAAGACUGGCAUAGGAUAUCUCACAUUCCCCACAUCGAGUGGUAAAUUCAAACAACGACACUGCAGACAUUGACAAUUUGGGGUUACAGAGAAGGGGAAGGAGAAGACAGGCAUAAGAUAUCUCACCUUCCCCACAUCAUGCGAUCGGCGUAAGAUAUCACUCGCCGGUAAUUUCUCCUCCUCCACUGAUUUACUCUGUUGUUGCUUGCAAUAAAAUUAAUAAAAAUAAUCAUAUUUUGAAUUAAAAUUCUAUAUAUUGCCCAAUGUCUAACAGGAAUAUACAAUAUUUUCUAAUAUUUUGAUUUGCGUAUUGAAUUUAACUAUUUACUUCCACCAUUAAUUUAAUGGGUCACUUUAUGAUGCUAUUAUAAAAAUUACAGAAUCAAUCAUAGUAUAAAUAUGUAGUGUUAAAUUUAAUCAAUUGGUCAUAAAGGUUAGUUAGGAUAAUAUUUUAAUUUCAAUUAUUUAAAAUUUAAACUUCCUAGUCAUCAAAUUUGUUAAACUUGUUUUCUAAAGCUAAAAUAAUAAUAAAAUAAAAAACAAGUGCAGUCUGUUGAAAUUUCUAUAAUUUCUUUUAAAAAAUAUGUAGUCUUUUGUAAAAUUUCAUACAACAUCAUAGAAAAUCCUAACGUAUUUUAUUUUUUAAUGCACAAAAAUUUGUUGUGUAACUUCCUGAGAGACAAAAUCUCUGUGAUACAUUUGCAGUAAUGUUGAAAACUAAAUUAUCAAUGUUAUCUUGUAUAAUGAUAAUCGUGUUUUUUUAUACAUAAUUUAUGUGACAUUAAUUCUUUAAAGUAAUUGUGUGAUUGUUUUUAGUAGUACAUGAGCCCACUUUGUUUUAUUUCAUACGAGUUUAAUUAUGUUCACCAGUGAUUCGAGGAAAUGUCAGAACUACACUAGCAAUUCGCAGGUCCACGCUAAUUUGGUUCUAAUGAUGCACGCAGGAGAGCAAGAUUAUGAAAAUGAAUAGUUUAGCCAAAGGGUUGUGUUAGAGUGCAAUUUAUGCACUAGUUUUGCAUUGUUUACUUCCCUUAAUAUCGAUGUUUUGCAUUUAAUAAUAGUGAUUUACUUGUGUUUUACUUUUGUAGGUGCAAUUCUAUUGAUUGGUGAUAAAAUUGAGCUAUAAGAUGAUGUUUAAGGAUGAUUGUUCUCUUGAAGAAAUUAUGAGCGGCAGAAGAACUUUGUUGAUAAGGCGUGGGCGCGUGCUGUCAACUGCGGACCUGCAGUUUUUAGUUUAACGUGUUUUGUAUUUUUGGCUAUUUUUUUAAUUACGAAUUUAAUAUUUCAAAUAUUAGUAUUUUAUUUUAAAUAGAACUCUAAAAGAGAAGAGAGAGAGAGUAUUUAAGGGAGGAAUCUAUUGUGAAAAAGGGGGAUUUGGAUUGGAGAAAAAGAAAGAAACCCUAAAUCUAAUUUUUCUCUUCUCUCUAUGAAGAACUAAACCUAUUUUUCUGGUUGAAGGAUAAUGAAGCUUUGAUUCAUCACUACUGUGAGAUCUUUCUUGUGCUUUAAUUGUUUUAUUGCUUUUUGGGUAUUUGUUUAUUCUCUGAAUUAUUUUCAUGAUUAUGUUUGUUAAUUAGGUAAUUGGCCACUAUUUAAUUAUCAACUUAAUCUAUUGUCAAUUAAAGGAUUCAUCGUAUGAAGAAUUUAAUGUUUGUGACAAAUAACAUAGCAGAGAGUUGUGUUAUGAGAAUAAACAAUCUAAUUUAAAUGAAUCAUCAUAUGUGUUGAUUAUGAUUUGGGUCUCUCUGGUUUUUCAGGCUGUCAAUUGAUUAAAUCCUAUGAUCGUAUCUAGGGUUGUCUAUUGAUUAGGGAAAUAACCAACGGUCGUACCUUGGUUAUCGACUAGUUAAGGAGAGAUUGGCUAUUAGAGGGUCUCAGUAGCUAUAACCGGUCUAUUCAUAAGUAAUAAUAAUCUAUAUUUGAAUCAAUGAUCAGUAGUCGAAUCAAGCUGAGUUAAUUCCUUCAACCAGAGCUUUCUCCAAUUUGAAUCACAACUUUAAUUUACAUUCUCGUUAUUUUAAUUUGAUUUUUAUUAUUGUCAACAAUUCCCCCAUUUUACGUUUUACGUUUCAAAAGGUUUUAAAUAAUUACCGAUCUCUGUGGACACGACCCUGCUCAAUCACUAUACACAAUUUAUUUAGAGUAGGAAUUUAUUUUUGUUGGCUUCGACACCCAUCAGGUUGCCAAAAUGUUUUGCUGGUAAUUCACUUGCUUUUUUUUUUUUAUAGAAUUUCAUUUCCAUCUUCUUCUAUUGAUAUCUUGUUGUGAAUAAACAAGAAUAGAGAAGUAAAUAUAUAUAUAUAUAUAUAUAUAUAUAUAUAAAUUCCCUAUUAUGAUGAUGUUAAAGCAAGCUCAUGCUCAAGCAUUGCAUUUUUAUUUUAUUUAAUUUAUAGAAUUUUCAUUUCUACCUGCAUUGCAUUUUUAUUUCAUUUUCAGGUUGACUUUGAAAACUCUAUGGAGGACAUUAGGGUAACCAAGGAUUAUCACUGUGGUUAUUGAGCAACGUUUGGUUGCUGGACUUUGAAGAAGGAAGUGAUGGCCGGGUCUGCUCUGUUUCAAUUGAGGAUGGAUAGCUGCCUGAAAGACAUGAUGAUUAUUAUUGCAUGAUGUUAAGGUGCUAAGAUCAUCAUUUCUAUCUUGUUUCAUUCUUUGAUCGGUUUAUCCUAUAUAAACAUAUGGAAUUCUGCUAAUAUUAUCAAAUUUUUCACCUAAUUUUCACUGUUGUUGUGAAAACAAUUUCAGGCUCUCAAAAGCUACAAAGCAAAGCAUUUGUGGGUUGAUCAUAUGUUUCAAUUGAGGAAGGAGCUUGGUGUUGGCAAUAUUGUCCAGGUAACCACAGCUGAUAAUUUCCACAAAUUUGCAUUGUCAGAAUACACUUUAAUGUUCAUUGUGUUCCUCUGUGUUAUCAGGUUAUCGUGGUAUGUAAAGUAUCAUCUUUAAGGAUUCGUAAGAGACUUCGCAGUAAACUUAGUUGUCACCAUCUCCUGCAAUUGCUCAUUCAUUCAAGAGUACUUCAAAAUUAGAUUCUCAACGUUUGAAUGUUUAGUUGCAAUCAAAAUGUUUAGUCACUCAUUCGUAAUCUUUUCCGAUUUUCAAGUUCUUUAGGGCCAUAAACAGUUUUCCAACUCAUUCUUAAUUUUUAGGUUGAUUUCGAGUACCCUGUUAAGGACAUUCCUGAGACCAAGGAUUAGGCUGGCGAAGGAACUACUACCUCUGUUGUUAUUGUGCAAGGUUUGAUCAUUGGACCUUGAAUAAGAAUCCCUUACACACAUUCUGUACUUCAAGCAUUCUCUAAAGGAAAAGAGCAGUAGAAGGGAUAGUGAUGGCCGGAUCCGCUCUAUUUUAGUUCAAGAUCUCUGUGAUGUCGAUGAACUUAAAGCAGUUGAUACUUCUUGAAAAUUGUUGUUACGGAUGAAUUGAUUCCUGAAGAUGGGUAUCCAUCCAAAGGCAUAUUUUCAUAAACUUCCUUCUUUUAACAAAUGCUCCAAUGCUUGCUGUAGUAACAAUUUCGUAGAUUGCAUCUCUCGGGUGCAUCAUGUUCAUGGGUUGGAAAAAGCACUUGUGGUAAAGCUUCAAAGCUUGUAAAAUGGCUGUGAAAAGGCACAUUCAAUUCGGUAUGCUUUGGUGCGGUCUCCUAAUGCUAAUAUUAUGUUUCAAUGCUGGCCGUAGUAACAAUUUCAUAUCUUGCAUCUGUUGGGUGCAUCAUGUUCAAGGGUUUGAAAAGCAUUUGUGGUAACGCUUUAAAGCUUGUACAAUGGCUGUGAAAAGGCACAUUCAAUUAGGUACUUUUUGGUGCGGUCUCCCAAUGCUAAUAUCAUAUUUUGUAUAGCAAUUAAAAUUUAGCUAUACAAUCUUAAUAUGCAAUAAAUCAUUGUAUACAAAGUUUUCUAUUGAUUAUAUGGUGACUGAAAUUUUAAUUAUCAUAUCAAUUUAAAUUUUUUUGUAACUCUCUUUUACUUUGCUUGUACAGAGUACCUGUUUUGGCUGAUAUGUCUAAUUCGUAGAAAUUCAUUUACAUCGGUUUCCAUUGGCUUUAGCACAAACAGAAACAGAGCUCUGGGGAAAAGUUUUACUUCUUGUGGUAUUAUGCCUUUGUUUCUUCAUUCAUCAUAUUUUUCGAAUUCAUGCUCUCAUUCAGAGGGUAAAGCCUUUUCCAGGCUGCUUUGUAGCCAAACUUUGACGCCUUUGAUGCAUGACUGUCAUUUAGAUUUCCCAAAUAACUGUUAGAUUGGAGAAGAAUAAAAAGAUACUGUUAAAAGGGUAUUUAAUUAGCGCCCUCUGAAUUUCUUGGAGUUAAUGUAGUCAAUUGCCCAAUUUUGCUGCCUGUCGAAGAUACACUGCAUGGAAGUCCUCAUCAAACUCUGAGACACCUAAUAAAUAGUAGGAUAGUAGGAGGGGGUGGUAUUCGCCUGGUGUUAAUUUCCUGGCAAGUAUAGUUCACAGAUAGAGGGGUUCUUUUCUUGAUGUCUAAAUACCUUAUGAGAUACAACAUCGUGUAUUCCAAUUUUUCUCUAGUUAAAUUUUAAUAAGUUAGAAAAGUUAAUUUUGUUUUAGCAAUGAAUUGUUUUCUUAAUAAUAAUAAUUGCCAUGUUCCUCUAAAGUCUUAUUAAUGCCAGACCAACAACUACUAGGUUCAUCUCUCGUUCACUUCCUCAGGGAAUCUCGAGGGCAUUCAUUGGCAGGUAGCCUUUCUUGUUGAGCUCCUGGAAUUACUUUUAAUUUAUCAUUUGUUGGGUUUUGCUUUUUGAUUGCUUUGGGAUUUGUGUUAUUAUCGCUUUGUCGCUCAUUAAUCUUGGCUGUUUUGAAUCUGUGUUGGAUUUAGAAGUUUGGAGUUGAAAACAGUUAAAGCUUAGACUAGUAGAAGAGAUUUAUACAUUCAUUUAUCUUGGACAAAGUUUUUGGGGAUAAAAAAAAAUUAUAAGUAUACACUUUCCAAUGGUUCGGUGAUGUUUGAUUGGUUUAAAGAUGUUGGAUAUCUCAUCAGAUUUCUUAUGUAUUGACUGCUGUUGCCACAGGAUGCUCGCAGAUCCUGCUUUUUUGUAUAAACUUCUACUAGAGCAGGUUGCCACAAUUGGUUGCACUGUUUUGUGGGAGUUGGAGAAUCAUAAGGAGAGGUGUGUUUUUUCUCUCAUAACAAAGGAACUCUUCCCUUCCUUUUUAUUUUCAUCUUACAUAUUAAGCUAAUAAAUGGGAUGGGAUAAAGCAAGAAUGGGAUCAGCUUGGUUUUGGUGCUUUCCUUGGACUAUAUGCAAACAUGAGAUAUCAGCUAUUGUGUGGAUUUGAUAGAGCGGUCUUCAACCAUUUUGAUGUUACCAGGUUAUCUCUCCCUCUCCCUCUUCUGCGUAUUUGUUUAUUGAUCUACACCUCUAUAUACAUUGAUAGACUAUUCUGGACGUACCAAAUUACCCUUGUUUUAAUGUUUUGUUUGUUAAACUUUGACUGGGGAAUCUGUUUAUUUGUCUGAUAAGAGGUUAGUGUGGUUUCUAUUGAAGUGUGCAGAUCUAUCACCAAGUAUUAUUUCAAUUUUUCUUGACUUAAUCAACUUGCAUCAUUUCCAAGUCCAGAUCCUUAACAAUAGUGCGACAUCGCUACAAAAGUACAAUUUCUCUAUUUUGACAGUUAAAUACAUAAGAAUGGUUUUAAAUUAACUGAACUCUGAGAUAGUUCUCUAAGGAAAUACAAGUGGUGAAUACAGUUCCAACUUUUAAGUGCCUUAAUAUCUCCAUUUGUUCAGCCCUGUGCAUAAAAAAUCAGUAAUUGCCGUCCAAAUUCUUCUUUACUGCCUAUAUGUGUUGGACUUUGUCUAUUCUUCAACUUCUCAAAUGGAUUUUUUGAAUGUCCAAUUAGGAGAAAGAUCAAGGCUUGCUUGGCUAGGAGUGGAAGCGGAUCCGCUACUUCAAUCAUAUGACCUUUUGAAGAAGGCUUACAACGGGCGGCUCAGGAUGUCAAUCGCUCAACUCAAAAGUCCCCAAGGUGGUUGAUAUCAAAGAAUGCCAUUGUCUCUGGGCUUGGGCUCCUUGGCAUCAAACAAGGGAAUGUCGACUCUGUUGAAGGGGAAGCAAGGGCCCCUAAAAUGCGAAGAAAGAGGAUAGUCCGGAAGAAGGUGACCGCAUAAACUUUUUGGGAGUUAAUAGCCCAAUUUUGCUGCCUGUCGAAGAGAUACAACUCAGAAGUCCUCAUCAAACUCUUUGAGACAUCUAAGAACUAGGAGGGAGGUGGUGGUAUUCACACGUGUUUCCUGGCAAGUGUAGUUCCUGAUAGAGGGAUUCUUUUCUUGAUGUCUAAAUACUAUAUGUGAUACAACGUCGUAUAUUCCAAUUUUUCUCUAGUUAAAUUCUAGUAAGUUAGAAAAGUUAAUUUUGUUCUAGCGAUGAAUUGUUUUCUUAAUAAUAAUAAUAAUAAUGGCCUGUUGUUUUGGAAUCUUAUUCACUCUCUGUAACCUAGUUAAAUUGUGCAAAGUCUACUACAGAUUUGUCAAAAUGAGUGUCUUUGUGAUUGUUUUGAUACACUUUUGAUGGCAAGUUCAAGUUUGAAUCAUCUUGUAAUGCCAAAAAACCAUAGCAAUUAGUUACUAAAUCGUACUCGAGUUUUUGUUUGACUUUUAACUACGAGAUCAGCGUUUAGUAUUAGCUGUAGUUAUAAUAUAAACGUUAAUUAUGAAACUCUUACCAAAUUUUAGUUGUACUUUCUAGCCCGAUUGUAGAAAUCCAUACAAGAUGUUACUCAAUUUUACUUAAUCUUACUCGUCUUUGAUUUGUAAAUUUUAUGCCUAAAUUUUUGUCAACAAAUUGCUCCCAGUUCCAAGGUUCUUCAGCUUGGGUGAUCCCAGCAAAACCAUUACGUCCAUUCAAAAGGGUUCCACGUUGAGUGCACGAGAUCCACAAGUUUGAUUGGACAGAAAUAGCUAAAAAAAACUAAUGAAACCCACGUCCAAAGAUGCCGUUGUCGCGGAGGCCUAGACACGACUCCCCAUCCUCUUUUACCAUAUUUUAUAAUUGAAGAGGCCAUUAUUGAAUUGAAAAAUUAUGAUUCAACCAUUGGAAACCAACUUGGAGUUUUAAGUUGAUAUGAGAAAAGAUUUUUUCAUCAUCAUCAUUAUUAUUAGGGAAAAUAUCCACCGUCCACCUGUUUUUUCCAACUUUAUAAAAAAUACACAAUUUUUUUUUUUUGGCUGGAAUCCAUCUAAACUUACGUUUUGUUUCACUUCUCCACUUCUGUUUGCUGCCCGUUAUAACGUAACUGAUGUCGUAGGGGUAAAUCAGUCAUUUCAGCAUAGCAGCCAAAAACGACGUCGUUUACAACUUUAAUUGGACAAAAAAAAAAGAAAAGAUAAAGUGGUCCAGAGAAGCAAACGAGAACAGCCAUGUUUAUUCACGAGUGACCCACCACCACCCUGCAUGAAGAACCAACAAAUUCCCACCAUUCUUUCUGCAGUUUCCAUCGAUUUUCAUCAACAAACAACGCUUGAGUAUCAAAACUUUUGUUAAGUCAAAGAUUCAGAGGUAUUGAGGGAAGCUGUGAGCGGUUUAGAAAUCUCGACACUUAGGUUUUCUGGGGUUUGAAUCUAGUAUCAAGUAAGUUUAGUUUUAUUUAUUAAUUUUCAUUUAUUUUUCGUAUGAUAUAAUGUUAUUUAAGAUUUGUAUCGAGAACGUUGUUAAUCGUUGUUUCUUGAAACCCUAGAAUACAUAUUAAGUUGAUUUAUAGUAAACUGAGUCCGUUUUUUUAUGGUAAUGAUAAAUUGAGAAGUAAUAUGUUGUUUUAAGGCUGGUGAGAAGCACAUGUAUGAAAGAUUGCUGCUAGCAUGGUUGAAUGCAUGUUUAUCCCCUGCAUACUCAUGUACUUGUGCACGUGGUUUACAAAAUUUGGGGUUUUUGAAAAUUUGUAGUUGCUACACUAUGGGUCGUGAUUUUUAGAAAUUUUUUAUCUAUAUGCCCUAGCCCCCCUGGUGAAGGUUCGGCAUAUGCAUGUGAAAUUUGAAUCUCUCAAAGAUUAUAAUUUUUAAUCUGACAAAGUCCUCCAGGAUGUUUGUUCCUUUGGUGAAUCUAAUCGUUUGUUUUGGACAUUCAGGAUGCCACCUCUAGAGUUAGUGAUAUUCUUUCGAGGCACGAAGAAGAAUUUAGGGUUGCUUGAACCUGACUGUACUGUUGCGAAGAUAAAAGAGACUGCCGUAAACAUUACGAGUCCAUAUGGAUUAGACUCCACUUCAAAAAUUAUGUUGAAUGCCACGAACCCGGAGAAUAAGAUGAAAGUUGCACUGGAUUCGGAAUUUGCACUCGAAUUUUUGCGUAAAAUUCAUCACAUUGUGGGUGUCAGUACUUUAACUGUUGAAGUUGUACCAGUUCUUCACCCUCAGCAACAUGAGUACAAAGUAGGUGCCGAUGGGAAACAUAGGCUUAAAUUAGGGCAUGUAUUUAGAGAUGUUGGUCAUUUUAGGGAGAUAUUGCAUGAGGUAAUGAUUAGAAAAAGGUUUGCCAUUAAAACAAUAUAUAGUGAGCCAAGACGAUUCGUAGGUACUUGUAAAGAAGCUAACUGUCCAUGGUACGUGUCUGGUACAAAGCUGAAUGAUGGGACUGGUUUUAUAUUGCGAGAAUACAACAAAAACCACGAGUGUAGGCUUACUAACAAGACAGUGAAAGUUACAUCUGCUUGGGUUGCUUCUAAAAUAAAGGGUCAGGUUGCUGUUGACCCUAAUGUCAAGAUUGAUAUUCUGAAGAAUCAUGUGCAAGAGACGUAUGGUUUAAAGAUUGGGAAGCUGACACUGUAUAGGGCUAGAGCAAAGGCAAGACUUGAGGUAUUGGGGGAUCAUUCAAGGGGAUAUCAGAAAUUAUUUGACUAUGUUGCUGCCAUUCACAAGGCUGAUCCAGGAGCAAUAUGCAAGGUGUUAUGUGAUGCUAUUUCUAUUCCUAAUAAGGUAUUAUUCCAGAGGUUUUUUGUUGCCUUUCCAGCACAAAAAAAAUGCAUAUCUUAACGGUUGUAGACCUUUUAUUGGAGUAGAUGGAUGUCACUUAAAAGGUAAGUACGGUGGAGUGUUGUUAGCUGCUGUUGGCAUAGAUGGUAAUAAUGGGAUUGUCCCUUUAGCGCUAUGUGUUUGUGAGAUUGAGAAUACAGAGACAUGGGGAUGGUUUAUGGAGAACUUGAAUAAUUAUUUGGAUGAUGGAAGGCAGGUCACUUUCAUUAGUGAUAGACAAAGGGGUUGAUUAAUGCAAUUUCAACCACUUGGCCUACUGCCUAUCAUAGGGCGUGUUCUUGGCAUGUUUAUGCUAAUUUUUCCAAGUCGUUUGCUGGUGCACAGUUGAAACAAUUAUUUUGGAAAGCUGCCAAGAGCAGUAACAAGCAUGAUUUUGACGAGGCAAUGGCAGAGAUCAAGGCUGAAAAAGAAGCUGCAUUUGAGUGGUUGGAACGAGAACUAUAUAGUUAUAAUUGGUCGAUGCCCACAUAUGACAGAAAUUGCAUGGUAGAUCGUACCGAUAACAAUGCAUCGGAGUGCUUCAACAGCUGGAUAUUAGCUUACCGAGACAAACCUUGCUUGACAAUGCUUGAAGAAAUAAGAUGUAGACUUAUGAAACGGUUUACAAAACGAAGAAAUGAAGCAGCCACUUGGAAAAAACAGCUGACUCCUAAGGUUUUGAAAGACUUGGACAAAAAAAAUAAGAUUGCACAGAAGAUGAUUGUACAAGCUUCUGGUGAUCUUAAUUUUCAAGUCAUGGAUAGAGGCUAUAAUCCACCUAAGAGGUUUGUUGUGAAGUUAGAAUCUAGAACAUGUGAUUGCGGUUAUUGGGAAAUUGCUGGCCUCCCUUGUCAACAUGCUAUGGCUGCCAUGGGAUAUGCAAGACAUCAAGUUCAGGAAUAUGUUCCAACUUGCUUUAGCAGACAAGCUUACCUUAGCACUUAUUCAGUGAUGUUCAGCCCCCUUCCAGAUUAGUGUACAUGGAAGCCUACAGGAAGGCCGUUGAUUGACCCACCAAUUGUUGAAAGAAAGAUUGGAAGGCCCAAAAAAUCCAGAAAAAGAGCAGCAAAUAAGCCUCAGAAAUUAAGAGAAAAGAAAAUUCUUUGUCAUUUGCUCAUUUUGUGGUGGUUCUAAUCACAAUGUGAGAAGCUGUCUGUUGACGCCAUCUGUUGCAAGGUCAAAUAGAGCGAGGAACAAUAAUUUUCAGGUAUAUUUAAUAUACUAUUAUUAUUUAUUAUGUUUAUCAUUAUUUAUUAUGUUUAAUAUAUUUAUACUGUUGUUAUGUUUACUAUCAUAAUGGUUUGUAGGCAUCAACAACAUCAAGCCAGCCAUUAAAUGCUUCACAGCAGGCAAGAUUGAGAAGAAAACAGGUGCUGCUAGCAGUUCGUUUGUGCCUUCAUAGUUUGUUUUAUGUGUAAUAUAAAAUUCAUUUACAAAUCAACAUAUUUUAUAGGCAGCAGUAGCAAAGUCAAUUGGUUCAGGCCAGCCAGUAGCUACUGCAUCUGAAACAGCAAGAAAGGUGUUAUCUUGGUUCAAUAUUUGUAUAUUUUUGUAUUUUUUGUUCAAGUUCUUAAACUAACAUAAUAUAUAAUUUAGAUACCUAGUGGCCCAGGUCAAAGUUCGAAUGCUGGAACAAAGAAAAGAAGGGCUCUUCGAGGUGCUGGAACAAGGGAAAGACAAUCAAGUCCAAGACUGAACCAAUCCCAAAAUUCAUCUCAAGCUUCAAUUAUCACAGGUUCUUUGUAAUGGAACAAACUAAACUUGUUUAAACAAACUAAACUUGUUAACUUGCCAUUUUGGUUGUUAUUUUGGCAUAUUACUGGUUAUUUUGGAUAAUUAUGUGGUUGUCAAAGGUCAUUUAUAAUGUAUUUUGAUGAUAUGAUUAAUGGUUAUUUUGGUUGUACUUUUGGAUAACUAUGAUAUGAUAAUAUUUUCCAAUUAUUGUGGUUAACAAAAUGUUAUUUAGGGUGUAUUUAAAUGCAAUUGCAAAGAUCGAUACUAGGACUGUCAACAAUAAGCUUUUAUUUCAGUAAUGCAUGUUUUAUAGGAUACAUUACAUUUUAAUAAAUACAAUUGCACAGAGGCACACUAGCAGUAUUAUUAUAUAUUUAAGCUUUCCUUCAAUCAGCCUAAGCCUUUUCUUUAUCUUCACCAUCUCAUCAGCUCCAAGGUUUACUGCAUUUGGCUCCAAAUUUUGAUUAUCUACCAUUUGAUCACUUCUACUAGGGUAUAUGAGAGCUUCAGUAGUAAACCAUUGCCAAAACUUGCAUUUGUUCAACCUGCAUGACCAAAACAUUGCAUUAGGAUUUUGUGGUGUAGUGGAAACCAUAGCACACGCCUGCAUGCCACACCAGUAGUACUUGGGAAUGCAUUUAAUUUUUCUCUGUGGCUGUCCACUGGCUGCAGAACUUGAACUAUAACUUGAUGCCAUUUUAAAUGUGUAGAUGAUUUGUUUCAAUGAAUGGUUAAUCAAGUGAUGUGAGGAUGAUGGUUGAGCAGGUCUUGAGUUUGAAUGAAUGAAUGGUUGAGUGGCUGUAAUGUUUCUGAUUAGUAUUAAAAAUUGUUUAAUUAUCAAGCGAUAAUAUGUUAUUUUAUGCUUAUAUUAUAAUUUAUAUUUGUAUUUAUGUAAUUUAUUAUGAAUUAUGAAUUAUGUUUUAAAUAUAUUUAAUUUUUUGUAUUUUUAUGUGCUUAUUAGGAAAAAUAUUAAUUUCACGUACUUUGAGGCUCCAAACAGAUAAACGGAGGUCAAAUUUGGAUUCCGGAGGUCCGAAAACCUUAAGAUCAGUCAAGAUCGGCUUAAAAUUGGGCUUGUGUAAAAAAAGUUGACUUUUCCUGUUGACCGAGUACUGAUUGGAUGAUGAAAUGAGCUUACAAUAGAUAUGAGUGCAUGGGAUAGCUGGCAAUCUUGACCAAAUCUAAACCGUUCAUGAUUCAAUGGCCAUGAUUGUGCCACGUGGCAAUGGUUGGUGAAGCAAGUUGGAGGAUCCGAAUCUUUGUAUUCGGGUCGACCCGAUCCACCCAUUAACCCGCCAAAUCUCAACCGUUCUUUGGGUAAAUCGGACGAGUCAAAUGAUGCCAUGUGUGAUGUUGACUUUUAAAGUUUGACCAGCCAUUGGAUCUUGAUCUAAGGGUUGUGAGGAGCACAUGCUUGAAGCCUAUGAUGGACCACAAAGCACUGGAUUAUGAAUUUAAUUUUCUAUAAAUAGGGCCUCAUUUUUAUGUUUUAAUCAUCUCUCUACAACUCUCUUCUUCUCAAAUUCUCUUCAUCUCCUUGUAAUCUUCAUUUCCAGGUGUGUUUUUAAUAUUUUGUAUAAUUAUUUUCAUUAAUAAAAUUAGUUUUAUUUCCAAUUUUAGUUGUUUUUAUUUCUUUUAAUUAUAAGUAAUGCAAUUUUACUACUUCUUUUUAUUUUAAUUAUCCUUAACUAAAUAAUAUUAGUUAGGGGAAGGUGAAACUCUUAGGAAAUAAAUAUGAUUUAAUCAAAUUCUAUUUUUAAUUUUAUAAAUUAAAUUAUUUUCUAUUUAAUUUUAUACAUGUUUUAUAUUUUGAAAUUUUGAUUUAUUGUAGACAAACAAAUGAAUUUGGCACAAUAAAUUCUUAAGAUCUUAAUAUAAGGCAUGGUGAAAUGGUAUUUUGACUUAUUGUAGACAAAUAAAUUUUGGCACAAUAAAUACUUAAUCCAUCAUAAAAUUAAAGGGAAAAUAAUAAUAAUUUGUAUAAUUAAUCUUUUGGGUAAUAAAUCUAAAAAAAUUGGCAAAAAGAAUUUAUUAAGUUUUAUUUACUACUAAGAGUGGAUCCAUAACCCUAAUUAGUUCAAUUUCAUAGUUUCAUUUAAAUUAAGUUGUUUAUAUUCAAGUUUUAAUUUCAAUUUUUAGAUAAAAUAAAACAAUCAAAUUAAAUCUUUUCUCUGUGGAUCGACCUCGGACUCACCGAGUUAUAAUACAACAAGACACUCUUAUACUUGGGAGUUAAAUAUUACUUUUAAGUUGUGUCAAGUUUUUGGCGCCGUUGCCGGAGAAAUUUUUUUUUUAUUUGGUUUGUUUUUCCCUUUUUAUUUUUCUCUUAUAUGUAAAAUUUCGUUUGCCCCCUUUUCCUUUUCUUAAAUUUUGUUUUGUCCCUAUAUCUUUUAUAAUUCGCGUUUCAUCCCAACAAUUCUCGUUUCUAGCCCAAUCUUCUGGUAAUUACAUUCUGACCCCAACAUCUUUCAGUCGUUUCACUUUCAUCCCAAAAGGCUCAAUUCUAAACUUCUAAAAAUUACAGUUUGACCAUAAAAUUAAAAAUAAUUUGUAAUAAAAUACCUAGACGAAAUUCUCAAAAUAAUCAAGACUUGGACAUACUUUGGACAUAUUUUGGACAUACUUUGGACAUAUUUGGACUUAUUUUGGACCAAACUAACUUUAACUACUAACUCUAAUUACUAACUCUUAACUUACUAACUGCUAACUCCUAACUUUUUUUUUUAAUUUCAGUUAUUUAAUUUUCUGCAUUUAUUUUAUUUCGUAUUUAUUUAUUUAUUUUUGCUUCAUUGGUGGGUUUAACCACCAAACUAACUACUAACUCUUAACUUUAAUUUUCAGUUAUUUAUUUAAUUUUGUAUUUUUUAAUUGGUGGGUUCAACCACCAUUUUUUUUCUAUUAUUAUUUUGCAUUUAUUUUACUUAAUUGGUGGGUUCAACCACCAAAAUUGUUAUUUAAUUUUCUUUUGUAUACAUAUAUUAUUUGCUUAUUUAUUUUUUAUUUUGUUAUCAAUUUGUGUAAAUAUUAUCUUUAUAACAUAACCCUUGCAUGAGACGUUGGUCUCGAUCUUCAAGUAGCAGGUUAAUUCGUAGAUCUCAAUCUCCACCACCAAUCAUGGAUGAGAAUGAAGGCGAAAACGUUUUGGGCGAACUUAAUCCUCAAAUUGAUCAGGGAGACAACCAAUCUCAACAUGGGCAUGAUCAGAAUCAACCAAGGACUCUGAGAGACUACAUGAAUCCAACCAGAACCGGAGCACCGUCGUGUAUAGUAUUUCCUCCAGAAGCAUCUCGAUUCAACUUUAAACCAGGUAUUAUCCAGCUUUUACCAACAUUUCAUGGUUUAGAAUCUGAGAAUCCAUACUUGCAUCUAAGAGAUUUUGAGGAAGUUUGUAAUACAUACACGGACCAAAAUUGUAGCAUGAACAUAAUUAGAUUAAAGUUUUUUCCUUUUUCAUUAAAAGAUAAAGCUAAAACUUGGCUACAAAACCUUAGAUCUGGAUCAGUAAGAACUUGGAAUAACAUGCAAGAACAGUUUUUGAAAAAAUUCUUUCCACCUCAUAGAACAAAUUCUUUUAAAAGGCAAAUCACUUCUUUCACUCAAAAAAAUGGAGAAACAUUAUACCAAUGUUAGGAUAGGUUUAAAGAGUUGCUUAACAUAUGUCCACAUCAUGGUUUUGAAACUUGGCGAUUGGUCACUUACUUCUACGAGGGCUUAAUACCCCAAAGUAGACAGGUUGUUGAAAUGAUGUGUAAUGGUGAAUUUAGGGAUAAAAAUCCUGAAGAUGCACUAGAUUACCUUGACCAAUUAGCUGAAAAUGCACAACAUUGGGAUACUGUUGGAACUUUUGAAUUAACAAAUAAGCAACAAUCAUCCCCAUCUAGUGGAGGAAUCCAUAACCUUAGGGAAGAUCAUAAUUUACAAGCAAAAUUUGCAUCCCUAGUUAGGAAAGUUGAAGCUUUGAGCAUAAAAAGAGUGAUCAAGUCAAAUCUAUUUAAGAAAUUGCAUGUAACAUAUGUAGUUCGAAUGAUCAUUUCACUCAAGAGUGUCCUACUUUGCCUGCACUUAAAGAAUGUCUAAAUGAUCAAGCUAAUGUCAUUAACACUUUCAAUAAACCAAACCCAUAUUCACAGACUUAUAAUCCUAGUUGGAGAAAUCAUCCGAAUUUCAGUUGGAGGAAUAAUAAUAAUGCACAAUCUUCACAAGCACCACCUCCACAAAAUUUUCAAAAUCCUCAGCCUUAUGCACCAUAUGUUCCAUCACCCUGGAAAAAUCUAGAAGACACAAUGCAUUCAUUCAUCAGAAAGCAAGAUGUUAUUAACAAUCAAAAUGCACAAACUUUUUCUUAUUUGAAAGAUACUCUUGCUAAAAUUGCUUUUGCACUCACCAUUCAAGAAAAAGGAAAAUUUCCAGCUCAACCACAACCAAAUCCUAAAAUUCAACAAAAUCCACCCACGGACCAAGUCAAGUCAGUUAUAACUCUUCGUAGUGGUAAGGUUGUUGAUAGACCUAUGCCUGAACCUUAUGAAAAUGAUGAAAAUUCAAAGGGUAAGGAAGGACUAAAUGAACUUACACCUAGUGAAGAAAUAACUAGUGUUCCACCUGAACCACCAUUUCCGCAUGCAUUGAAUAAACCAAAGAAAUCAAACCACUCUUCUGAAAUUUAUGAAAUCUUUAAGCAAGUGAAAGUUAACAUUCCUUUAUUAGAUGCAAUCAAGCAUGUUCCUUCAUAUGCCAAAUUUUUAAAGGACUUGUGCACUGUUAAGAGGAAAUUGAAGGUAAGAAAGAGUGCUUUCAUGGCCGAACAGGUAAGUACAAUUCUGUCUACUAAUAAUAAGUUGAAAUAUAAAGAUCCUGGUUGUCCUACCAUUUCUUGUAUUAUUGGUAACCACAGAAUUGAACAUGCUUUAUUAGAUCUUGGUGCUAGUGUUAAUUUGCUUCCAUAUUCAGUUUAUCUUCAACUUAAUCUUGGUGAGUUAAAAUCAACUUCAACUACACUUUUGCUUGCGAUAGAUUAGUUAAAGUACCAAAAGGAANNNNNNNNNNNNNNNNNNNNNNNNNNNNNNNNNNNNNNNNNNNNNNNNNNNNNNNNNNNNNNNNNNNNNNNNNNNNNNNNNNNNNNNNNNNNNNNNNNNNNNNNNNNNNNNNNNNNNNNNNNNNNNNNNNNNNNNNNNNNNNNNNNNNNNNNNNNNNNNNNNNNNNNNNNNNNNNNNNNNNNNNNNNNNNNNNNNNNNNNNNNNNNNNNNNNNNNNNNNNNNNNNNNNNNNNNNNNNNNNNNNNNNNNNNNNNNNNNNNNNNNNNNNNNNNNNNNNNNNNNNNNNNNNNNNNNNNNNNNNNNNNNNNNNNNNNNNNNNNNNNNNNNNNNNNNNNNNNNNNNNNNNNNNNNNNNNNNNNNNNNNNNNNNNNNNNNNNNNNNNNNNNNNNNNNNNNNNNNNNNNNNNNNNNNNNNNNNNNNNNNNNNNNNNNNNNNNNNNNNNNNNNNNNNNNNNNNNNNNNNNNNNNNNNNNNNNNNNNNNNNNNNNNNNNNNNNNNNNNNNNNNNNNNNNNNNNNNNNNNNNNNNNNNNNNNNNNNNNNNNNNNNNNNNNNNNNNNNNNNNNNNNNNNNNNNNNNNNNNNNNNNNNNNNNNNNNNNNNNNNNNNNNNNNNNNNNNNNNNNNNNNNNNNNNNNNNNNNNNNNNNNNNNNNNNNNNNNNNNNNNNNNNNNNNNNNNNNNNNNNNNNNNNNNNNNNNNNNNNNNNNNNNNNNNNNNNNNNNNNNNNNNNNNNNNNNNNNNNNNNNNNNNNNNNNNNNNNNNNNNNNNNNNNNNNUUAGAAGAGUAGCAGGACAUCCUUACUACUGUUUUUAGAUGGAUAUAUAGGUAAUUAUCAAAUACCUAUAGCCCUAGAGGACCAAGAAAAGACCACAUUCACAUGUCCUUUAGGAACAUUUGCAUUUAAAAGAAUGCCAUUCGGGCUUAGUAAUGCUCCUGCAACAUUUCAAAGAUGUAUGUUAAGCAUUUUUUGUGAUAUGGUUGAACAUUGUUUAGAGGUCUUUAUGGAUGAUUUGACUGUGUUUGGGAAUUCUUUUGAUGAUUGCCUUGAUAAUUUGGAGAAAGUUUUAAAAAGAUGUAUUGAAAAAGAACUCGUGUUGAAUUGGGAAAAAUGUCACUACAUGGUUACUUCUGGAAUUGUUUUGGGUCAUGUUGUUUCUAUUAAAGGAAUUGAAGUUGACAAAGCAAAAAUUGAAGUCAUAUCUAAAUUGCCACAACCAAAAACAGUUAGAGAUGUGCGAUCCUUUUUAGGACAUGCAGGAUUUUAUAGGAGGUUUAUAAAAAACUUUAGUGCCAUAUCUAAACCACUUUGUAACCUCUUAUUAAAAGAUGCACCAUUUGAAUGGAAUGAUGAUUGCCAAAAAUCGUUUGAAAAAAUAAUUUGUCUUUUAACAUCUGCACUUAUUAUGCAAUCUCCUGAUUGGUCUUUGCCAUUUGAAUUAAUGUGUGAUGCGAGUGAUUUUGCUAUUGGUGUUGUUUUAGGACAAUGAAGGGAUGGUAAGCCUUUUGUGAUUUAUUAUGCAAGUAAGACUUUAGAUAGUGCUCAAAUGAAUUAUUCUACAACUGAAAAAGAAUUACUUGCUGUGGUAUUUGCAUUAAACAAAUUCCGUUCAUAUUUGCUUGGCUCUAAAUCUGUUGUGUUUACUGACCACGCUGCUGUGAGAUAUUUGAUGAGUAAACAGGAUGCCAAACCGAGACUAAUUCGUUGGAUUUUGUUACUACAAGAAUUUGACCUUACCAUCAAAGAUAAAAAGGGUGCUGAAAAUGUUGUUGCAGAUCAUCUAUCAAGACUCACAUCCGAAUUCUGCAAUGAUAUAACACCCAUAAAUGAUUCUUUCCCUGAUGAAUUUUUAUUUUCUGUUACUUCAAUGCCAUGGUAUGCUAACAUUGUUAAUUUCCUUGUUACAGGUAAAAUGCCUUUGCAAUGGAAUGCUCAAGAGAAGAAGAAAUUUUUUGUUGAAGUAAAGAAAUUUUAUUGGGAUGACCCUUAUUUGUUCAAAUAUUGCCCAGAUCAAAUUUUUCGGCGAUGUAUUCCUGAUAAUGAGGUAAGUAGUGUCAUUAAUUUUUGUCAUUCUGAAGCAUGUGGUGGUCAUUUUUCUUCAAGAAAAACUACUGCUAAAAUUUUGCAGUGUGGAUUUUAUUAGCCUACCAUGUUUAAAGACACAUAUGAAUUCUGCAAAAGCUGUGAAAAAUUUCAAAAAUUGGGAUCAAUUACAAAAAGAAUCAUGAUGCCCUUAAAUCCCAUACUUGAAAUUGAAAUAUUUGACUGUUGGGGAAUUGAUUUCAUGGGUCCAUUUCCAUCAUCUUUUGGAUUUGUGUAUAUAUUAGUUGCAGUUGAUUAUGUCUCAAAAUAGAUUGAAGUAAUUUCUUGUCGAAAUAAUGAUAGUAAAAAUGUGAUUAAAUUUUUAAGAGAAAACAUUUUAAGUCGAUUUGGAAUCCCUCGAGCCAUUAUCAGUGAUGGAGGUAAGCAUUUUUGUAAUAAGUCAUUUGAGUUUUUAAUGAAGAAAUAUGGAAUUACACAUAAAAUUGCUACCCCUUAUCAUCCUCAAACAAAUGGUCAAGUUGAAUUAGCAAAUAGGGAGAUAAAACAAAUUUUGGAAAAAACGGUUAACCCAAACCGAAAAGAUUGGUCUCUUAGACUUAAUGAUGCACUUUGGGCUUACCAUACUGCAUUUAAAACGUCCUUAGGAAUGUCACCCUAUCGGUUAAUUUAUGGUAAACCUUGUCAUUUACCUGUUGAACUUGAACAUAAAUCACUUUGGGCUAUUAAAGCUUUUAAUUCAAAUUUGGAUGAUGCUGGUAAUGUGCGAAAAUUACAAUUGAAUGAACUUGAGGAAUUAAGGAAUGAUGCAUAUGAAAAUUCAAAAAUUAUUAAGGCAAGAACAAAAGCAUUUCAUGAUAAAAGAAUUUUUCGAAAAACAUUUGAGAUUAGUCAAAAAGUGUUGCUUUAUAAUUCUCGUCUUCAUUUAUUUCCAGGGAAGUUAAAGUCAAAAUGUAGUGGCCCAUUUGUUGUAAAAAAUGUAUAUUCACAUGGAGCCAUAGAAAUUGAGAAUAAAAAAAACGGUGUCACAUUUAAAGUUAAUGGCCAAAGAUUAAAACCAUAUCUGGAACAUCACACACGUGACGAGGACACCGAAAUUAAUUUGGGUGACCCACCAGUUCUUGAUUAAGUCUUUAAUGAUUUUUUUUAAUUUUAUUUUACUAUUAUUUUACCGUUUCAUUGUUUGAUUUUUUUCCUUUUUCUCUAGAUUGAUGCACUGUACAUAGUUUUUUUUAACAUUGUUUUUCUUGUGUAAGCGUGUUUGUUUGACAGUUGUACAUUCUCUCAUCAAUUUCCAUUUUACAUCAUGAGCACCUCAAUGAGAAAAUUCCUGUUCGCACAUCUUAAAAGAUUUCUUCGUGUGAAAUUUCACUUAAGAGGCCUGAUACAAAGCUGUAAAUCACAUCCACUUUGGGAUCUGCAACCACCAGAAUUCGUGUCCUAUGUUGAGGAUCUAAAGGAACAACUCAGAACAGUAGAGAGUGGCAUAUAUAAAUUUCAAUUGGAGCUUGAGGUUAACUCAAUGAGAGGACGAAUGUAAGUUCAUUUUCCUUUUUAUAUUGUGUGCUUCUUUUUGCUCGCUUUCACGCUUGAUUUGAUUUUGCAGAUUUGAUUUUGGUGAGUUUUGAUUUAUUUUCCCGUAUAAAUGGCGGAUAACGGUACUCCGUGACUUCUUAAGUCGGUAUCUUCAGUUUCCCACAAUAACUGAAACCCCAAAAUCAAACAUGGAAAAAAUACAACAUAAACUGCAUAAGCACUUUCCUUCUCUCCCUCAGAAUGCCCUCAGGAAAAUUUACAAAGCUCGUUGUGAACGACUGCGUUUGUUAAUGAUCAAUGGCAUUCCUUUUGACAUUCGUUGGUUAAUUGAAGCAAAGGUCCGAUUAGCAGGUGAGUUUUCUGAUCCAUUUGUUUCUUACAUGCCUGGUUUUGGUAAAAGUACGUUUGCUAAGAAAAGGAGAGCUAAACGACUUGGCUCAAAAUGUCAUAACUGUGUAAGACUUGGUUGCAAACGACCAGAUUGUAAAUCUUUAGGAAUGGUUUCUGAUACUCGUGAAGAUAAAAUUAAAUUCGUUAAAGAUGGCAUGAGUAAAGAAUCGUUGGAUGAUAUCUUAUGAUCUCUUGAGACGCAUCGAAGCGGAUUUGUGCAACGAGAAAUUUAUAAUUUGUGGAUACUAUUCCAAAAACAAAGUGCACAGUUUAGUCUUAGGAAUUUGACUCAAAAAGACCCUGUUUGUCAGUUUGUAAGAAAACUGGAUGGGAAGCCAAUCCUCGACCCAUAGAGGGCGUUUAAGCCGUUACUGGACGUAAAACCAGAGGAAGAUGUGAGCCACAAUCACAACUACCAGUAAAUAUCCUUUCACUUCACUGUUAUUUUACUUUACUGUUAUUUUAUCAUUUGCAUUAUUGCAUUUAGCGGUGUGAUUUUGUAUUUAAUAAAUAUUUGUUUUCUUUUAUUGUUUGCUUUUUCUAAUCAUUAUUUUCUUUUUACUGUUUGUUUUUGAAUUAUUGAGCCACGAGCUUUACUCGUCAUUUGACAAAUAUGCCAACCCAUUUACAGCUGUUUCUCAUUAUUUAUGUCACCAAGAUCUUUAAAUAUGAGCUCGUUUUUCAAACACUCACAACCUGUUUUUGAAAAAUUAGUCCAAUGGCAGCAUCUUCGAGUAAACAAUUCAAAAAUAUUUGUGUGCUUUCUGGGUAUCACUAUGGAAAGUACAAAGAGUUUGUUCAGGCAGCAGUAGAUCUUGGUCGUGUCAUAGCAGAGAGGAAACUGCAUCUUGUAUAUGGAGGAGGUGAACGAGGGUUAUCAAGACUUGUCUCAGAAGCUGUUUUUACCAGAGGAAGUCAAGUACUCGGCAUUAUCCCAAAACCCAUGAAACCGCUAGUGUGCUUGUCUGGCCCACCAAUUGGGGAAGAAUUAGUGGUAUCAAGUAUGCAAGAGAGACUAUCUGAAAUGAUGAAUCAAGCUGAUGCUUUUAUUUUUUUGCCAGGAGAUCUUGCAACUUUUGAGGCACUAAUUACAUUUGCAUCUUGGGCCCACUUGAACAUUCAUCAAAAACCCAUCGGUUUGUUAAAUGUUAAUAACUUUUAUGACGGCUUGCUAACUUUUAUUAACCAUACAAUAAAGAAUCAUUUUGUUCCACAUUCUGUAAAAAAAAACUCUUUAUCUUUGUUUCUACUGCUAAUGAGUUACUUAAUCUCUUACAAGCUUAUACACCAGAGCCAGAUCCAAAGACUUUUGAAUUGAAUUGGUCGACUGAUGAUGGUAGCGGUAACAGUAGCAGUAAUAAGAAGCGCGAUUUAGAUUUAACUCUCCGUCUAUAAAUAUUUUCUGUUGUAGUGUUCAUGUACUGUCUUCUAAACUCUUUCUUUUUCCUUUUAAAACAUUAAGAACAAUGUCUUUUUCAGGUUGGGGGGAGGGAAUAGUUGAUAAUUGUGGAAUGUCUUAGUCCUGGUUAUGUUUUUACAAAAAAAAAAACAAAAACAAAAAAAAAACAAAAUUUUUUUUUUCUGUAAAGACUAACUUAGGACAAAUUUGAGUCGAAGAUGGCAGGAUAUAGAGAAUGUAGUCUCUCUAAAAACGCAUCUUCUUAAUCUUAAGGGUGUUGUUAAAAAAAAAAAAAUUUGACUUUUUCUUCAUUUUUGUUAUCUUCUUUUAAGCUUCUGCAUCAAGUUCAGGUAAGAUCUCCUCUUCUUCUUCUUUUAUUAUUCUCUUUUAUUUUUUAUUCAUUUUUUCUUUUUCUUUUUGCAUAUCUGUAAAAUUAUAAAAUGUUAAGAUAAUGUUUAGAUUAGGUUGUGGGGUGGGGAUAAUUGACGUAUGUUUUAAAUAUGUGUGUUGUUUUUCUCUUUUCUCUUUUCUUUUCUUUGUCAAAAAAAAAAAAAACAAAAUAUUUUUUUUUGGUCUAGGAUGGCCGUGUAAAGAGUCACGACUUUUGAGACGCAUCCUAAUAGUCUUAUUGUAUUAUAUUUUGAUUUUGAAAUUCAUAGUAAGUUGUUUUUGUUCCCUUUUCUUUGAAUUACUCAAAUUUGUGAACUCUCCACUUGGUUAUUAAGUUAUUUAAUUGUUUACUCAUUUAACAGGUAUUAUUGAAUCAUUCUUCACACACACAUUAUGACACAUACUAGUGGGUUGUAAGUUAAAAUUUUACAGCAUUUAGUUCUUUUGAUUUAUUAGGAAAAGUAUCUAAGGUAGUCGAAAGUGUAUAUUUCAAAAAAAAAUAAAAAAAAAGAAAAAAAUUAUUGUUUGUUAUAUCUAGAAACUCGAGUAAUUAAGUCCGUAGGGGUGUUUCAACACCUAGUGCCCUAAGGUCAACUGGUCUGGGAGUCACUGGCCUAAAGCUCGCUACAUGGGUAAUAGAUAUAUUGUUUGUUUAUUAGAAACCCGAGUAAUUAAGUCCGUAGGGGUGCUUCAACACCUAGUGCCCUAAGGCCAACUGGUCUGGGAGUCACUGACCUAAAGCUCGCUACACGGGUUAGAAAUAUAAUACAAAAAAAAAUAUGUGUGAAUAAUCUAUUGCCUAAAGAUAUAAUUUCUAAUGAAUUUUAGAACGAAAAUGUUGUUUUUCUUUUAAUAAAGCCCCAUAAGUAUUGUGUUAAUUACUUGAGCACAAAAGAAGGUUUGAUGAUACUCUGGAUAAUGAGUGAACAUCAAUGUGGUAAAGGAAUUUAGGAGAGUUCAUUUAUUUGGUAAUUUAGAGGAUAGAUGAACAAUUAUUAACUUGCAUGUGAAUUUUAUAAAUCUUAAUAUAACGCUUUAAUUGCUAGAGGGCUAGCAAUAAGCUGGUUGGGGGGUGUGAUUAGUAUUAAAAAUUGUUUAAUUAUCAAGCGAUAAUAUGUUAUUUUAUGCUUAUGUUAUAAUUUAUAUUUGUAUUUAUGUAAUUUAUUAUGAAUUAUGAAUUAUGUUUUAAAUAUAUUUAAUUUUUUGUAUUUUUAUGUGUUUAUUAGGAAAAAUAUUAAUUUCACGUACUUUGAGGCUCCAAACAGAUAAACGGAGGUCAAAUUUGGAUUCCGAAGGUCCGAAAACCUUAAGAUCAGUCAAGAUCGGCUUAAAAUUGGGCUUGUGUAAAAAAAGUUGACUUUUCCUGUUGACCGAGUACUGAUUGGAUGAUGAAAUGAGCUUACAAUAGAUAUGAGUGCAUGGGAUAGCUGGCAAUCUUGACCAAAUCUCAACUGUUCAUGAUUCAAUGGCCAUGAUUGUGCCACGUGGCAAUGGUUGGUGAAGCAAGUUGGAGGAUCCGAAUCUUUGUAUUCGGGUCGACCCGAUCCACCCAUUAACCCGCCAAAUCUCAACCGUUCUUUGGGUAAAUCGGACGAGUCAAAUGAUACCAUGUGUGAUGUUGACUUUUGAAGUUUGACCAGCCAUUGGAUCUUGAUCUAAGGGUUGUGAGGAGCACAUGCAUGAAGCCUAUGAUGGACCGCAAGGCACUGGAUUAUGAAUUUAUUUUUCUAUAAAUAGGGCCUCAUUUUUAUGUUUUAAUCAUCUCUCUACAACUCUCUUCUUCUCAAAUUCUCUCCAUCUCCUUGUAAUCUUGAUUUCCAGGUGUGUUUUUAAUAUUUUGUAUAAUUAUUUUCAUUAAUAAAAUUAGUUUUAUUUCCAAUUUUAGUUGUUUUUAUUUCUUUUAAUUAUAAGUAAUGCAAUUUUACUACUUCUUUUUAUUUUAAUUAUGCUUAACUAAAUAAUAUUAGUUAGGGGAAGGUGAAACUCUUAGGAAAUAAAUAUGAUUUAAUCAAAUUCUAUUUUUAAUUUUAUAAAUUAAAUUAUUUUCUAUUUAAUUUUAUACAUGUUUUAUAUUUUGAAAUUUUGAUUUAUUGUAGACAAACAAAUGAAUUUGGCACAAUAAAUACUUAAUCCAUCAUAAAAUUAAAGGGAAAAUAAUAAUAAUUUGUAUAAUUAAUCUUUUGGGUAAUAAAUCUAAAAAAAUUGGCAAAAAGAAUUUAUUAAGUUUUAUUUACUUCUAAGAGUGGAUCCAUAACCCUAACUAGUUCAAUUUCAUAGUUUCAUUUAAAUUAAGUUGUUUAUAUUCAAGUUUUAAUUUCAAUUUUUAGAUAAAAUAAAACAAUCAAAUUAAAUCUUUUCUCUGUGGAUCGACCUCGGACUCACCGAGUUAUAAUACAACAAGACACUCUUAUACUUGGGAGUUAAAUAUUACUUUUAAGUUGUGUCAGUUUCAAUGUGUUAUGAUGAAUGGUACAGUUAUGAUGUGUUAUGGAUUAUGGUUGUAUGAGGAGGUUUAUAUGUCUGGUUGGGAGCAGCUUGCAUGGUUGAAUGGCCUCUUCAUGCAUGCUGAUUCUUGUGUUUAUAUUCCCCAAAUUGUAGCCGUUGGCAGCUAACGGCUACAAUAACAAACUGCCAUUUUUUGCUUUUUUUGAGGGUGAAAUUGUUAUUUUUGUUCUGGGGGCAAAAUAGUCAUUUGACUAAGAAUCCGUUAGUUUUCGUAACGGGCAGCAAACGGAAGUGAAGAAGUGAAACAAAAUAUAAGUUUAGGUGGAUUCCAGCCAAAAAAAAAAGAAUUGUGUAUUUUUGAUAAAGUUGGAAAAAAUAAGUGGACGGUGGAUAUUUUCCCUUAUUAUUAUUAUUAUUAUUAUUAUUAUUAUUAUUAUUAUUAUUAUUUCCUUUUAACAAAAAUUAAGCUGAGACAACAAUAUAUGCCCAAAAUACCCCUCACAUUAUCCCAAACUUUCUAAACUCCCCCACUCCUCUCAACAUCAUCUCUUCCAAAUCUUUCUUCCUCCAAAAAGCAGCCAUGGCUUCAAAUUCAAUCACCUCAACACUCCAAUAUUGGCUUGUAAACCACCCCCAAAUCCUCAACUUCACAUGGACUCAAAACCAAACCCCAGCUUCCUCCCCACACUUCCUCAUUCUCUCCAUCCUCACUUACCUCUCCCUCACAUUCAUCCUCUACCACAAAUUAACGCCAACAUCACCAUCAUCAUCACCUCUCAUUGGACCCCACAUCCUCAAGCUCAUCACAGCCGUCCAUAACCUCACCCUCCUCCUCCUCUCCCUUGUCAUGGCCUUUGGUUGCACUCUCUCCAUCGUCCUCCAUUCACCCGACCUCCGUCACACCCUCUGUUUGCCCCCCACCAUUUCUGCCUCCGGUCCCCUCUUCUUCUACGCUUACAUCUUCUACCUCUCCAAAAUACUCGAAUUCCUAGACACCCUUUUGAUCAUUUUGUCAAACUCCAUCCAACGGCUCACGUUCCUCCACGUCUACCACCAUGCAACCGUCGUCGUAAUGUGCUACCUUUGGUUACAGACGAAGCAGUCUUUGUUUCCUAUCGCACUUGUCACCAAUGCAAGUGUGCACGUGAUCAUGUACGGGUACUAUCUAUUGUGUGUGAUGGGGUUGCGGCCAAAGUGGAAGAGAUUGGUCACUGACUGUCAGAUUGUUCAGUUCGUGUUUAGUUUUGUUGUUUCAGUUUUGAUGCUGUAUUAUCAUUUUGCGGGAUUUGGAUGCUCUGGGAUCUUGGGUUGGUGCUUCAAUGCUGUGUUUAAUGCUUCUCUUUUGACACUUUUUAUUAAUUUUCAUUCCAAGAGCUAUGCUAAGAAAAAGCAGGGAUGAUCAAAACAAAUCGUCGUUGUGAUUGUUCUCUGUGUGUUUUUUUUUUUUUUUUUUGGUUAAUUAUGACUGGUUGUGAUCGGUUCAUUGCAUUUGACAGAGAUGUUGAAGGGUUAUGUUCUGGAAAAUAGAAAUUAAACCAAAAUUAUCACUAGAACUGGUACAUUAUUACCAUCACAGAUCAAGAUCUGAAUGGACGCAUAGCAGCCAUCCUCAAAACCAAAGGAGGAGAAAAUUGAAAUAGAACAACCACCUUAAGGUGAAGAAGGCCAGAACAAGACACACAUCCUCAAAUCAUAAGGAAGAGGUGGGUGCAACCGAAAAAAAAAAAAAGAAAUCAAGAAUCCACUGGAGAAGGCAAGAAAGAUUUUUGCCUCCGAAGAUUUGGUGAGGAAGAGAUGAGGAGUUUGGAGAGGAAAAGUUUUCGGAGAGAUCUACAGAUUAGCUUUAAAAGUGUGUUUUAAAGAGAAAGUUGUUGAGAACUUGAGAGGAUACAGAGGACGGAACUACCUUACCUUCCUUAUACCAAACACCCAAUUUUAACAUUUUCUUUAACGGUCUUCAUUAUUUUUAGUAAAUAAUAAAAACUAUACAUUCUAAAAAAAUUAACACAAUAAGCCAUUAUAAAAAUAUAAUAAUUUUAGAAUUCUAAAAAUUUUAUUUAGCAUUUUCUUCAGCAAUCUCUACUAUUUUCUGUAAUAUUAAAAACUAUAAAUCUCAAUAAUAAAUAGACCCCAAUUAAAAUAUGAAAAUUUUAAAAUUCUAAAAAAAAUUUCUCUUUCAGUUUUCUUCUCAAUCAUUUUGUUUUGCUUUGAUCUUAAUUUAUUCAUUUAUCCAACAUAUAAUUCUUCUAAAAUAUCAAAAAAUAGAGAGUCUUCUAACUAAAUGAUUAGAUUAAUUUCUUGAACACAAAAUCUCAUAAAAAUAAUGCUUGCAUUCUCUUAAAAGAAAUCUAUUGUGUUUAUUUUUAUUUAUUUUUACUACUACAAUAAGAAAAGAACUAUAUCUUGCUCUCUAUAAUAAAAUCUCAACAAUUAGGGCAUGUUGAAUGCGGUUAAAGAUGGCGACAUACGUUUAUUUUAUUAAAAUUUAAUUUCAAUAUAGUGUUUGGCAUGAAUAAGUAAAUUAAGAAUAAUAGAGUUUGUGCCAAUCAAAUUAUCAUAUGAUAAUUAAUUUUUUGCCCUAAGGGGACCCUUUGAAUAAAAUUUUUAGACUAAAUUUAUAUCUUAUGCUAACAAUUAUAAGGUUAUUUGAUGUUGAGCAAAUUUAUAGAAAUAAAUAAAAGUUAAGUUUCAUUUAUUUAAUUAAAAUAAUUAUUUAUCCUUAUAAGUAACACUAUCUUAAAUGGUAAAACAUUAAAUGCGUAUUUUAUUUUAAAAAAAUUAUAUUAAAAAAUGGGAUUUUUUGUAAUUAAUAUUUUAAAUAAAUGGAUGUGGGGAGUGUUUUAACUAGAUAAAAUAAUCCAUCCAUAUUUAUGUAUAUCUAAAUUUAUUCAUUUAUUAAAUUACCUGGACUCAUAUAAAGAUCAUAAAAUAUUUUGAUGGACUUAUGUGUUAAAAUCUUGAAAUUUAAUCUUUUUUUUUUUUUUAUGAAACAAGAGGGACUGCACCAUUAAUAACCAAGUAAUUAUAUCCUUGCCGUGGGAAUAGCUUUUGCAACUCUUAGAUUGAAUUCAAUGGUUGGAUCACAAAAAGACAAAAAUUGGCUGGACCCGGAUACGUAUGCAAUCAAUCCUUUACUCUUCAUGUUUGUGGACUACGUGGAAUGUUUGUCCACUGAGUGUAAUCGUGACGGUUCGAUUGAGUGAUUAAAAUCACACGGCUGAUAUUAGUUGGUUCUGUGUUGGAGUUGAUCCAACAUAGCCUGAGCCUUUAAAUAAAAAACAUUACAACCCAUGCAUCCAAGCACUUAAAGUUGGCUUGAGUUCAUGGGUUAUUGUCAAUUUUCUUUCCAAUUAAAUUAGAUAGGGAUAAAAUUAUCUCUUUAUUAAUAAGAAUAAAGUAGAUAUUUCUCUCGAUUUUUCUUUUAAUUAAAUUGAAUAGAAGUAAAAUUAUCUAUUGAUUAAUAAGGAUAUAAUAUAUAUCUCUCUAAUAUUAUGUGACGGUAGAAAUUUAGGUUGUUCUGUAAUAUAAUUAUCAAGGAUAGUCUUAAUAGAAUUAAUGUAAAGAAUUAAGAUAAAGCCUCAAAGAUGGAACAGAGGUUAAAAAAAAAAAGAGUACAAGACAAAGAAAAAAGGAAACAAAAGAAGACCAAGAAUAAAAGAAAAAAUAAUUUGGAAAACAAAAAAAUGGAUUGCAAUUUUAAAUUUUAAUUAAGAAUAAAUUGUAGUGAAUGCCAUUGUUGGUAAUUUGUUAUAUUUCAAAGCUCAAAUAAGGAAUAAAAUUAUUAUUAUUAUUAUUAUUAUUUUGCAAUAACUCGUUUCAAAUUUUAAAAGAUUAUAACUUUUUGUUUUUUAACAUUUUAAUCAUAAAUUAAAAAGGAGUUACUAUUCAAGAUUCCUAAGAAUACUGAAAAAAAUGAUAAAUAUUAUUCUAAGAAAAUGAUAUAUAUUGGAUAUACUGAAAUAUUAUAAAUUAUAAAUUAUUUUACUAUUUUACCCCUUAGUUUUAUGUUUGGGGAAAAAAAUACUAAAAUGGCUUUCAAUAAAAAGAAUUAUUAUUAAAAAAUAAGAUUAAAAUUAUAACAAAUGAUAUUAAUAAGAAAGAAAUUGAUAAAAAUUUGGGAUUAGAAAUAGCCAAAUAGGGGUUAAGGCUUCGGUCCUUGAAUUUCUCUAAAUUUUAUAUAUUUUUUAAUUUUUAACCCGUCAAAUUACAUUAUUAAUGGAAUGUCAAUAAAUUUUGUGCGUUAAUUUUUCUUUUAGAUAUUUUGAAAGGUAAAAUGGUAUUUUGGAUGGUAAAAGUCAGCUAAUUAAUUAAAUAUUUAUAUUCCUAAGAUAUUUAAAUUCAAGAGAAGGGUAAAAAUUAUUUUUUAAAUUUUCAUUGUGGUGAUAUCAUAAAAUAAAUUUGUGAUUAUCAUACUUGUUUUAUAGAUUAAGAUAUAAGUAAAAGUUAAAUUAAUCUUGUAAUGGUUUUUUUACCUUUUUUUUUUCUAUAGGGAGUUUUUAUUAAUAAUUUUUUUUGUCGUCUAACUUGAAAUAUAAUAGACCUUAAGGGGCAAAACAAAAUUAUUCUUGUUAACUCCACGAAACUAUUAAUUAGUUAGAGUUAGAGGCAUUCUCGUAUUUUUCAAGUCAACAUCAGUUAACUAUUAAAAAUAGCAGUAUUUGGCAGGUAAAUUGAAAUUUUCAUACUUUUAGAGGGUAAAUUGAAGUAUUUUAAUCUAAUAAGGGUGUGGGACGAAAUUUAACUACAAGUAAAUUAUCCGUGAGGCAAGCUUUUUACAACUUUUGUUUUCUUCUUUUUUUUUUCUUUUGAGUUUUUGUUUUUGUUUUACAUGGCACUGGCCCGACCAGUACAAAUUAAUUUUAGAAUAUUUACAAUUAUGUACCAUAGUUGUGGAGUAGAAUCAUAGAAAUUAAAGAUGGUAAAAUUAUUGAUGUGUGGGGUGGGGUAGGAUAACUAUUAACUUUAUUCAUGCAACGUAAGAAGAAUGCAACUGCUCCUUUGAUUUGGUAUUUUCGUAACAAAAGCAUACAUAACAUCUUAUCAAAUUAUUUCUCCUUUUCCUUGUCAGAAUGGAGGAUGCGUUCGCUUCCCCUCUUCUUGGGCAACUGAACUCCUUUGCUGCUUAUGAAUAAGUGAAACAACAGGUGAGGUUUGUGACUAUUCUCCAACAAGAAGUGAAAAAAGCUUACCACAAAUCUUCAAGCCAUUCAAGCUGCUCGAAGAUACAUAGCAAAGGCAAGUUGAUGUAGGAUGGUUGCAUGGAAUGAGUAAGGUAUCUUCCGAAGGUCAUAACUUAGGAUACAAAUAUCCAUUCCGUUUUGAAUGUAUAGUAUAUCGUUUCAAAACUUGUAAUAAGUUGAACCAAAUGCAGAAUAGUCUACGCUAUCCUGCCCUGUGGUUGAGCAAAAAAUUUCACUUCUUUCUUGGUUGUUUUUCAGUUUAAAGAUAUUUUUCUAAUUUGUCGUGAUUCUUUUGGGAUUUUUAUCUUUUUUUUUUCUAGAUAUUGGAUUUGAGUUCCAUUUGUUUUCCUUUUCUUAUUUAGAUUAGAAGGAUUUUAUUAUCAUAUAAUAUUUUGGAUUUGCCUAUUUUGGUAAAUUCCUAAUAUUUAUGCUUCUAUAAAAGUGGUUCAAUACCCCAAUUUUGUUUGUUCAAAUUAUUCGCAAUAAAACUUAUUAUUUAAAAACCUAGUUUCUAUUAUCUAAUUGCCUUUUAAUGUUUUCUUAUCGUCAGCUGGUAUUAGAGUAAGUUCGCUUGUUAUCAUGAUGUGACCACACAAAGGAACAACUGUCCCGAAGACAUUCAAGGGAAGUAGACAACGACUGUGGAGGCAGAGGCGAAGCUCAGGGGACUUUUUGAAAAAAAAAAUUUAUAAUUUAUAAAUUUACUUUUAUUAAUAUUUAUUAAAAAAAAUAAAAACAAGCCCAAUAAUUAUAUGAAUCUUUAUUUUCCCCAAUCACAAUUCAUAAAACUCACCAGUAUCUAACUAAAUCCGAAUUUGAAAUUCACCAAAAUUCAAUUGCUCAAGUCUCUUACCGCUGCUGAAUACCCAGUCUCCUGCGCUCGAAUUGACGCCCAGCCGCUGCCUCAUGAGUGACGCCGAGCCACUGCUGCAAGGCCUGAACCUGCAGGUUGAAUCUCUGACCGCCGAGCCGACGCCGAAUGCCCAGUCUCUUGAUGCGCCCCUAGUACAAAGCACUUUGCCUUUUAAACUUUAGUUUAUAGAAUAUAAUAUGAUUUUAUGAUAAUGAUGGUUGGCACACAAAGUGGAAUUGUGGAAGGCUGGAAGUUGUUGAUUUUGUGAACUGUGAUUCAUAUUUUUAAAAUUAUAAAAUAAUAGAAUGUGAAAAACGGUGAUGAUAGCAUAUUAAGUGGAACUGUGAAAGGUGCUGAUUCAUCUUCUUGGAAUUAUAAAAUAAUGAUGGCAUGAAAGAAUGAGUGAAUAAAAUAGUAAAACAAUUAAUUUGAAUGUUAACUUUUUUAAUUAGCUUUUAACUUGCGAUUUUGUCAAAUUUUUUAUAAAAUAAAUACUAAAUUUUUAAUGUAUUUUAUUACAGAUUCAAUAUUAAAUAAACCAAGAAAAACUCUACUUUUUUUUUUUUUAAGAGAGUAAGUGAAAAUCAAUCAUCCACCAAGUCUUUAUCUCCAUGUCAAGUUAAUGCUCAAGAUUCCAGUGAGCAACAUACUUCCAAGUUUCAAAGGGUUGAAGUUGAAGAAACUAGAAAUACUUAUCUGGAGCGUGAUCCUGGAUUACGUCAUCAAAUAGGGACAUAUUUAGUAAAUCAACGUGAUGAUAUUAGAAGGGAGUACAUCAAAAUGAGACUUUAUGAGCCUAAACUACGAGAUUAUCCAGUAACUAAUGAUGACAUGCAAGAACGUAGGUUUCACUAUCACUGGUUUAAAAAAUUUCCAUGGCUUGAUUACUCUGAGGUGAAAGAUAGUGCAUUUUGUUUUCAAUGCUUUCUUUUUGAUGAAAUUCCAUCAAACAACCCAAAAUUUGUUAUUGAAGGAUUUUCUAGUUGGAAGAGAGUCAACAAUGGAAAACAAAAUGUCACUUUUUACAGCAUGAAGGGGGUCCAUUUUCUCAUCAUAAUAAGAAUAUGCAGAGUUGGGGUUGUUUGAGGAACCCAAUUCAACACAUUGAUAGAUUAAUUAAUGCCCAAACUUCACAAAAACUUUUGGAGAAUAGGCUACGAUUGAAGACCUCAAUUAUUGCUGUUAAAUGGUUAGCAAAGCAAGCAUGUACUUUUAAAGGUCAUGAUGAAUCAGUUAAUUCAAGAAAUCGGGGAAAUUUCAUAGAGUUGAUAAAGCAUUCAGCGGAGUGUAGUAAAGAAAUUGCUCAAGUUGUCUUGGAAAAUGCUCCAUCAUAUGCUAAGUAUACAUCGUCUGACAUUCAAAAAGAGCUUUUAAAUAUUCUUGCAAACAAAGUGCGAAACAAGAUACGCAAGGACCUUGGAGAUGGUAAGUUUUGUAUUUUAGUAGACGAAGCACUUGAUGAAUCUGAUAAAGAGCAAAUGGCUAUUAUUUUAAGGUAUGUUGAUUGUGAUGGGUAUAUUUGAGAACGUCUUUUUGAAGUUGUCAAUGUCAUGGAAACUACAACAGUAACAUUGGAAAAAGAAAUAUGUAAUGUUCUUGCACGAUAUGAUCUUUUAGUUGAAAAUAUCCGAGGGAUGGUGCUAGUAACAUGCGGGGUGCAUGGAAUGGAUUACAAGCAUUAUUUUUGAAAGAUUGCUCAUAUGCAUAUUAUAUACAUUGUUUUGCACAUCAACUACAACUUGCUUUAGUUGCAGCAUCUAAUAAUGUGCCAGAUGUAUGGCUUUUCUUUUUAGCAUUGGGUUCAAUUGUAAAUGUUCUGACUUCAUUUGCUAAACGGCUUUCUGAGUUAAAAUCUGUUUGGGAAGCAGAAAUAAUAGAUUUGAUAGCUUCAGGAGAAGUUCAAACUGGUACAGGGGCCAAUCAAAUUCAUACUUUGCAAUGGCCUGGAGCUACUUGGUGGAGCUCUCAUUUCCGUUCUGUCAGUAGGUUGCUUGAUUUGUUUAGUGUUAUUCGUAAAGUUUUUGGGAAGUUGGUAGAGUGUGGACUUAACAAUAUCAUACGUGGAAAGGCUAAAGGUGCAUGUGAAUCAAUGACAUCUUUUAAAUUUGUGUUCAUUUUGCAUUUAUUACAUAAAGUUUUGGGGGGUGAGUGAUUUACUUUGUCGAGCAUUACAAGUUAAAUCUCAAGAUAUUCUAAAUGCUGUUCACUUAGUCUCAACUACGAAAACACUUCAUCAAAGGCUGCGAGACAAUGGUUGGGAAAUUUUAUUGAGAACGUAGUUCUAUUUUGUGAAAAGAAUGAGAUAGAUAUGUCUGAUAUGAAAGCUCGCCAUAUGAAAGGCAGAGGACGUUCUUGUCAGUAGAAUGAUUAUAUUACAAUUGAUCAUUAUUAUCAUUAUGAUAUAUUUAAUGCUGUGAUAGAUUUUCAAUUGAUGGAGUUGAAUAAUAGAUUUACUGAACAGACUUUGGAACUCCUCACUCUUAGUUCAGCUUUAAAUCUUAUUGAUGCAUUUAAAUCAUUUAAAAUUGAAGAUAUUUACAGCCUUGCUGAAAGAUUUUAUCCUGAAGAUUUCACUAAGAUUGAGUUACAGGUUUUGAGAAGACAAUUAGAGUGCUUUGAGAUAGAUAUACACUCUCUUCAAGAGUUUCAGAAUAUUACUUUCCUUUCUGAAUUGUGUCGAAGAUUGGUUGAGACUAGAAAGUCACAGAUUUAUUUCUUGUUGGGUAGAUUAAUUCGUUUAGUGUUAACCCUUCCUGUUUCAACAGCAACAACAGAGAGAGCAUUUUCUGCCAUGAAACUAAUUAAGACAACACAUCGAAACAAGAUGGAGAAUGAGUUUCUUUCAGAUUGUAUGGUUAUUUACAUCGAAAGAGAAAUUGCAGACAAUAUUGACUCAGAUGCGAUAGUAGAUGAAUUUUCUUUUUUGAAGAACCGCAUGACACAGCUUCGUCAAUAGGGUUUUUCUUAUUUACAUUGUAUUUUUAUAGUUUUAUGGUUAAAUUUUUGCUUAUGUAGUGUGCUUAAUUUCAUUUAUAUAAAACAAAUUUUUUGAGAAAUAAAUUUCAUUUUUUUUAAAAUCUAGCCCACCCAAACAAAUGAUGCUAGCUUCGCCAUUGGAGGUUAUCAGAUAGAUGGUCAAAGAAGCAAUCUUGUAAGUCAUGGAGUACGCAUAUAAUGCGAGAAUGGCAACAGACAAAUAUUAGGUUAUCUCUUGUAAACCAUAUUGAUAAAUCUAAUGAGGGAAAGAUAUUUUUUUUCUUGUCCUAGAUGACGUGUGGGAUGGAAGUUACAAUCAAUGGGAACCAUUCUUCUAUUGUUUAAAGAAUGGUCUCAAUAGUAGUCAAUUUUUUAUUACUACAUAUUAUCAGAUAGUAGCAAGUAUGAUGAGAUUAACAAAUAUUAUUUUUAUUAAGGAAUUAACUGAAGAAGAAUGUUGGUCAUUGUUUAAGCAAGUAGCAUUUUUUGGUCAAUUUUUUGGUCAAUUUUUUAAGGAUAGUGACCAAAUGAUAAAAAAAUUGCAUGCAGGGCCUGCCUCUUAUUGCAAAGGCAAUUGGGAAAUUCUUACAAUAUAAAUGACCAACAGAAGAAUGGAAAAUAAUUUUAGAUAGUGAUAUGUAGAAGGUAGAAGAGAUUGGGAACAAUAUUAAUAGGGAAAUUCUUAUAAUAUAAAUGACCAAUAAAAAAAAAUGAAAACUACACUAUAGAUGGCUCAAAGUUACCUUAUUGUAUAAGAAGGCCAAGAGAUGAGGAUCCGAUCCAAUCUAAUAGUAGUAGUUCAUUUCAAUUUUUAUUCAUUUGAUUUUAUAGUAGUAGUUUUCAUUUUUUUUGGUUGAAAAUUGGUAAAAAAAUAUUCAAAUGAGAUAAUUACAAUAAAACCAUCUUCAAGAACUACAAUAAUUUUAAAAAAACUCAAAAUAAACAAAAUAGGCUCAAAAACACCCCUAAUCCCAACAUUAUCUGAAUCCAUCCUAGCUGACCGAAUCUGAUUUUAAUCCAACCCCAACUUGAUCCCCAUAUAAUUAUAACCUGAUGCAAUCCAAACUAAACUUGAGUUUUUGAUUUGAUACAAUCUAAUCUGAAUAUUCUAACCCAAUCAACCUAAAAGCCGAUUAAGUUAAUCUGAACACAAAUUUACCCACUCCUAGCGAGGAUCAUGACCCAACAAGCUUUGAAAGAUUUUGAGGUUUCGAAGUGAAAUAUUAAAAAUUAGGUAUAAAAAGACUGAUUAGACCCCUAAGAACUUGAUAUAUAAAAUUUAUACAUAUAAUAGAAAUUUGAUUUAUAUAUUAUUAAAAUAAAAUCAAGUAACUCGAUUUUUUUUAUUGUAUUAAUUAUUUUUCCAUUAUGACGAUAUGACAAAUAGCCUUUUAUUAAAAUUUUGAUAAAACUUGGGCCUAAGUCUUUGAUUUUUAUUUUGUUAAUUAUUUUUUUAGUUUUUACUUGCAACAGUACUUCAAUUAUGAAUCAAAGUCGCCAAAUAAAAUCGCUGCAGCCUGUAGCUACAAGCAAAAUUCUAAAAUUUCGAAAUUCCUAACAACUAUAUAAUCGCUAUAAAUAGAAAAACGGUCUAAAAUUAAAUCCUCAGCUAACAUUUUAAGUUUGAAGUUGGGCCUCCUGAAGAUUUACCCCAUAUGGAUCAAAAUAUUGGUUUCGCUACUAAAAUUGCGAACUAUGUUUUUCUUUGUAUUUUCCGCUCAAGGAUGAAGAAAUUUCCCUCAACACUCUUGGCCGAAUAUCUUGCAAACAUAUGAUACUAAAGUGUCAUUUUUUGUUUUAAACAAAAAAUGACACUUUAAGGCAAUAGGAGAGUUUAAUGUAUUAAAAUGGUAAACGGGUGGAUAAAACUCAAAAUAAUUUUUUAACGUUUUAUCUAUUUUAACAUUCGAAUUUUAAACUUGAGAAGUCAAGCAAUCAAUAAACCUUUUUGAGAGGCUAAUUAAAUUCUUAGUAAUUUCACAUAAUUUCAUUUCAUCAGAACAAUUUUAUCAAAAGCAAUUUUAUAAAUCGUUGUUGAAAGCUUUAUUCCUUAAUUAUCUUUCACAUAUUUUUCUUUGUAGUAUGAGCUAAGUCAUAGACCAUAGUAUGAUAUUUAUUAUUACGUUAAAGAUGCGACAAAUUUGAGAAUAUUUAUUAUUACGUUAAAGAUGCUACAAAUGUGUUCAUCGGAGGAGUGGAAUCUGGGAAUUUAAAGAUGCUACUACAAUUACGAACGUGUGGGUGGGGAUAAGCAUAAAUGUCGAUAAAAGUUUGACUAAGAUCUUAUAUAUUGGAAAUUAAGAUAUUCUCUCUCUGCAUGUUAUUUCUGUAGGAAAUAACAUGCAGAUAUAGUAUUUUAGGUUAUUGUUAAUGGUUUUACAAUAAUAAAAAUCAUUUUGUUAGACCGUAAAAUGCCGUACUCACACUCUAUUUUGUGCAGAAGUCUGCGAGAAAGGAUUUCCACAUAUAUAUAUAUAUAUAUAUAUAGAGUCGUGUACUACAGAUUUAACUAGUGGAGAAGUUGGGAACUUUUUUUUUUUUUUUAUCUAACACAGGCUAAAAAUAUUUCAAUAAAUUAUGAUCAUGCAGACUAAUAAGAUUUUUUUUGUUAUAUAUAUUAAUUUUUUAGGGACUAAUGUGAAUAUUACUAAUUUUUUUGAGAUUAUUAAAAAACAAUGUUCUGACUUACCAAUAUGAUUUUUCCAAUCUUUUUUCUUUUCGUUAUUUAUUCCUUUGAGCAUUAGAGUUAAUGCUUGAUAUAAUUUUUGUGCUCAUUUUUUAAAUUAGUAAUUAAAUCUGAAUCUUAUAGUAGAAGAUUAUGAAAAAGUGAAGACACAAAAAGCAUUAAAAUCAUUAUUAGAUCCAAAUUUGUGCUAUUUUCAUACAUAACUUGAGAAUAUUUAUAAUUACGUAUCACAACUAGUGGAGUAGAAUCGGGGAAAUUAAACAUUCUACAAUCAUUGACGUGUGGGUUGGGGAUAAGCAUAAACUUUUUCUAUGCUGCAUAAAAGAAUGCAAUAACUCAUUUUCUUUCAGUAUUUUCGCAACAAAAGCACAUCUAAUAACUCUUUAGAAUUCUCGUCUUCUUUGCCACAAUGGUUGAUGCGAUCGUUUCCUCUCUCCUGGAGCAGCUGAUCUCUGUUGCGGCUGAUGAAGUGAAACAGCAGGUGAGGCUUGUGACUGGUGUCCGACAAGAAGUGAAAAAGCUUACCAGCAAUCUUCAAGCCAUUCGAGCUGUGCUGGAAGAUGCAGAGAAAAGGCAAAUGCAGCACGACAAAGCUGUUACUUUUUGGCUGGAUCAGCUCAAAGACGCAUCUUACGACAUGGAAGAUGUGUUGGAGGAGUGGACCACUGCAAGGCUCAAAUUGCAGAUUGAGGGCGUUGAUGAUGACACUGCUCUUGCUCUUGCUCCUCAUAAGAAGAAGGUACGUUCCUUCUUUUGUGCUCUAUCAAACUGCUUUGGUAGUUUCAAACAACUUAGUCUUCGUCAUGACAUUGCCGUCAAGAUUAGGGAAAUCAAUGGAACGCUAGAUGAUAUUGCCUCCCAAAAAGAUACGUUUAAAUUUGUGGAGAAUGUGAGUAACAAUGUCAAGAAACCAGAGCGAGUGCGAACCACCUCCUUGAUUGAUGAGGGAGAGGUUUGCGGUAGAGUUGAUGAGAAAAAUUAGCUCUUAAGCAAGUUGUUGUGUGAAAGUAGUGAACAACAACAAGGCCUUUAUGUCAUCUCACUAGUUGGGUUAGGGGGUAUAGGUAAAACCACUCUUGCACAACUGGCCUAUAAUAAUGAUGAGGUGAAAAGAAAUUUUGAAAAAGUUAUAUGGGUGUGUGUAUCAGACACUUUUGAGGAGAUUAGGGUCGCCAAAGCAACCAUUGAAGGUCUAGGUGUGUCGGCUUCUGGUUUAAGCGAAUUCGAAUCUCUUAUGAAACAGAUUCAGGAAUAUAUUACGGGGAAGAAAUUUUUUCUUGUUUUAGAUGAUGUGUGGGAUGGAGAUUACAAAAAAUGGGACCCAUUCUUUUCUUGUCUAAAGAAUGGCCACCAUGAAAGUAAAAUUCUAAUUACCACAUGUGAUAGGUCAGUUGAGCUACGGUUGGGAUCAAUAGAUAUUAUCCCUGUCAAGGAGUUGGGUGAAAGAGAAUGUUGGUUACUGUUUAAGCAGAUAGCAUUUUUACGUAGGUCCUUUGAGGAUUGUGAAAAAUUAGAACCAAUCGGGUGAAAAAUUGCACACAAGUGCAAAGGCCUGCCUCUUGCUGCAAAGGUAAUAGGGAAUCUCUUGCGCUCUAAAAGUACAGUAAAAGAGUGGCAAAGAAUUUUAGAGAGUGAAAUGUGGAAAGUAGAAGAGAUUGGGCAAGGUCUUUUAGCUCCUUUGUUGUUGAGUUAUAACAAUUUACCCUCCAAUUCUAUGGUAAAACGGUGUUUCUCAUAUUGUGCUGUCUUUCCAAAAAACUACAAUAUGAAUAAAGAGGAACUAAUUUCACUAUGGAUGGCUCAAGGUUACCUUAAUGCAGAAGAAGACGAAGAGAUGGAGAUGAUUGGGGAAGAGUAUUUCAACAUUUUAGCAGCACGCUCUUUCUUUCAAGAAUUUAAGAAAAAUGAUGAUGAUGAUAUUAUGAGUUGCAAGAUGCAUGACAUAGUGCAUGAUUUUGCUCAAUUUGUAAGUAGCAAAGAAUGUUUGUGGCUAGAAAUUAAUGGUACCAAAGAAUCAGUCAUAAACUCUUUUGGUGACAAAGUCCGUCACUUAGGGUUAAAUUUUGAAGGAGGCGCUUCAUUUCCUAUGUCCAUUCGUGGACUUGAUAGAUUGCGUACCCUUUUAAUUUAUGAUAGAAGUGAUUUCAAUCUGUCUCUUAGUAGUAGCAUCCUUUCGGAGUUAUUUAGUAAAUUGGUGUGUUUAAGGACAUUAGUUAUAAGGCAAUCGUCCCUAUAUUUUCAUCCUUUUCAUCUUGACCCAAAUUCGAUUAGAGAAAUUCCAGAAAAUAUCAGAAAAUUGAUACAUUUAAAAUAUCUUAAUUUGUCUGAAUUAGGCAUAGAGAUACUACCUGAGACUUUGUGUGAAUUAUAUAAUUUACAAAAGCUAGAUAUUAGGCGGUGCCGAAAUCUUAGAGAAUUGCCAGCGGGGAUUGGGCAGUUAAUGAACAUGAGGAGUUUACUGAAUGGUGAAACUUAUUCGUUGAAGUACAUGCCAAUAGGGAUUUCCAAAUUAACCAGCCUUCGAACAUUAGACAGGUUUGUGGUGGGUGGAGGUGUUGAUGGUAGCAAUACGUGUAGGCUUGAAUCUCUGAAAAAUCUUCAACUCCGUGGUAAAUGUAGUAUAGAAGGGCUGAGUAAUGUGUCACAUUUAGAUGAGGCUGAGAGGUCGCAACUUUACAAUAAGAAAAACCUCCUUCGUUUGCAUCUUGAGUUUGGUAGAGUCGUAGAUGGGGAAGGCGAAGAAGGGAGGAGGAAGAACGAGAAAGAUAAACAACUUCUUGAAGCCUUACAACCGCCUUUGAAUGUAGAGGAAUUCGGGAUUGUAUUCUACGGAGGCAACAUUUUUCCCAAAUGGUUGACUUCACUAACCAAUCUAAGGGAAUUAAGACUUGUCUCGUGCGUUGACUGUGAGCAUUUGCCUCCUUUGGGAAAAUUGCCUCUGGAAAAACUCGAACUAGGGAACUUGAAAAGUGUAAAAAGAUUGGGUAAUGAGUUUUUGGGAAUAGAAGAAAGCAGCGAGGACGAACCAUCUUCAUCUUCAUCGUCAUCAUCAGUUACUGCCUUCCCCAAAUUGAAAUCACUGGAAAUUAAGGGAUUGGAUGAACUGGAAGAGUGGACUUACAGGAUUACGAGGAAGGAAAACGUCUCCAUCAUGCCCCGUCUUUCUUCCUUGCGAAUUGAUUCUUGCUUCAAAUUAAAGGCGCUGCCGGAUUACCUUCUUCAAACGACGGCGCUGCAGAACCUGAGGAUUUUUUUUUGUGAAAAUAUGGAAGAACUGCCCAUUCUAGAAGAUCACAGGACAACAGACAUACCACGUCUUUCUUCCUUGCGAAUUUGGUAUUGCCCCAAAUUGAAGGCGCUGCCGGAUUACCUUCUUCAAACGACGGCACUGCAGAAAUUGACAAUUUGGGGAUGUCCCAUUCUGGAAAACCGUUAUAGAGAGGGGAAAGGAGAAGACUGGCAUAAGAUAUCUCACAUUCCCCACAUCAGGUGGUCGGCGUAAGAUGUCACUAGGGAUGGCAAUUUGCGGGUUUGGGCCGGGCUUUUUAAAGCCCAGGCCCAAGCCCGCAUCAUUCAAAAGAAGCUUAGGCCCUUCAAAAGCCCGUCCAACUUAGACGGGCCGAACUCGGGCCGGGCCUAGACGGGCCUGGGCCGGGCUCGGGCCGGGCUUGGACUUUUUAAAUUAAUUAUAAAAUAUUUUUUAAAUUAAGAAAAAAUAUUUAAAUUAAAGAUAAUAAUAUAAUACAUAGAUAGAAUAAUGGUAAAAUACAUGAAAUAUUAGUAAUACAACCUAAUAAAAUAACAAAUACUAAUAUAAAAAAUUAAACUAAUUUAAUAUUUUGAAUUUUUUCUUUUUUAUUUAAAUUAAAUUUAUUUUUUAUUCAUAAAUUUAAAAAGCCUGGGCCAAGCCCGGGCUUUUUUGCUAAGCCCUUGUCCAGGCCCAACAUAUGCGGGCUUUGUAAUUUUUAGGCCCAUAUCCAUGCCCAUCUGUGCGGGCCGGGCUUUAGGCCCGCGGGCCUGGGCCGGGCUUGGCCGGGCCGGGCCAAGCCCGGGCUUUUUUGCCACCCCUAGAUGUCACUCGCUGGUAAUUUCUCCUCCUUCUCUGAAUUACUUCGUAGUUGCUUGCAAUGAAAUUGAUAAAAAUAAUUAUAUUUUGAAUUAAAAUUCUAUAUAAAAUCAAUCAUCGUAUAAAUAUGUAAAACUUCCUAGUUAUCAAAUCUGUUAAACUUGUUUUCUAAAGAUUAAAUAAUAAAAAAAUACAAGUGUAGUCUGUUUAAAUUUCUAUAUUUAUUUACUUUUAAAAAAUAUGUACUUUUAAAUUUCACACAACAACAUAGAAAAUCUCAGUGUAAUUUAUUUUUUAAUGUACGAAAAGUUGUUAUGUGUAACUUCCUGAGAGAAAAAAUCUCUGUGAUACAUUUGCAGUAAUGUUGAAAACUAAAUUAUUAAUUUUAUCUUGUAUAAUGAUAAUUGUAUUUUUUUAUAUAUAAUUCUUUAAAGUAAUUGUGUAAUUGUUUUUACUACGAGUUUAUGUUUCAUUUUAAUUAUGUUCACCAGGGAUUCGAGGAAAUGUCAGAACCACACUAGCAAUUCACAGGUCCAAUCUAAUUUGGUUUUAAUGAUGCAGGCAGGAGAGUAUGCUAAGAAAAUGAAAAGUUUAGCCAAAGGAUUGCUAAAAUGUUCUGUUGGUAAUUCACUUGCUUUAUUUUAUAGAAUUUCAUUUCCAUCUUCUUCUAUUGAUAUCUUGUUGUGAAUAAACAAGAACAGAGAAGUAAAUGAUUGAACCACAGAGAAGUAAAAAUAUAUCCAAAUUCGAUUAUUAUGAUGAUUAAAGCAAGCUCAAGCUCAAGCAUUGCAUUUUUUAUUUUAUUUAGUUUAUAGAAUUUUCAUUUCCACCUGCAUUGCAUUUUUAUUUUAUUUUUAGGUUUUCUUUGAAGACUCUAUGGAGAACAUUGGGGUAACCAAGGAUUAUCACUGUGGUUAUUGUAUUUUUAGGUUUUCUUUGAAGACUCUAUGGAGAACAUUGGGGUAACCAAGGAUUAUCACUGUGGUUAUUGUGCAACGUUUGGUUGCUGGACUUUGAAGAAGGAAGUGAUGGCCGGGUCCGCUCUGUUUCAAUUGAGGAUUGAUAGCUGCCUGAAAGACAUGAUGAUUGUUAUUGCAUGAUGUUAAGGUGCUAAGAUCAUCAUUUCUAUCUUGUUUCAUUCUUUGAUCGGUUUAUCCUAUAUAAACAUAUGGAAUUAUGCUAAUAUUAUCAUAUGCGUCAAUGGAGGCAGGAAUUUGGUGUUGACACUAUUAUGCAGGUAACCACACUUCAUAAUUUGCACAAAUUUGCGUCAAUGCAGGCAGGAAUUUGGUGUUUCUUUGUAUUAUCAGGUUAUCAUCUCCAAGGGUUUGAAAGAGCCUUUGCAGUAAAGUCAGCUGUCACCAGCUCGUGCAAUUGCACGUUCAUUCAGAGUACUUCAACAUUCGAUUUUCAAGUUUUGUAUGUUUAGUUGCGAUUAAAAUGUUUAGUCACUCAUUUUUAAUCAUUUCUGAUUUUCAAGUUCUUUAGGGCCAUAAACAGUUUUUCAAACUCAUUCUUAUUUUUUUGGUUGAUUUCCUAUUCGUGGAGAACAUUGGCAAGUCCAAGGAUUAGGCUGGCGAUGGAACUACUACCUCUGUUGUUAUUGUGCAAGGUUUGAUCGCUGGACCUUGAACAAGAAUGCCUUAAACGCAUUCUGUAAUUGAAGCGUUCUCUAAAGCAAAAGAGCAGUAGAAGGAAUAGUGAUGGCCGGAUCUGCUCUAUCUUAAUUGAAGAUCUCUGUGAUGUUGAGGAGCUGAAAGCAGUUGAUGCUUUUUGAAAAUUGUUAUUACAGAUGAAUUGAUUCCUGAAGACGAGUAUCUAAUGAUUGUUAAGGCGUAUUUUCAUGCUGUAGUAACAAUUUCAUAUCUUGCAUCUCUCGGGUGCAUCAUGUUCACGGGUUUGAAAAAGCAUUUGUGGUAAUGCUUCAAAGCUUGUACAAUGGCUGUGAAAAGGCACAUUCAAUUAGGUACGUUUUGGUGCGGUCUCCCAAUGCUAAUAUCAUAUUUUGUAUAGCAAUUAAAAUUUAGCUAUACAAUCUUAAUAUGCAAUAAAUCAUUGUAUACAAAGUUUUUUAUUGAUUAUAUGGUGACUGAAAUUUUAAUUAUCAUAUCAAUUUAAAUUUUUUUGUAACUCUCUUUUACUUUGCUUGUACAGAGUACCUGUUUUGGCUGAUAUGUCUAAUUCGUAGAAAUUCAUUUCCAUCGGUUUCCAUUGGCUUUAGCACAAACCGAAACAGAUCUCUGGGGAAAAGUUUUACUUCUUGUGAUAUUAUGCCUUUGUUUAUUCAUUCAUCAUAUUUUUCGAAUUCAUGAUCUCAUUCAGAGGGUAAAGCCUUUUCCAGGCUGCUUUGUAGCCAAACUUUGACGCCUUUGAUGCAUGACUGUCAUUUAGAUUUUCCAAAUAACUGUUGGAUUGGAGAAGAAUAAGAAGAUACUGUUAAAAGGGUAUUUAAUUAGCGCCCUCUGAAUUUCUUGGAGUUAAUGUAGUCAAUUGCCCAAUUUUGCUUCAAACUCUGAGACACCUAAUAAAUAGUAGGAGGGGGUGGUAUUCGCCUGGUGUUAAUUUCCUGGCAAGUAUAGUUCACAGAUAGAUGGGUUCUUUUCUUGAUGUCUAAAUACCAUAUGUGAUACAACAUCGUGUAUUCCAAUUUUUCUCCAAUUAAAUUUUAAUACGUUAGAAAAGUUAAUUUUGUUUUAGCAAUGAAUUGUUUUCUUAAUAAUAAUGAUUGCCAUGUUCCUCUGAAGUCUUAUUAAUGCCAGACCAACAACUACUAGGUUCAUCUCUCGUUCACUUCCUCAGGGAAUCUAGAGGGCAUUCAUUGGCAAGUAGUCUUUCUUGUUGAGCUCCUGGAAUUACUUUUAAUUUAUCAUUUGUUGGGUUUUGCUUUUUGAUUGCUUUGGGAUUUGUGUUUUUAUCGCUUUGUCGCUCAUUAAUCUUGGCUGUUUUGAAUCUGUGUUGGAUUUAGAAGUUUGGAGUUAAAAACAGUUAAAGCUUAGACUAGUAGAAGAGAUUUGUACAUUCAUUUAUCUUGGACAAAGUUUUUGGGGAAAAAAAAAUUAUAAGUAUACACUUUCCAAUGGUCCGGUGAUGUUUGAUUGGUUUUAAGAUGUUGGAUCUCUCAUCAGAUUUCUUAUGUAUCGACUGCUGUUGCCACAGGAUGCUCGCAGAUCAUGCUUUUUUGUAUAAACUUCUACUAGAGCAGGCUGCCACAAUUGGUUGCAUUGUUUUGUGGGAGUUGGAGAAUCGUAAGGAGAGGUGUUUUUUCUCUCAUAUCAAAGGAACUCUCCCCUUCCUUUUUAUUUUCAUCUUAUAUAGUAAGCUAAUAAAUGUUUGUUUCUGUCGUGAUGGGAUAAAGCAAGAAUGAGAUCUUGCCCUAAUAAAUGUGCUCACAGUAACAGCAUGUAAUUUUGUUGUUUGGUCGCUUGCUCCUUGUCGUUCUUAUGGAAACACCUUCCGGUUUGACUUGCAAAAUACAUUACAAAAGCUCCCAAACAAUAUAUUUGAACGGAGUUACCCAUUUCGAGAAUUUGACUUGCAAAAGAGAAUCCACCCCCUUUUUUACAAGGCUGCAGAGUUGUAUAUGGUGGGAU